AUCAAAAGAGCAUAAUCAAGAGGUAUAACCCUACUCUCUCAUGAAAAAAUGGUUUGACGGUGAUGAUAAAAGAUGACAGAACAUGACUCAGGACUGAAAUUAAAACAAAUGAAGAAUUGGAAUUCAUGCAACACGGUGGCACUUGAAUCAACUUUCCCGGGUGAAUUUGACUUUCGAGUUCCAUCAGUUUGGUACUUCCCUCCAAACUGUUCUUUGUUGUAUUUUCUAUUAUAGAUAGUUGUUUCGACAAAUCUCAGGGUUAUGUCAAAACACAAAUUGGUCCAUAGAUUGAAAAUAAAAUAGACAUAAAUCAUGUACUAUUUAGUCAUAUGUUUCCUCCUAUCAAGUAGAUCAACGAACAAAUAUCUAAAUCUAAGUCAACCACCCCCAAUCCAUAAGGGCCCUUCAUCCAAAAUCGGUUUCAAGAAGCAGGCUUUCAACUCAUAAGGAUGUAUGUGAAAGCAUAGGAAAGAAGCCAGAAGCAUCAAUAUGGCAACUAUUGACAGAACCAUGGAAAAGAAACAAGAUAAUUACCGAGUUUUACAACUACAACCAUCUGCUGACAUCAAUAGUUUCUAGCCUUCUAAAGCAUAUGUUGGGACCUGCAUCACAUUUGCAAAAUAACAGUGUCAUUAGCAGAAAUGAAUAUCCCACACCAAAACCCCCCAGGGCAUCAGUCAUGGACAAUUAUUAUUUUUUUGGUUAAAGAUUUUAGUUCUAGUUGUCUAUAAGAAACAACCUCUCUAACCCGUAAGGUAGGAGUAAGGUUUGCAUACAUCGCAGACCUCGCUUGUAGAAUUGCACUGGGCAUGUUGUUUUUGUUGUAUUACAGUUCUAGUUGACACAAAAUUAUGCAAAUAAACUUGAUGACUGGCUUCGGUUCCCAAAGGUGCAACCACAUCACUAGAGGAGUUGGUACUUGUCAAUUAACUGGAGUGUCCACAUCCGGAUACUCUCUUUCCGCCCUUGAUUCAUACAAAGCUAGCUCAAUCUUUGAACUACUAUUCUUCCCCAUUUCAUUUUCUGUCUGUUACCUUUAAUGCUUGUUAAGAGUGUAUGUGAUCAGUCAUGUUUCCGACUGAUCUUCAAAUCCCCACACCUUCCAACAACUUAAACUAAAGUAUAUUAAGAAAGAGAACUAAUGAUAUCAAAUACUCCUGACUGUACCUACCAACCAAUCAUCCCCCACCCCACCCCACCCCACCCCCCCACCCCAAAAAAAAUUCAAUUGGUGCAGCAGGAUCAAGUUGUUGCUCUACUAAAGUCAUGAUUUAUAGAAGUCCAACCAGAAUUAAGAUAAACUUUAAAAAGCUUUAGACUACCUCGAGCAUGUCUUCAUCAGGGGAACAGGAUACUGUAGAGUCCAAACCAUUUGAUUUAUCAAAUUGCAGGAUCCUCAAUUUUCCUUCCUGCACAAUUUAAUGUUAAAAAAAAGAAGACGAAUACUUUUGAGAAUAUGAACAAUUUUAUAGUUGUAACCAAAAAAUGAGAAACUCAUACAAUGUCUGCAUAACUACCUUAGUUCCAUAUACUAGGCCACCACCAACCAAAGGAUGGAAACAAGCAACGUUAACCUCAUCCUCUGCACUGGGAAGAACUCUCACAAGUUCCAUAUCCGAAACUCUAUAGACCUGAUUCAAAGACUCACAAUCUGAAUUAACUAGAGAAAACAAAUAUAUACACCGACAUUGUGAACAAACCAAAUUCAUUCUUCUUGCAGGUUCAACCAAAUAAUCUCAGUAAAAUGUGAGCGAAAGCAUAAUUCUCCCUUUUUAAGUUUUAUGAAGUUCAAAAACAAAGUGCAUCAACACAAAAGAAAUUAUUUUGACAUACUAGUAAACUAAUUGAAUUGGGCCUCUUCAACCUUAAAAGUGUCCUAAACACAUUGUCACUGCACUUGCAUAUCAAGCUAUAGUAGCUCCAGUUUAUCUAGCCCCAUUUUCAUCAACUUAAAUCCAGUCUUUCUAAAGUUAAACAUAUCCUGCAUCACUUUGCCUAGCCCACCCCAACUUGUUUUGGACCAACGUAUAGUAGUUGAGGUUGUACUUCUUCUUCCCUUUUUAAUAAGGAAAUGAGGUUGUGCUUCUAAAAUUAGUUUUUGGUUGCACUGCAAUUGAAAAUAGCCUCAACAAUCCAUUUAUGCCAUACUAUUUGACAGGUACAGGAGAUUAAAUUAGAUCAAUCAACAUGUCAUGUGACCGAUGACUGAUGUGAAGAAGAAAAUGGCAAUUUGAGUUUUCUGUACAAAGAGAAGAAAAACAUAGUAGCAUGAAAUCAAAGGUAAAUUCUUCAAAGUUGUGAAAUGUAAUUUAAAUUCAUCUAAUUUGUAAAUAGUGCACAACAUAUUCUCGUGCCAUAUCAAUUAUCAAACCUUCAUGGACAUACCAUAGUGAAACAUGGGUGACACAACAUGGGUCAGAAGGAAUUAUAUGGCUAACCCUCUGUGAUUAACUAGACUCUAGAACCAACUGUCCAUAACCUAGAUUGAUUGGCUCAGAGGUUAAGAAGUCAAAAACCCUUGCAUGUUUGCAAAGAGUAAAUGAAAUAUUUGAAGAACUUCUUAGAAAUGUAAGUGACAGAACAAAAACCUUAUCAGGUUUAAAACCAAACUUUUGAAACUUCCGUAUGUCAUAUAAUUAUGUCAAUCAUUUUCACGAUGUUCUAAAAUAAGAAGUGUGCUACCAUGACCCAGUCUUGGUGGUGGUGAAAAACUGACAUUCCAUAAGAAACCAGGAUAUAAUCAGGUACUCACCUCAAGAAUAGUGUAGACAGGUAGAGUUGUAUCUCCAUCGAUCACAAUACUUUUCAGAAGUGAUCCAUGGCGACGUCCAUAGGCAAGUAAAAGAUGCUCAGAAGUUGGAGAGAACUGCAUUUUCAAUAGAUGUGGAGCAACAAUCAGUUUCCCAUAUCAGAAAGAUAACAUUUCAGUCUAUAAGAGCAAUUAUUACUGCAAUUUAAAGGUGCAUUUCAUAAAAUUGCCAUUGUGAACAUCUCUUGACUAGUGAAAUCACUUGAGACACAUUUCUUUAUCCAGGAAAAAGUAGGUUCUUUUUGUGCAAAUAACAAUGCACAGAACGAUCUACAUUUAUAAUUAAACAGUAAGCAAAAUCAAAUAUAACGAAGUAUAGAAGUGAACGAAACAAGAUAAGGUACAACACCAACCCAUAGGAACUUUAAACAAAAAAAGAAAUUCUACUCUCUAAAGGAAGGAUCAAUAUUUGUGCCCAGGAUUUCUUAUUGAACAAGUGCUCAACCAGUUUUAAACUUCAUAUCCAAACAAAACAACGAGAGAGCACUUCCCCUUCAUUUUUGUUCUCAUCUAACAAUUCAUAUUUUGCUUUUACUUCCUCAAAGGAUUAAGACAAAAAUGCUACAACAAGAAAACCAUCUAUAGUUCAUACUCCCAGAAAACCAAAAAAUCUUACCACAAAACAUAAUUUAGGAUUAUAAACCAAUAUGUGCAGAGCCCGAGGAGUACUAACCUGAAUUGAAGUCAAACAAUGAGCAGCUCUAAUUAGUCGAGAUGCAAGCACCCUACCAAAACUGCAACAGUGAAAUAGAGUUCCCAAAUGACCACCAAACAAAGACAUGAAAAGAAACAAAGAAUGAAGGACAAAAAGAGUAGCAAGUGUAAGCAGAGAGGAAAAGGAACAAAGACAUUAGAAUUGGUAUUUACUUUGCCUCCUCCAAGGAAUAUAUACGUAGCUCAUACAUAACCGGGUGGGCUGCAAUUGGAUGUCUGGUAGGUGAAGUUGCAGCAUCGUGACGAAAUUGUCCAUGGAAACCAGGAUCAGCUUCCAUGCCAUGACUAAUACAAGCAACACAAGCUGCUAAAAAUCUUCCACAUGGUGAAAAGUGGGCACCCAUUUCACUGAAAUAAAUAAUGUAUAUCAUGUAAGCACUAAGGACAGUUAAUUGCACGUGAUGUCAGGUUUUACAAUGAAAUAACAAUUAGGAAUUGUCAAACAACGGUAAGAGGAGAAUCAUCAAUUAUCCCUUAGAGAAAGUUAGAUCAAGCAUCUAGAACAACAUGAGAACAGCUAAAUAGCCCAUUAUCCUUGAAGGCAUAUGAAAACCUCAAGCCAAAGCUUUGAAACAAUAGAAAUUAUCUCAUCUACAAAGCACAGCAUGUGGUAUCAUUAAGCGACAACAGAAAUUAUCUCACCUACAGAGCACAGCAUGUGGUAUAAUUAAGCGACAUUUUUCAGCAUCAAGCGGCGCACAUGGAACCUUAAUAUCAUAAGGCCACACUCUGAGUUUCACAGUACAAGGUAAUUCAGAAGAAGCUGCUGCAGUCAGGGAAGUAGCUAUCUCUGACUGGAACCGACUCAUAAGAGCUUGAGAAUCACUUUCAUUAUGUGCAAUGUUAAUGGGAACAGCACUAUCACCAGAUCCAGCAACAGGUAUUACUCUAGAGCGUGAAGAACGGUGCCGGGAACCAGAUCUUCCAGACCUUGGAUGAUUACCGUUUGAAAUGAUGGACGGAACUGCAGGACGAUGUUCUACUUCACCAUAAGCUGAUACAAUGUUUGUGGCACCACUAUGCUCAGAAUGAAUCGCUUGUCGGCCUGCUUGGCUUUGGCCAAUCAACCAUCCUUGCAAGAAUGGUAAGUCCCAGUAUGCAGGGUCACUGAAAGGAAAAAACUGAUUGUUUCUCUCCUCAGUCGGCGCAUCAGUCUCCAUAGGAUCACCAACAGGGUUAGAUGCAUUCUCUGUAUCCCUAACAGAGGAACUAGUCUGAGCUUCUUGCGCAGGAGAUAAAGUUGGCUCAACAGGGGACAAUAAAAGUUCAUACUGGCCAGAAGGAGUUGAGUAAGUGAGAAGUCUGACAGAGGCAGAAGUGUCUGCUCUGUUCUGUGUACUGUCAGAACCCAUGUCUGCAUUACUCUGCUGCAAAGGCAUUCUAGGAUCACCUCUAGCGAUUGAUGGCCAGAUCAUGAACGGUAGAGACAUGAUAGGCAAUUCAUUCGCUGAAGCAGAUCGAUAAGUGGAGUGAGCAUCUGUCAAAUACACAGUAGGAGGAGGAUACCGCAAGUUACCCAGAGAAGUUGUAAAUGUCAUUAAAGGAUCUGAUGAGUCCAGAUCAUUGACCUAAAAACAAGAGGGUUGAUAAGAUUUACAGGCAUUCAUAAGUUAAAACUCAAUGUAACAGCACCAGAAUGACACCUCAGCUGUUAAAAGAUAUGGGGCGCCAUGUGGGUGGAAAUGCACAGCACGAAGUGAACGUCUUGUCUUUAGUAUGAUAGCUGGUGAAGAUGCCUCCCCUCUUCUGUUGUAGUGCCACAUAUACAGCUACGAUAUAUUGAAACAUCGUCAUACAUCAGAACUUGCAACGAACAAACCACUAUGUAUUGCCAAAUUUCUUACCUUGUGCCCUGAAGCAACAGCGAGAACUUCCCCUUGGGCAUGGAAGGCAAUGGAUGCAAUAGGUCGGUCUGGAGGAUAAAAUUCCCAUAUAAUGUAUUAAUUAAACAAAAAAAAUGGUAAAGAGUAAUUAUUUUUGUUCAACCAUUAAGAUGUUACAGGUUAUUACAAAAAUCACGUGAUCCUAUACACUCGGCGGUUUUUGCAUCCCAUAAACGAACUUCAUGGUCCAAACUUCCACUUGCAACUAUCUCAGAGUAGAGUGGAUGGAAACGAACCUGCAGAAGUCCCAACCAUAAUGCUAAAUAUAAUUGAGGAAUGAGAUUCAAAGGCAAGAGAAGAAAUAUCAAUACAGCCAAGACGUGUGGAAAAAAAAAACACCAGAGGCUUUCAAAAUAGAACUACAGACAACAGAAAAAAGCUUCAUAAAGUUCAAUCCUCUUCCAUAAGUGUGAGGUUCAAAUGAAAUGAAUUAGGCUUAGACCUGUGAGCACACAUCAAACAUUUAUCUCUCUAUUUUUUAGAUAGAUACCAAUCAUUUAUCUGCAUUAAUAUUUUAACCAAAUAAGAUAGUUUAGCCAUCUUAGAAGAACAUCAAUAAGCAUUAAGUUAAAAGAAUAUAAUACUUCGACAUUUUGUAAAGCCAACUAUAUUGUCAAUCCAAAAUCUCAGCAUUUUAAUUGCCUAGUGGACUGGAAUAUAUUUCCCAAGUAGAUAAUCCAAGAAUUCAGCACAACUGUUUAAGAUGACUGAAGAUGUCAAAACAGUCUUACCACCCAAGGAGUCCUGCGAUGUCCACUUAACACCUUCAAGCAUUUCCCGCUUUGGCAGUCAAUUAUCUUUACUGUGUGAUCUCCACUGACACCAUGGUAACAGAAUACGUCAACGAACUAGAUACAAGCCAAAAGAAAAAAUGGACAGCACGGAAAAAGUGGAAUGUUUGCCUUUGUUCUCAAUUCAUGAAUAUUGACAACGGAUUGCAUUUUUUUUUCCUUUUUUAUGAUAUGAAUAUAGUCACUGAGGAUUUAGAAAUGUGUGUAUAAUGAAUACUUGGACUCAAAAGAUAUUGUUAGAUAAACAAUUUCAGAUCUGAGCAGCGAGACACUACAAUGCAUAACAUAACAGAUUGUACAUGUCGAUGUAUUAAAAGAGAGACUGACUGAGUAGAAGCAAGUGUCUUCCCAUCAGGACUGAAUGCCGCAGCAAUUGUAGACCUAGGCGGAGGCAACAGUGGACAAUACUUAGCUGAAAAAUGUCUCAAUGAUUCUGCCUCUACCCUGAUAAAAUUAAACUAGCCGAAGUCAGAAAGCAAAAUGAAGAUUUGCAACUAUAUUAACUUCAUGGGAAAGAGAAAAGCUGACAAAACAUAACUACCAUGAUAUAAGACCCCGUCUCGGGUCUCUUGCUACUUGGCUUUUUAACUUCUCAUAGGAAUGAGCACAAUAUUUAGAAUUCUCAUCCCAUAACUUCUUAGAACUACGUUUAGCUCGAGGAGAUACCUCCCUCUUCGUUAGUAGCUGAAAGACAUUACCACAUCUGGCAAACAAAAUAAACCACCUCAGCAACCAAAAUACAACCUUAUUUGUGCAAUCUAAUUUACAAACUUCGCACAUAACCACAAAAGUUAAUCUUUGAGAAAACACUAACAACACUUACCCAUGUGUAUCAUAAACAUAUCUUUUUUUUACAUAGUAAACGCCACCAUCCCACCCCACACCAGAACCCACUCAAGGCGAGAAGUUGAAGGUCAUUUCCGCUAUGCUACUCCGCAAUUACAAUAUAAUUAAAUACAACAUUAAACAAUUAAAAACUGAUAUAUUUCCCAUCUUUGCAAAAAUAGUUUCAAACUAAACUCACCCCAAUUAAAGCUUACGAUCAAUCAUUUUAUGCAAAGACAUAUUCCAACAGCAACCAUAUCAGAAGCAUUACAAUUAUCCAUAUCACCAUGAACCCUUUUAAGCUAACAAUAAGUAUGCCAACAUAACAGAUAAAACUCACAUAUUUUUUGGUUAAGAUUUUUAAUUAAACCAAAAAAAAAGAAGUUGUUUUCAGCCUCAACCCUUCUCUGCUUAAAUACCAAACUUAGUUCACCAGACAAAACUCCAACUGGAGGUCUGCCUCUGAGUUUAUAAUAUUGUGUAAUACAGUUUCAUUAAUUAAAAGAUGCAAAUAUCAUAAUUAUAUUAACUCAGAUAAAUCAUGAAUUUCCAAUUCUAAAACCAAUCAAAGCCUCUUAAUCUAGCAUCGAAUAAGCUGAAACUAAACUAAAUUUCAGAUCUUUGAAUGACAUUAAUCAAAAUCAAUAAAAAUUCAAUCUUUAGGGUUUCAGGAUCAAAACUAUGACCUGUUUUUGCAAUUAGGGUUUUGCUCAAUCGGAAGAGCAGGCGAAUUCCAUCCCGGCGGCGGCGGCGGCGGCGGUACAUGAAUCGGAUUUGACGUAGAUGAAUCACUACUUGAAUUCUCCGGCCAAAGAGAUCCCCUCAUAAUUCUAUCCCCACAAACGAAUACCUCAUGCCCCAAUAUUUCCCGUCAUUUCCAAUGGAACUUUUCCGGCGAAAUAUUAAAAAAUCGAUAAAAUUAUCCGAAAAUGCCCUCAAAUUUGGUGGAAUUUACACCGGGAAAUAUAGAGGGAUGGAGGAUAUAGAGAUCUUGUAGAAGGGCAAAAUGGGAAGAAAAAAAAAUUUAGGGGAAAAUGAGAAAAAUGAAGAAGACGACGGAAGGUAUUUUUUUUUUUGAGAGUUUGGAGGAUUUUUCCGGCAUCGGACAGUAAUAUGUUUACUUUAAUGUAAAAUGACAAAAAUAACCUUGGCGCGUGAGGUACAAAUAUUGUGAUUUGUUAUUAAUAAAAAUGAAAUUUAUUUUUAUUUGUAGAUGUUUGAUUUAUUAAACUAAUAAAAAAAUAAAUUAAAGAAAAAAUAUUUAUAAAUGAGGAUAAUAUAAAAUUUGUGUUUUGGUUUUCUAAAAGAUUGAUUAGGGUUAACUUUUAACUGAUAUUUUAUAUGGAAUGGAGAAUAUUUUUCUUCGCUUUUUUUUAGUUGUCAUGAUAAGCUCUGUUAUAAUCUCUAAUAAAGAUUAAAAAAAGUUGUUUAAUCAAUAUAUGAUUAUUAAAUUUUUAAUCUUUGUUAAUAUAUAUGUCUUUUAAACUCUAAAAUAAUUAAUGUUAUAGGUAUAGUUAGAAAACAAUAACUAAUUUUUUCUUUGAUUUGUUUGAAUUGGCAACUAUUUGAAAUAAAUAUGUUUAGUAUACAUGACAACUGAAAAGAACGGAGAAAUGUAUUAUUAUAAUUAGAAGUAUUCAACAUCGAUUGUAACUCAUAAGUCAAUCGCACGAUUGACUUAUUGGCUUAUUGAUAUUAGUGUUUUUCCAUAAUAUAUAAUUAUAUAUAAUCAAAAUCUAAGGUCGUACCGCAAAAAAAGCUUGAAAACAUAUUUUUAACUAUUAUAUUAUUAUUAAUUUAUAUUCUUUUUUGUAAUUAGAAGAAUGUUAUAAUUUAACUGUAUUUAAAAUAGGAAAACAAUUUAUUUUUACGUUAUUAUCAUAAAAAAGGAUACAAUUCGCCAAUACAAGUGUUAUUCAUUAUGAAACUAAUCGAUAUUUUAUAAAUUAACUAGCAAAUUAGUAAAUUUAAAAAUUAAUAUCCAGUAAAUGAAUUCGAUAAGGGCCUAAUUGUAAUAUGAUAUUCAUAGUCCUAAAAUAGAAAAUUUUAUCUAGUACUAUAUAGGAUAACCUAAUCCUUUUUUAAGUCUGAAAAUAUUAUUCAUUAUCUCUAAAAUUUAUUAAGUCAUGCUAGUCGAUAUUUUUUUUUUUAAUUUGCAGAACAUUGUUUAUCUCAUUUAAAUGACUUGUAUGUCUCAAUUAAAAAAAAGGUAACUAGUACAAAAAUUAAAAAAUAAACUCGAGAGUGUACUUAAUUCUCAUUAAAAAAAAAUUACAUUAUUUAAAGAGAAAAAAAUUAGACUCAAACAAUUAUGUAUUUGAAUAAUAAAUCCGUCUUUGCUUCAAUUUAACAAUGGUUGUCUCAAUUUUCUGUUAGUUAUAAAUAGAAAUAAGAUAAAUUUACCAUUUUUUUUUCAAAUUUAACUCAAACAGUCGUCUACUUAAUUGCUUAGAUUGUUAUAAAAUUUAAAAUUGUUAAAAAGGGUCUGUUCAACCUCAUCCGGCUCAAUUCUUACGGGCUAAUGACUUUGAAGGAUUAGGAUUGACUGACCCUUCAUUUGGAAGGACCUAAUUAAAAAGGGUUGAGGGUUAGGGCGGGCGAGAUAGCUUCUUCUUCGUUUUUUUCAAAAGUUUUAUAAUAUUAAAAAAACGAAAGACUUCUAUAUCAAAUAUGACAAAAAAAAAGGUGUUGUUUCAACAACACUAGCAAAAAAUAUAGAGUAAUUAAAUUAAUAUGUAUCUAGGAUACUAUAUAUGCGAGACGCAUGUAUCUUGUGUAAUAUGUUUCAUAUACGCGAGUGAGAUAAGAGAGUGGCAAGCGAGAUGAGAGGGAGACGAGGGUGUGAUAUUUGUCUAUGUAUCCUAGAUACAUGUGACUCCACUUUUACAGAGUAUUUCUAAAACAAAUUAACUUAUUUUGAGUCCAUAUUCCUAAGAUACAAAUAUCUAGACGUACAAAAAUCUGAUAAGAUUCAUAAAAUUACAGCUUAUAUACAUUUAAGUAAUUAACUCUAUACUAGUGGAAUUAUUUUAAGUUACCCCUGAAAUAAAUAAUUUUGAUUCAUGGGCUAACUCUCAUCUGAUUCCGCUCAAGCCUCAAGGGCCAAAAACUUGUAUGUAUUGAGCUUAUAAGCCAUACUUCUAAAUAAACUUUAAUUUUUUUUAUCCCAAUCCUGCUCCAACAAAUAAGUUGGGUUGGCUCGAUAUGGAUUAAGUCUAUUUUGACGGCUCUAAUAAAAUUAAUAAAUAUAUGAUAUAUGUAUAAAAUGUAUACAUAAUUAUGUAUUAUUUUCGUAUAUAUAUAUAUGUAUAUCAACUCGGAAAAAAAAACUGCAAAUUCAAGAUUGUAAAGUUUUUUUCUUUUAUAUUAUUAUUGAUAUUAUUUCUAGUUUCUAUUAGGUGAAUAUAAAUAAUAAAUAAAUUCAAUUAUUAGAUUCCUUUGGUAUGUUCCAUAUCCAAUAAUCCAUUGAUUGGAUAUCCACUGAAAAAUCAUUAUCCAUUAAAUCAAAAUUAGAUAAACUUUCUUAUAUGGCGGUCAAAAUUAGCAAUUGGUCCACCUUUGACCAUUAUGUAUGCAAUGACAUAAUUAAAAAAUUCAAAGAAUUCACGUUAAAAUAUUUAUUAAUUUACGAUAUUAAAACUCUCGCAAAGUUUAUGUGUCUUAUUAAAAAACAAACUUUUUUUAAUAAGGUAAUUAUGUAUUUUCUUAGUUAGAAAUAAAAACAUCUCUCUCGAAAAAUAUUUUAUCCUUUUGUGGAUUAGUUUAACAAGUUUUUAUUUUUUAAAUAAAUUUAUCUCAUGUGAUUACAAUUUUAUCGAUUUGAUGAGUUUUUAAAUAUCAAAUGCCUAAAACCAAAAUCAUUAAUUAAUGACAUGAUAUAUGUUAUUCUCUUCGUCUAAUAAUAAUUGUAUAUUGAAGUAUAUAUUUAAAAUAGUUGUAUAACAAUAAUUGUUUAAUUUAGAAAAUUAAGAGAUGAUUUAUUAUUGGGAAAAUUGUAUACAAUAGCAAACUAAUAACCUAAAUUAAAUGGAAUAGCUAGGGUUUGAUUUAAUUGUGCUCCAUAGCAAACAUUAACUAAAAUUUACCAGCGUCUCUCUCCCAAAAAUCUCGCUCGCCACUCUCCAUUCUCGUUCGCCUCUCUCGCUUUAUACACAGAAGUGUAUAAUUCUGUUUCUGUUUUGUAUAAAGCGAGAGAAAAUUGUUUAUACACAUGAAAAAAUGUAUAUCUUCGUGUUAUACACUUAAUUAUACAAUUUACAAACAUUUUACUUCAAAUAUUGCAGAGAAAAAGGCCAACGAAUUAUACAAUUGCAGUGAAAUACAAUUUUCUCUAGCUUUAUACAACAGAAGUGUAUAUAUUGUGUUUCUGUUUUUGUAUAAAGUGAGAAAAACAUAUAUCUUCUUGCUAUACACUUAUAAUUAUGCAAUAUACAUACAUUUUAAUUCGAUUCAACUGUAUGCAAAAUAAAUUAUACAAUUGCAGUGAAAUAGGCCAGCGAAUUAUACAAUUUAGGCCAGCGAAUUAUACAAUUGUAUAUGUAUAGUAAAUUAUACAGUUUUAUGUUUGCUAUGGAGCGCAAUUAUGCAAAGUUUGCUAUAACAUAUAAAUAUGAAUUUUUUGUUUGCUAUAUGUGAAAGUUACCCUUUAUUAUUUGUGUUCUAUUUUAUUCUUACUAUUCAAAAUUACUUAUCACUGACAUAUUUUUUAAAGCACUAAAUUUAAUAAAAUCAAAAAAUAAUAUAAUGAUAUUAUCUUUUUAUUUAUUAUUUCUCAAAGAAUGUACAUAAUUAAUGGUAGACAACUAUUGUAAUUUAGACUAAAUUUUUAAGUUAAAAAUGAAACUUAACACAUUAUUUUUAAGUUUCACAUACAAUAUAGAAGGUUUAAGCGUAUUUUUUUUUAACCAAAAUAUCCCUUCUUUUAAUGUAUCUCAAUUGUGUUUUAUUAAUAGAUAUAUCUCUUUUUAAUGAAAUUAUUAUAUAAUAUAUGGAGAAUUUUAACUUAAUAGACGGUAUUGAUUAUUUAUCAAUAUGAAUAGCGAUAGCGCUUGAUUCAUUCAAGUUUAAUUUAUUCGUUUAAGAUUAUAGAGGUUCAAUUUUACGAAUUUAAUAAUAUUUAAUUUAAAUUUUUAAAAAAUAAUAUAGAUUUUAGUAAUUUUUUAAUCAAAUAACUUAAGAAAUGUUAUUCUCUUUUAAAAUCAUUUAAUUGCACUAGAGUAUAAACCUGAAAAAAUUUUAAUAUGACUCGAUUCAUAUCGAUCAACAAAUGAAUAUAUUUUUUUUAAUUAAAAUUCCAAAAGAUAACAUCUUAUAAUUCCAUUAAAUUAUAAGACGUUUUAAAUUCGAAAUCUAAUGUUAAAACAAUUAAUAUCCCAAUAGAUGAUACAAACGAGUAUAUUUUUAGGGAAAAUUGUAUAUAAUAGCAAACUAAUAACCUAAAUUAAAUGGAAUAGCUAGGAUUUGAUUUAAUUGUGCUCCAUAGCAAACAUCAGCUAAAAUUUGCCAGCGUCUCUCUCCCAAAAAUCUCGCCACACUCUAUUCUCGCUCGCCUCUCUCGCUUUAUACACAGAAGUGUAUAAUUCUGUUUCUGUUUUGUAUAAAGCGAGAGAAAAUUGUACAUACACAUGCAAAAAUGUAUAUCUUCGUGUUAUACACUUAAUUAUACAAUUUACAAACAUUUUACUUCAAAUAUUGCAGAGAAAAAGACCAACGAAUUAUACAAUUGCGAAUUAUACAAUUGCAGUGAAAUACAGUUAUCUCCAGCUUUAUACAACAGAAAUGUAUAUAUUGUGUUUCUGUUUUUGUAUAAAGCGAGAAAAAGAUAUAUCUUCUUGCUAUACACUUAUAAUUAUGCAAUAUACAUACAUUUUAAUUCGAUUCAACUGUAUGCAAAACAAAUUAUACAAUUGCAGCGAAAUAGGCCAGCAAAUUAUACAAUUUAGAACAGCGAAUUAUACAAUUAUAUAUGUAUAGCAAAUUAUACAGUUUUAUGUUUGCUAUGGAGCGCAAUUAUGCAAAGUUUGCUAUAACAUACAAAUAUGAAUUUUUUGUUUGUUAUAUGUGAAAAUUCAAAAAUUAAUACUCAGAACAAAUUUUGAAUUCAAUAUGAUUAUAUUAUAGUAAUAGUAAAAUAAAAGUGAUAAAUUGAAAAUAUUUCUAAUGCAUUUUAUGAUAUUUCCUUUCUUUUUCCAUAGUCAAUAUCAAUUAUUUUCGAGGACCACCAAUAAAUAAUAAAUAAAUUAAAAAGUGUAAAAUAAUGUGAUUAAUAUAACUGAAAGAAAAAAUAGAAAAAAAAAAGAGAGAUAUAUAUGCCAAAUUUUACGUGGCUCCUUUUAAUAAAUUCACCGUCCAAAAACCACCACGUGUCACAUCAAAAUUAUCUUCUUUACUUUCUUCCAAAAAUAAUUUAUAUUUUACGUUUCGUGUACCUAAAUGUAACCAUAAAAAAAAAAAAAAAAAGGGACAAAAUACUUCGUUUUCCAUUUUCACCGGCACCUUAUUCUUUAUGCCACGUGUCCAAUGACGAAUAGUAAAUUUUUUUAAAAUAAUAAUGCCUAAUUGAAGAAGAGAUGACAAUUAAAUGAAAAUAUUAUUAUACUUUUAUUUAGUCAAUUAACACUAUUGGAAAGUAACGUCGAUAACAAUAAUAAUAUAUUCAGUAUUAUAUUAUUGAGUUUUUUUUAAAAAAAAUUUAGACUUUUAUAUCAAAGAUAUAUGAUGAUUGAUUAAAAAACAAUAACAAAUGGUUAUUAAAUAUUAUUAUAAUUAAAUUAUAUAAAUAAAAUAUAAUAGAAGAGAAAAAAAUAAGAGUAAUAUUAAGCCCCGGACAAAACAAGACAACAAGUCCAUACACUCCCGAGUCUCAUCUAUUAACCUUUUAACAUAGUUAAUAUCUUACACGCUUUACUAUUUAGGUAUACGUCUUUGAUAAAUUGUAAUAUUAUCGUGUUUUGUUUAAUUACUUCAUAAAUUACUAUUUUUUCCGCCUAAGUACUCUACUUUUUUUGAAUUCGUUCAUAAUCUAGACCUUUCAUAUCUCCAUAUCGAUGCAUUCGUGUAUCUGCUCAUCACAUACUCCAGCCAUCUCGAUAUUAUUUUCCGUAUCUUAUUUUCCUCCGACUCUAUGAAGUUAAAAUCAAAUCUUUCUGUUAACUUUCUCAAUUUAUUCGUGAAUAAUAAUUCACGGACGUGAAGUAAGUAACUCUAAAACACCUUAUCGCUCCAUUACUCUUCCCAUACUUGAGCUACAUGAACCUUCACGCGUCUCCAAAUAUCCACCGUCCAUUUCACGUGAUCAAAAGCAAUCUUAACCGUCGCCUCCGCCAUCGCUCGUUCUUCGCCACGUGUAGUUACUUACACGUGUCAUUAAUUUAACGGUCCUAUUUAUCUUUAUAUAUCUUAUUAUCUAGAGUUUCUAUUUUUUAUUUUUACUUGUAUACUCUAUAAAUAAUCCACAAUUUCAACUCCUCCUUCUCCAUUUUUCUCCAUCAAUUUGGUGAACAAAACAAAAAAAAAAAUUAAAAAAAUUCAUCAUUUUUAAUCUGCAAAAAAAAAAAUUAGUUAUAAUAUUAUUAUUAUUAUGGCAAUGAGUCUGCCACACCAGAUCGGUGCCUUAUCAGGAACAUCGCUCACGGCGGAAACCGGUGGAGUUUCAUGCGAAGUUCCGGCGAAGGGGAGUUCAGCUACAUCAGCUAUGUGGAGAACACCGAUGACGAAUUUAAAAGUAUCGGUGCAAAAAACAGGAAAUGAAAUUGACAGGGUGUCGCCGUCGCCGUCGCCGCCGAUGAGUCCGAUGAUGGGAGGAGGAAUGCGACCGGAUUUAUCGGUAGCGUGUCAAGCGUUGAUGGAGGCUCAGGUAGAGGAGGUAGUUGAGAGAGAAUAUAAGGUUAGGAAUUCGUCGGAGAAAGAGAAAGGUGUUCCGGUGUUUGUUAUGAUGCCGUUGGAUAGUGUGAAAACGGAUCAUACUGUGAAUAGAAAAAAGGCGAUGAAUGCGAGUUUACAGGCGUUGAAAAGCGCCGGUGUGGAAGGGAUUAUGAUGGAUGUGUGGUGGGGAUUGGUGGAGAGAGAUGCACCGGGAGAGUAUAAUUGGGGCGGUUAUGCUGAGCUUAUGGAAAUGGCGAAAAAACAUGGACUCAAAGUUCAAGCUGUGAUGUCUUUCCAUCAAUGCGGUGGUAACGUCGGUGAUUCCUGCACGUAUGUAUAUUUUCUCCGAUGCUAUUUUUAAUUCGUUUUAACUGCAAAUUUGUGAUUACCAGAUUCAAAAUCUAGAUCUGUUAUAAUGAAUACCGUCAAAUCAAACAUGAUAUAACUCGCAUCUCAAAAGCUAAUUCGAGAUAUUUUCACAUCGGAUGUGGCCUGACUAUCAUAACAUGUCAAAUUAGUAUUUUAUCGUAGUUUAACCUCACAAAAAGCUAACUUAAAAGGGAGAAGCAUUGCUCGAAACGAGUGGAGAGAUAUCAUUCCUCGUCGAGGUGGUAAAUCUCUUCAACAAAUACUUUUAGAUAAAAGAUUCAUAGGAUCUGGAAAAGAUUAAAGAAGAAAGUUCAAAAAAAGGUUAGUGGAUAGUGAGAAUAUGCUCCUUUAUAUGUGUGCUAAAUGAACUAUUUAAAGUAACUAUAUUUUAUCUGGAAAGAUAAAUGACUUUAUAAUAGAUUGGAAUCAACCUGAAUAGCAUAAAAUGGAAUAUGGAAGAUUCAUGAAUAAUUCAAUUAUCUUUGUUUAAUUUUCAUUCGAGUUCUGUUAUGCGUUUUGAUUUCUACUAAUCGCGAUGUAUAGGCGUUGCUUAAGUAGAUUUUUGAAAUUUCAGGAUCCCUCUUCCGAGGUGGGUUGUUGAGGAGAUGGAGAAGGAUCCAGAUCUUGCAUACACAGAUCAGUGGGGAAGGAGGAAUUUUGAAUAUGUAUCGCUUGGUUGCGAUACACUUCCAGUUCUUAAAGGAAGGACUCCUGUUCAAUGCUAUUCUGAUUUCAUGAGAGGGUUUAGAGAUAGAUUUGAGAAUCUCUUAGGUGAUACCAUUGUGGUAAGUGCUAUGUUUUUUUCGAAUUUUUGAUCGAAGAGUAGAAGACUCACUUUUUUAAUCCAAAUGACGUGUGAUAUAGGAAAUUCAAGUCGGGAUGGGUCCAGCUGGUGAGCUCCGUUAUCCAUCCUAUCCCGAAAAAGAUGGAAUAUGGAAGUUCCCUGGAAUCGGUGCUUUUCAGUGUUAUGAUAAGGUAUAAAGCAAGUUCUGUUUUCUAUGGUGUGUUUUAGUGUUUAACGUCGUCAUUAUUACUGAUGAUUUGUUCUGUUAAAUGUAUUGUAUCGCGUUGCAGUACAUGAUCGGUAGCUUACAGGGUGCAGCGGAAGCAUUUGGUAAGCCUGAAUGGGGACACACCGGUCCAACCGAUGCUGGUGAGUACAACAAUUGGCCAGAAGAUACAAACUUUUUCAAGAAGGAAGGUGGUGGAUGGGAUAGUCAAUACGGGGAGUUCUUCCUCACUUGGUAUUCUCAAAUGCUUUUGAACCAUGGCGAGAGGAUACUGCAAUCAUCCAAGGCGAUAUUCGAGGACAAAGGUGUGAAGAUUUCAGUUAAGAUUGCAGGUAUCCACUGGCACUAUGGAACAAGGUCCCAUGCCCCUGAGUUGACUGCUGGAUACUACAACACUCGUAACCGAGAUGGUUACCUUCCCAUCGCCCAAAUGCUUGCCCGCCACGGUGCAGUUUUCAACUUCACAUGUGUUGAAAUGCGUGACCACGAGCAGCCACAAGAUGCACAAUGUGCACCUGAGAAGUUGGUUAGGCAGGUGGCGUUAGCAACUCAGGAAGCUCAAGUUCCACUUGCUGGGGAGAAUGCAUUGCCACGAUACGAUGAUUAUGCUCAUGAACAGAUCCUUCAAGCGUCCUCGUUGAGCAUCAACGAUCAAUCAGGUGAUAGAGAGAUGAGCGCGUUUACAUACUUGAGGAUGAAUCCUGACUUAUUCCAUCCUGAUAACUGGAGACGAUUCGUUGCCUUUGUGAAGAAAAUGAAAGAAGGAAAAGACGCUAACAAAUGCCGCGAACAGGUAGAGAGGGAAGCAGAGCAUUUCGUUCAUAUAACUCAGCCGUUAGUACAAGAAGCUGCAGUAGCCCUAAUGCACUAAGCAAAUCGUUGUCAAAUAGUACUGUUUUAAUUUGAUCCUUUUAGCUAACAUGAAGUUUUUCAACAUGUUACCUGGAUCUUAUAGCUCGUUAUCGUUGUUCUUAAAUGUUUGUAAAACUGUUCAUCGUGUAGUUUUUUUAAAGCUAGACAUUAUGUCUUAAUGAAAUGAUACAUAAUUCAGUAGUAAAUACACCUCUUCAAUCCAAAUAUCACAUAUAUGAUUCUUCGUUCAUUUGUUGACUGGUUGAUGUUCGUUCGUUCUUAAUUUUAAAAUAACUGGAGAAUCAAAGAUACGUCUUUUUAUACUUAUUAUAAAAAUUUAAAUUAAUCGAGACGGUAAAAAGUUUAACAUUGUUGAUUGUUACAUGAUUUUCCUAUACUUUGGUAUGACAUUUUUUUAUAUGUCAACCCAUACCUUCUAAGCACAUGAUACGUGCACAAACUCGAGAAUUUAUUUUGUACUUUGCUUUAAGUAAUGGCAAGUAUUCAUGUCCAUAAGGUCUUCAUGUGCUAGUGAAGUCUCUUUUACUUUAAAAAAAUCGUUACGUUGCUAUCGGAGAUGAAUUCAAAAUUUUAAUUUUUACAAUCUAUUAUUUGUAUUAAUCUAACGUGUUUUACUACACAUUAAAGCCAAAAUUUCUAGAUAAACUCACUCGUUACAUUAUAAAUCUGCAUUGAUAGUGAUUGUUGUUAAAUAUGAUACGUCUGUCUAAACGUCACAUAUUAUGUUUAAAAAAUCUAUUUUUUGUUACUUAAUAUCGUGUCUAAGUUUUGUGGCCAAGAAGAGUCAUAAAAAAGUGUUUCACACGGAUUUCCAUUAUAAAGUAAUAAGACAAUUUAUAAUAGCUGACUUUUAAUUUUAUUUCACACGACUCUUAUGCACAAAAUUAUAAAAAUCGUUUUUUUCCCCGUAAAUAUACAUACACACUAUUUCAACGUUUAAUUAUAUUAACUUUUUUUUUAUUUUCUUAAAUUUCGUAUUGAAUCGUCGUCACAUACAUGCAUAUAAAGUAAAGUAGAAGUGGACAUUAAUGUUCAAUAAGAUGGUUAAGGACCAUGUAAAAGUUAGGUAUAAAUUUUUUUUCCUUUUGUUUUGAUUUAUUGUGGAUGAGAGGGUCUGAAUAUUCUAGUGUAUGUUAAAAAGAUGCCACUUUAAUCACAUAAUUUAAUUUUGAUAAUGAAAAAUUAAAGCAAAAUUUUUAUAAUAUGACUUAAUCAUAAGAAUUUUUAUAUAUUUUAUUUUGUUAAAUAUUAUAAUUUAUAAUAUCUUUUACAUACUUUUAAAAUACAUAACAGAUAAUAAUUAAAAUAGAGAGACUAUUAAAUUUUCAAAAAUACACAAUUUUUUUGAUAUAAUAUACACAGAUUGAAUUAUAAGAUAUAAUUUUUUUAAUUAAUGUAGUUUGAUCAAUAAGUUAUGAAAAUAAUAUCUUAAAGAAAUAUAAAGUAUAAUAAGUAAAUUUUUAUGAUCCAAUUCUCACGCAUAGCGAGAACUUAAUAUUCUGUCCCUUUUUUGUUUUACAAUUAAAAUUAUAAUUGUCAUUACCAAAGUUUGUAUUAAUUAACCACACGAAAACCAAGUCCAAUGCAGAAAAAAAUGGAUCAUCAAUCAAAUAAACCAAUAAACUCUAUAAAUAGGUCUAAUUAACCUAUAAGAUACUCAAAAAAUAUAUAAUAUAUCAAAGGUUAAAAAAACCAUUUUUUUCUACUAUUAUUUUAUUAUAAAUAAAUUCUUUAAAAUCAAUAAUCAAAAUGUCAAAUGCUCAACAAGCCGGUGAAUACCACGGCCAAGCUCAGGUAAUACUAUAAUAAAUAUUUGUUACGAAUCAAAAUUAUUUUUAUAUUAUCUAGACUUAUAGUCUAGUAAUAUCAAAAUAACGUAACCUAUCAAGCCACGAUCCCAUGUGGUGCAAAAUUAGAGUCAUCAUUAUUAUUAUUAUUGUUAUUAUUCUUUAGAAUAUCGACUUAAAUUCUAAUCGUAUCAGUAAUAAUACUUUUUAUAUAAUAGGUGUGAAAUUUUUUUUCCAAUUCUCGUUUUCCCUUUCCUUCGAUCUUUUUUUGAAUAUAAGAAAAUCAAUUCAAAAUUUAAAUUUAACGAAUAAUAAAUGAAACAGGCUAAGACCAAACAACUAGCAGAGUCAGCAAGAAAUACAGCACAUUCAUUGGCUGAUAAGGCUGACAAUGCUACCCAAAAUGCUCAACAAUCUGUUCAAGAAAACAAAGAUCAACUCAACCCUGGAUUUCUUCAACAGGUAAUAUAUUAUCGAAAUUUCGUUAAGAACGUUCAAAAUUUAAAAAUAUAUAUGUAAAAAGUAAUUGUCGCAAAGUGUAACUUAACCAAGAUAAGUACAUGUUAGCUACCUGACAUAAAAAGUGAAAAUAUAAAAACAGUAUAGAAGGUCUCUAAAUUAUCAGUAUAUAUAAAUUAAAUUGCUUGAAAAAUUAUUAACACAUUUUAUACUUUUCACUUUUUUAUUUUCCAAAUUAAUGAUACUAUGUCUAAUAAUUCUCUUAUUUUAUUUUAUUAUAAUUAUUCAGACUGGAGAGCAAGUGAUCCAUAUGGCUCAAGGUGCAGUUGAUGGAGUGAAGAACACACUUGGAAUUGGAUCAGACAAAAAGUGAAAAAGAGAAAAUGAAAUUAAUUAAUUAAUUAAUUAAUUAAUUAACACAUUUAUCAAUUUAUAUAUCUCAAUUUUAAUUAAUUUUUCAUUUAAUUCUAUGAUUUUCACAUAUGCUUUAGAUUAUUAAGCAUAAGUGAAAAAACAUAAUAUUAUUAGUUUGUGAGAUCUCUCACCAAAAGAAUUACAAAAUUUAAUUCUUAUAAAGUGAGAUGAUUUUCAUAGGUUUGGUUUAAUUAUUGUUUAACAAUUCCAUGCACCUUAUAUUGGUGUUAUAGUGAAUUUUGUUUUAUUGAUCGAGAUUUCUCUCGUUAGAAAUUCUCAUUAUAAGUACGUAAUAAGAAAGUUUUAUUUUGUUUUUGUUAAUUGAUAUUUUUUGUUAUUUGUUUUUGACUCGAUUUACUGAUUGAUGGUGGAGAUGCUCAACCACUUGAACAAGUCUCACUUAUUUCAGAAUUAAAUAAUACACUCACUUUUCUACUAUCCUUUUUCAUCUAAAUGCCAAACGUAUGUUGAGAAACAGAGUUUAAAUUCGUGACGUGUAUCUAAUCGACACAUCUUCUGCUGUACUCUUAUGAUAUUAUCAUUAUAUUGAGAUUUUUGACCGAAAGAAAAUUAUGAGAGACAAUUUAGUUUUAGCACGUUCAAUUUCUAUCACAAGAUUAAAUACCUAUAUUUGUUUGCAGGUAAUUUUUUAGAAAACCAUUAAUAAAUUGAAUUAAAACGAUUAUAAUAUUGAGAAUCCUUCAUAUAUUAUUAGAAUUUGCCUACGAUUUAUAAAUAACUAUAAACAAUGCAUCACCACCCUUUUCUAAUGUUGCUAUUAUUAUUUUUUCAUUAUGUGAUAUAUAUGAUAAUUUGUAAAAAAAACAAAAAAUCAUUAUAUAAUAAGUAGAUAUCGUUAUAUAAUAUACGAACAUAUGCAUCUUUUUAUUUAACUUUAUUACAAAUAUAAGUGUUUAUAUGUGGAUAUUUAAAAUUAAAAAAUGUAUAUAACGACUGAAGUAGAGUUAAAUAAUACGUUUAUUACUAUGCUGAUUCAAAAUAAAUAUAUUUUUAUAGGAAUUUUUUGUAAAAACCAAGAAAAUUGGAUACUCCAUAUGUUAGAUUAUAUGAAUUACUUAGAUAUUUUAUAUUUAGUAAUAAUUUAAUUUUAAAAUAUUUAGCUUAUCUUAAAUAAUAUAAUAUAUAGGUAAAGAAAUAUUUAUCAUUUGGUUUAGAUAAAAAAAUUUCUUUUUUUCUUCUUUUUAAGGGCCCGUUUGGCCAUAAAUUUUCCAAAUAAUAUUUGGAAAAAAUUUGGCAAAUAAUGUUUGUCCAUACAAUUUGCCAUUAUUUGGCAAAUAUUUUUGGGAAAUAUCCCAAAUUUCUAAAUACUAGUUUUUUCUAGUAUUUGGGCCAAAUCUCAUUAUUUGGGAUAUUUUAAAAAUUAAAAAUUUACCCCAAUCUUUUAUCUUUUACAAAAACACCCUCUCUAGUAGUUGUUUGCGUUGUAUUACAUCAUUUUUUACGUGAACACCAAAAUAGUGAUGAAAUAUGUAGUGAAUAUUAAAUAAUGAUAUGAUUGUUGAUGAAAAUUAUUAAAAAUUGGCUUUAGGUAACAAAGUCAUGUACUUUGUCUACUUCACGAUGUAUGAAAUAAUUCUUGUUGCACUCACUCCAAAUUACCACAUUGCUUUAGUGUCAUGGACAUUAUUUGUUAUUGUUGUAACGAACAUUCAUUGACUUGUAAUACAAACUUUUAGUUAGUUUUGAUAGUUUUUAAAACUUGUGUGUAUAAAUCAUAUUAUUCUAAAAAGGUGAAAUAUAUUUCCCAAAUUUUAUGGCCAAACACAUGGUGAAAUUUCACCCAAAUUUUCACUCAAAUAAUAUUUGCCAAGAAUGUUUGGAAAUAUAUGGCCAAACGCUAGCUAAAUUUCGUAUCAAAUCAAACUAACUCAUAUUAAAAUAAAAUCAAAAAAAAAAAAGAUAUCUGGAAGAAACUGGAUAGUUUCCCAUAAAAGAAAUAAUAAAAAAAUCUUCUCUUAGAUUCUUUUGCUUUAACACUGGACAAUUUUUUCUUUCCCAAAAUCUCCUCAAAUCAACCACUUAAUUACACCUUACUGCCACUUCAUCUUCACUCUCCUCCCAUGGCUACUCUGCAAACUCAUCUCCAGUUUCCCAUCUGUUCUUCACCAAGAUUGUUUCAUUUCAAGAACCCCAAUUCAGUUUCUUUCUCAAAAAAGCUUUUUUUCUCAAGAAAAGUUAAUGGGUUGUUUAGUUAUUCUAAAUUUGGUGCAAAAGAUUCAUUCUUUUGUUGUAGUCAAACUAGUGGUGAAAUUUUACCCCUUUCAUCAGCUCAGAAGGAGAAGGAGACUAGUGAAAGGCCUCCUUUUGAUAUCAAUUUGGCUGUCAUUCUUGCUGGUUUUGCUUUUGAAGCUUAUACUAGUCCUCCAGUAAAUUCUCAAUCUUUAUAUGUUCAUUUUUAUGUUUUUCUCUGCUCAGUUGGUUGGUUAUCAAACUUGUUGAGGGACUCAAUUUUUUACCCUGUAAGCCCCUACCUUAUUUUGAAAAUUGAAACAUUGAAAUAAUAAAUUGAAAAAUAGAUUCUGAUAGAUAAGGUCUUUCGGGUAUAGUCUCUCUACCUCUACGAGAUAGUGGUAAGGUCUGCAUGCAAGGGGAAAAUGAAAGUGCAUUCCUGUGCACCAGUUGAAAAAAGGAGCUUUGGAAGCUUACCUUAUUAUUAUAUUAAAAUGGGAAAUCUACCCUCCCGGACUCCUCUUGUGGGAUUUUGUUGUUGUUCAUUGUAUUCUGAUAGAGAAAAUGGUAUUGAGGUGUAGUUGAUUGGCUAAAAAAAUCAUAUCUUUUUUGUAAAUAAGAGUGUUGAUAGGUAUGUAGUUGUUCAUUUUUCUGUUUCUUUCUUUAUUAAUUAAUUGAAAAUGGACUUAAAUAGAGUGUAUGGAUAUUGAGGAUUCUUGUAGUAGAUAACUCCAACUAGCUUGGAAUUGAGGUGUAGUUGAUUGAUUGGCUAAAAGUUUCUCUCUUUUUUGUAAAUAAGAAUGUUAUGUAUGUAGCUGUUUAUUUUUCUGUUGCUUUUUUUUUAAUAAAUUGAAAAUGGACUCGAAUAGAGUAAAUGGAUAUUGAGGAUUCGUAUAGUGGACUCCAACUAGUUUGGGGUUGAGUUGGAGUUGAUUGAUCGACUGUUGAUUCAUUUUUUGUAUAUAAGCAUGAUGAUAUUAGCUGUGGAUUGGAGGAAUUGCUUGCCAAAGUAUCUUGCAUUGUGGGUUCUUUCGGUUUGGCAGUGUAGAAGUCAUAGCGGACAUGCUUGUAAAGUAUGAUUUUCUGCUGCCUUAAAGUUGUGAUCUUUGAGUGUCAGUAAUUCGUUUUCAUUCGUAUUAUUGUUUUGGCAUCUUAUCACUCUGUUGUGAUUCUAGUUUAGAAAUGAACAUAAAUGUGCUUCCCCUAUAGUAGUCAUACCCCACAUACUCAUGAUAGUAAAUGAAGGGAAUAUUUUCAUUAUAAACAUAUAUAAGGUGAUGAUCACUUGCCUAACUGGAUUUUCGUUGAACUAAAUUUUGCUUAGAAGUAAAUUAGGCUUGCAAGUAUUCUACAAAUCUAUAAAUGUUUAUGUAGCAAAUGGUAAUUAAGCAGUUGAAUUGUUUUCCAAGUCUGAUCCAAUUUGCUUUGUUUGACAUUGCUUGUCAGGACAAUGUCGGAAAGCUUGAGGUGGAUGCGGCUAAUUGCAAAACCAUAUUUCUUUCAGAGUAUGUAGUUGUUUUCUUUCUACUGAAAUAGUAAACUUAAACUGUAGGAACUUGAGUUAUAGGUUAAAUUGGUCGGAUCAAGUAAAGGGCACACGUAUGUUCCACUGGUGAAGGCUAUGAAGAGUGCUCAUAUCUGAUUGUUUUUGUCUCAUUCAGCUAGUGUGAUUUUCUUUUUCUUUUAAAUCAAAAUCAACUUAGACAAUAUUUCAGUUUGCCGAAAACUAGAUUCAUGCAUGUGCAACUGCAAAUGAGUUGGAUAUGCCUGUUUCAUUCGAAGGUAGUAGGAUUUGGCGUGGAUCAUGAUUGAUAAUUCUCUCUCAUAAUUGACAACCAUCUUCCAGGUCAUUUGUGCGUGAAAUUUAUGAUGGCCAGUUGUUCAUAAAGCUAAAGAAAGGUCUCAAUUUACCUGCUAUGGAUCUUUGGGUAAGGUUUCUACCAUUUAAUAUUAGCAAAUGAUCAAAUUUCAAUUGAAACGUGCCUUACUGUACUUUCCUUAUUCAAAUGAUUGCUUCUUAUGCAUUUAUUUAAUCUGCUGACUCCUGUUUUAAUUUAAUUGCCUACUCUAACCAAAUUUCAGGGAACGAGUGAUCCGUAUGUGGUGUUACAGCUAGAUAGUCAAGUUGUCAAAAGCAAGGUGAAAUGGGGGUAGGUAGUUGGUCAUGUGUUAAACUGCAACCUUCUACUCUUUUCAGUCAGAACUUCUCUAGAUCUUGUAGGUUUACUUAACAAUGAGUCAGGUUCGUUGCAUGUCGUCAACGUGUUCCUGUGCAAGUAUUGCUUGCAUAAGCCGAAUGAUAAAGUAACUAAUAUGAGAGUCUAUUAUGGUUACUAAAUUCAGUCUUCUCUUCUGUUUGAGCAACGUAUCAAAUUUUUAGCAAAAACUUAUUCUGGAUUUAGUAAAAUACAAUUAUUUUUCAUCCAUAACUCAUAUUCUAUUGUUAUCUUGAGUGUGAUUAUUCCACCAGUAUCUUAUUUGAAGUUCCAUGCUUCUUUAUCCUUUUAAUUUGUCAUCGAGAAGGCAAAAGGUCUACAAUUGCUAUUUUCUGUUGGAGAAUAAAGCUAUCCUUUUCUUUGUUCAAAUUAUGCACUAUUUCAAUCUUGAAACAUAAUCCAAUAACGGAAAAAAUGUUAAUUUCAUGAAUUAAUGUUUGCAGGACAAAAGAGCCAAUGUGGAAUGAGGAGUUUGCUUUAAAUAUUAAGCAGCCACCUCUGUAUGAUCUUCAGGUUGAUAACUUGAGUUAAUCCUUUCUCUCUAAUAGUUUAUUAAUUAAAGGAUAGCAUUCCAGAAACUGUAACAUUUUGCUUUUGAAAUACGACUUCAAUUUGCUGUAACUUAGCUCUUCCACAUUAGGAAGUUUACGACACGGUAUGUGGUACACCAAAUCUCCUAAUGAUAAAUGAGCAGUUCUGGUAAGAUAUGCAACUUGAAAAGCUUUAAGCUAACACUGCUAAAUUAACUGUCUUCUGACUGACUGCUAAUUCAAUUAUGAACGUGUAUGUGAACUUCCCAUAUCCAACAAUGUCUUUCUUGCUGAAUGCUAGUUUUUCAUUUCUACUUCCUGCUGAGAUCCAUAGUAUUAACCAAAUUGGAACAAACAGAAUCAGUCUUUUAAGGUUAUCGGCCUCGGACUAGAACUUACGGACUCGGAACUGCACAUCUUGCUUUAUGUUGUCUAAGAUAUCCAUAAGAGUCUGCUUCUGUCUUUUUAGCUGCAGUCUUUAAAAUGAGGAACAACUUAUUUUUUCGUUAUUUUUACCGUUAUCUGCUCAUUAGAGGACUUUCGGAUGCAGUAUGCUGGCAUGACAUGUUUUUAGGUGCUCUUAUUUCUCGAUUCCAGAUCUGAUGAAUUAUUCAUUACUACUGUCAGAUUGCAGCUUGGGAUGCAAAUCUGGUGACUCCACAUAAACGCAUGGGAAAUGCAGCAGUUAAUUUGGAACAUCUCUGUGAUGGUACGAGCUCAAGAAAUGGUUCUCGUGAUAUAUUGUGCUUCAAAUAAUUGUCUAGUUAUCAUGUUGGCUAAAAUUUCAUUCAUGUAAAUAAGGUUUGGCUUCCUUUCCAACUUAUCCCAUGAAAAUGGGGGAAGAAGUUAAGAGUUCAUUUUCAGUAUGCAUUUUGGUUGUGUUUUGAUGACUACGUUGAAGGUGUCUCAUUGCUCAUAAAACAAAUUGACAAAGGAAGAACACUUAAAGGAACCAAAUUAGUUUCAAUAGUUAUAUACUUCUGAAUACUGUCAUAACUGAUAUGAGAGCUGACAUAAGGAUUAGGCUGAUAUACAAACAUUGAUGUUUUAAUUUGUGAAAAUAACAAACAUGUGUUUUCUAGGAGAUUCUCAUAAACUGCUGGUUGAUUUGGAUGGAAUGGGCGGUGGUGGGAAGAUAGAGAUAGAGGUAAGUUGAUUUGAAUCUGGAGGCAUAUUCAAGGUUCAAGAUCGCUAAGACCUUCAUUUUACGAGGAUUUAUCAGACCAUCACAUUAUUUUGAUGUGUACACUCUAUAGCUGAUUAGUAUGCUAAUCUUAACUUCAGAAUAUCCUUCUUAAAUGAUACUCAAUUUGACCAUUGUUUAUCCAAUUCGAGAUUCCACUAAUUGUCCUACUAACAUGAUACAGAUUAAGUACAAGAGUUUUGAGAAAAUUGAAGAAGAAAAGAAGUGGUGGAACAUCCCAAUCAUUACAGAAUUUCUAAGAAAAAACGGGUUUGAGUCUGCUUUGAAGACAAUUCUUGGUUCCGAGACUGUUCAAGCUCGACAAUUUGUACAGUUUGCGUUUGGACAGAUGAAGCUACUUAAUGAUGCAUAUAAUGAUUCAAAUAGCAGCAGCAGUCCUGUCCUGGAAUCAGAUGUACUACCGGAGUCGCAGCAAUCAUCCAACUUGGAUGACUCAAGCAUGCCCCCAGCAUCAGAAAUCUCAAAUAAUUUGAAAGACACCAAAGUUGAUGGUGAAGUGAAGCUUAAUCGUGAUGGAAGUGACGUAACCGAUGAACAUGAUUCCCCUGGUACUAAAAUUUUAGAGAGCUUUCAAUCAGAUAAACAUUUCUGGAAGAAUUUUGCUGAUACCGUCAAUCAAAAAGUUGUUCAAAGACUUGGUCUCCCUGCUCCUGAGAAAAUAAAGUGGGAUAAUCUUGACUUGUUAAAUAAGAUUGGAUUGCAAUCACGAAAAGACGCGGAUGCAAGUUAUGUUGAAUCUGGUCUUGCAACUCCUGAUAAACGAGAAAAUGUUAAUGGUAGUGCAUCAACUGAAUCACCUAUUCUUAAUAACAUUCAGUCAUCACUUCCAGAUAUCAAGAAGGUGACACAAGACUUAUUGCGUCAAACUGAUACCAUUUUGGGAGCAUUGAUGGUUCUAAAUGCCACAGUUUCUCAAUUCAACAAAGGAGCAGGCCUUUUCGGAAAGGGUGAUGCUAAAGAAGAUUCUUCAACUGGACUGGAAAAUGACAUCCUUUUAUAUCCCAUGAAUAAAGAUGGAAUAGUGUUGGAUGAGAAGAAAGCUGAGGAGAUGAAGUCUCUUUUCUCAACAGCGGAGACUGCCAUGGAAGCUUGGGCACUGCUAGCUACUUCAUUGGGACAUCCGACAUUCAUCAAAUCUGAAUUUGACAAAUUAUGCUUCUUAGAUAAUGAGUCAACUGACACAGAGGCAAGUUCAUAUGUUGCUGGCUAUGAGUUCUUAGUUUCUAAUGUAUCUUAGAUCUGAUUCAUUUGAUCCAAGGAAAGCUAUUCUACUGAUUUUGGAUUCUGUAAGACUUGCAGGUAGCGCUCUGGCGUGAUUCAGCAAGGAAACGGUUAGUUGUUGCUUUCAGGGGAACAGAACAAGUAGGUUCCGGUGUUAAACACAUCUUUAAAACUUGUUGAUUUAGCUUAGUUGUGGAUAACCGGUUUUUCUUUUAUCCAGACAAAAUGGAAGGAUCUUGUGACGGACUUGAUGCUAGUUCCUGCAGGGUAAAAUCACAAAUCUGUACAAGCACAGGCUGGCUUUAGUUUUUCUUUCUUUCUCUACUUUGCCCUUCUGGUUUCUCUGUACUACUAAGAUGUUUUUCCUAUCACAGUAAACAGAUUCUCCUUCCGUUCAAUUUGUUUGUCUUACUUUCCUUUUUAAUCCGUUUCGAAGAGAAUGUCUCUUCCUUUUCUGAAAACUCUUUCAUUCUAACUUUCCACAUGACAUGUUUAAGACCACAAGAUUACAGUCAUUUUGGUACAUUCUACAUAUCAUAAUUUAAGACCACAGUAUUCAAAAGUCUUCUUUACUUUCUUAAACUCUGUGCCAAGUCAAAACCAGUCAAACAAAUCGAAACGGAGGGUGUAAUUUUUUCUUCUCUAAGUCUCUGAAAGUGUACUUUUAUUGAAAUACAACUCUUUACUAUGCUGAAAGAAACAUUUCCUUUUUCUUAGAGGAAUAGGAGUAGAAGAUAACCUUCCAUCCUACAUUAUUAAGUUUAGACUGCAAAUACCAUCAUAUCUAAAGGUUUUCCUGAAAAAAGUUUUAACUUCGAACAUAAUUUGAAACAACAAGAAAUAGCCAAACACUUUGGUAAUUUUGAAUAUGAAUUGUACGUUCUUGCAUCUUCAUUAUUCGGAUGUUGUACAGAAACUUUAGAUGGUUAAGCAACCACUGUCCAUUUUAUUUCGCAUCCUGAGUUGUCUCCUACUCUGCAGGUUGAAUCCUGAAAGGAUAGGCGGGGACUUCAAGGAAGAAGUUCAGGUGGCACUGAAAUUCUUACUUUUCUAUCUCUUAGUGCCUGAAAUAUGAAUGUAUUCUACUUAUAUUUAUAAUUUUUCUAAUUAUCAGAACCAGAGAUUAUUUUUGUAGGUUCACAGUGGUUUCCUAAGUGCAUAUGAUUCAGUUAGGAUUAGGCUCAUCUCGCUUAUCAAAAAAGCAAUUGGCUACCAGUAAGUGGACUGUUAAACAAAACUGUACAACAUUGUUCCUCCUUUCCUAUGUCUCUUUCGUACCUUCAAGUAGAAGUCGUGUCAAAUAUUUCUACAAGUCUAUACUAAGUGGACUCGUGUCAUGAGCUUAGUGUUACACUCCCAACUCUUAAAACUUGUUAUGCGCUUUUGCUUUACUGAGAUGUCUAGACCUGGCUUAGUCUUUUUUCUUCUGUUUAUCCUUCUUUUCGUGUGGGUCUUGUUGCUGCUACUGUACAUCUUAUUCUUUGCCUUCUUCGCGGUUUCUUCUUUUUCUCUGUUUAUGAUGUACUUACUUCACCACUAAACAUUGACGUCACAUCGCUUAUUACAAUUUUAAUGUAUUUUCCAGGGAUGAUGAUCUUGACACGCCAAACAAAUGGCAUGUUUACGUGACUGGCCAUAGUCUUGGUGGUGCAUUGGCUACUCUUCUCGCUCUUGAACUAUCAUCAAGUCAACUAGCUAAGUGAGCUCCUCCUUUUCUCUGCUUGUAUCUGUAGCUUGUUUCCCAUCCAUUCUAUAUAAUUUACCAUUUACCAGCAUCUCGCCAAUAGGGCAUGCAUGUUUGGUUUUCUGCUUUGUAUUUAACAUGUUUGUAGUGUUCUUUGAGAAUUUGAAAUGCCUUACUUGAGCAGAGGGUCUAUGGAAAACAACCUCUCUAUCUCUACGAGGUAGGGUAACGUUUGCAUACACUCUACCCUCCUUAGACCCCACCUGUGGACUGUUUUUUUUUUUUUUAAGAGCAGAAGUUGUAGAAUUGUUGGUAGAAUCCUAUCAAAUGUAGUUUCGAUGCUAGUUACGUAAAUAAACCUAACCAUGGACUUGUAUUCCAGUCUUAUAUCUAUACUGAUCAGUAUUUGAAUGUGUGACAUUUUGUACCCAAAACUAAUGUGCUACCAAGCUGCAGCACAUCCCUUCAAUUGUUCCAUGUUGCCACUUUGAUAUCUUCUCUUGAUGGUUUCAUCCUUUUGACCAAAUUGGACUUGUAGGUCCCCAAGUAUUGUGAUUGCUAAGUUGCUUGCUGCUUGUUCCAUCAUAAUAGAACAUCUUGCAAAUUAAGGAGUUAGUGCAAAAAGAACGUCUGCAAUUGUUAAAUACAAAUUUUCGGGCUGCCCUUGUUCUUGAAGUACUUGUGGAGAAAAACCAAGUCCUCCAUCUCUAAUCAUGCUAACACUACAUACGUGACCGUCUUAUCUUUCUUGUUGGUUGUGUUAGGCGUGGAGCUAUACGUGUGACCAUGUACAACUUUGGAUCUCCAAGAGUUGGAAACAAAAAGUUUGCUGAAGUUUAUAAUGAGGUAUUAUUUACUCUCUGCAGAAGUGAAGUGCUUAUGUUGAGACUAACUAUAUUCUAUAGCCAUUUUGGUCUCACCAUUCAUUUAUGACAAUCUUUUGUAGUUAUAAAUUAAACGAUCUUUAUUUCUGAAACAAGUUAACAAAGGCAAAAUAACAAACAAGAACCAAGAAAAGAAAGAAUAUACCGACACACUAAUAAAUACAUACAAGCUGGUUCACAUACUCAGCCUUACCUAAUUAGCUCUCCUCAAUAACACUGGAUGAAAAUGAUUUUUGAUGUUCUCUCUCGGUCUCUCCUAUGGAGGUGGCUUGUCAUAAAUGAAGUGUGAAACUCUUGAACAUGCUAUUGAAUAUGCAUUGGUGCGUUGUCUAACAUGUCAGACCAACUUUUAGCAAGUUUGAGCCAUAAUCAGAUGCCUUAUCACAUUGUUUGCCGAUAGUUCAUGGGAAUUUCUUGCCUGUUCUUCUAUUGUGACGUGGUGAACGGCUGUAACUAAAUCACUUUCGCCUGCUUUGGAAUCAUACUGAGAGCUUAAUUUUGUUAAAUUCUGAGUGACUCUAUAUAAUUAAGUUGCUUCUUAUAUUGUAGAAAGUUAAGGACAGCUGGAGGGUUGUAAAUCACAGAGAUAUAAUACCAACAGUUCCUCGCUUGAUGGGCUACUGCCAUGUUGCUCAACCUGUUUAUUUGGCAGCUGGAGAUCCGCAAAACACAAUGGUGAGUAGAUUUCAUUUUCUCACUUUUUACACUAUAAAACGUUGGAUUGGCAGAAUGUUGGCACUGUUAAGGAAGUUGUGUUUUCCCGUUAGAGAUUAAAGUGGAAAAAUGUGUCGGAUGGUUAGCUUAACCUGAAGGAAAUCACAGAAGGUUCAAAACAAUUGACCUUUGUUAUUUCUUCUAUAAAACUAUUAACUCAAUUGCUCGAAGUAACUUUUUGAUAUUUUCUUCAUAGUGUAGGUAGAAAGUAUCAAGAAGUACUAUGUCAUUCUUACUUAUUAUGUAUGGGAACCUACUAUCGUUACCUCCCUGGAAAAAGUCGGAAAGAAAAUAUGAUCAUUUUUUACAUCAUUCCUUUUAUACGUGAAAGGAGCUUGUUGUUUAACUAUAUAUGUCUCGGCACAUCACAUUUCAGGAUAAUGUGGAACUCUUGGAAGAUGGUUACCAAGGUGAUGUUAUCGGAGAGGCCACACCUGAUGUUAUUGUCAGUGAAUUUGUAUGUUUCUCCACCUUUGUUCUCCUGUAUCUUUAGUUCCUUCGUUUUGGUUCUGUGCUCCAUUUCAUCCAUUCGUGAUUUGUUCUAUUAAGAUCUUCAACUGUUAAAAUUGUACUGCUACUUACCGUACAUUUGACCAAUUGAGACUUCUGUUUAUUCAUUUUGUUCAAUACUUCGCCUAAUGGAGAGUCUCCUUGAGGCAUAAGCUUAUCAAUUCACUCCAUUAGGUUGAAGCCAUGUUGCUCGGAGUUUUGUGUUGGAUCCUUCAAAAGCUAUGCAUUGUUAGGGGAUCCGAGACAGGUUUGGCAACAUUUUUGGGAGGUCCGAGCAAGAAUUGCGGGAGGGGAGCUUGUUCUGAGUUAUUUUUGCUAUAUGGAACACAUUUCCUUUUUAUUUAAAGGUAAAGAACUCUUGAUAAUCUCGCGAUUACUUAUCGUAACGUUUUGUGCAGAUGAAAGGUGAAAAGAACUUAUUGAGAAAAUACUGAACACAGAGAUUAACAUAUUUCUAGCAAUUAGAGAUGGAAGUGCACUUAUGCAGCACAUGGAAGACUUCUAUUACAUCACUCUAUUAGAGGUAUUACCAUUCUUGUAGCUAUGUUGCUCGAACUCGUCAAAAAUGUCGACACGUACAUGUCAAAUCCUCCAAAAGUAGUGGACUUUUGAGUAUCCGACAUGUGUGCUGCAACAUUUUUGAAGAGUUUGAGUAACAUACGUAUCCAACAUGAUAUGUACUUAAACAUUUUUUUUUCUUUAAUGUUUUUCUAAUUCUUUUUUCCAGAAUGUGAGAUCAAACUACAGAACUGUUCCAAGGCCACAACUGACAGAAGAGAAGAACAUAUCGAUUGGCUAAAAUGGAAAUUAUCCAAAUUCAUUAAUGUUGAUGUUUUAAUUUCCAAAGGUUGUAAAUAACAAUAACACCAAAAAAUUGGCUACAUUUAUUGUAUAUAUGUACUGAUUUUUAUCUAUGUCAAUUGUACAUUUCUUUGGUCAUUUAUGUUAAUUGUUACAAAAUUUUAAAUGAUAGAAUAAUGAGAACAAGUAAUUGUUCUAAAAUAAUUGUCUUGAACUAAAAAUAGAAGGAAAAAAAAAUACACUUCACAAACAAUAAAGAAAUGGCAUGAAAGAAACAUACAAUCUAGAGAACCACCACUUCUUCUAUAUUUUACUAACCAAUAGUAUCAUUACUACCUAGAUCUUUGACAGAUAAAAUCGUUCGAUCAUUAAUCAGAGGUUUCGAGAUUUAAACUAUGAGUAUAGUGAAUAUCUCGAUAAGGAGUUCUAGUUUCACUUAAUGUUGAAUUAAAAAAAAAAAAACUAAUACUACCUUUUACAUAUGCAAGCUUUUUGAAAGAUUCUUAGAAAAAUUUGUUGCUUUCAUAUUAUAGCUCAUGAUUUUCAAACUUUGCCUUAAAAUGUCAACUUCCCUUUCCCUCUUGAGCUCUUGUUGUUCCUUUGAAGCUAUUUCCUCUUUUAGAAGUGCAAUUUUUUCCUCUUUUUCUUUCAACUCUUUAUGCAUCUCCUCUAAUAAUUCCAUUUGUUCUAUUUUCCAACAUAGUCCUCUUCCUAGUCAAACAAGAUCAAAACACAUUAGAAGGACAAAACAAGACGACUUGUAGACAUAACAACUGUUCGUUGAGUGACUAAUCUGAUGAAAUUCAAACGUACCUUGAUUUGUCCUAUGAAUAAGUUCAUCAAGCUCAAUCUUGAUAGCAAAAUAAAGUUGUUUCCACUUCUCUAUUGCUUCAUCUCUUCUAGCUUCUUCAUUCCUAAUUUGCUCCAACAAAUAACUUGUUGCUAAUUCAUGCCACUCUUUAUCUUCUUUUACACACAAAUUCUCUAUAGCUUUACACUUGUCUUCUUCAUCUUUUUCUUCCAAGUUUUUCUUCAACUUCUUCACUUCCUCUUUUAGCUUCUUCUUUUCCUUCUUCCAUUCUGCUUCUUUCAAUGCAAAUAUGAUCAUCUCUUGUGCAUUGACUUGACUCUCAUAUUCCCUCAUACACAUAAUUUCAUUCACCUCACCUUGAAGAAACCUUACAUUGUAUUUCAACACUUCAACCACUUUGUCUUUUGGUUGGCUUUUGUCCUUGGUUUGAAAACUUCCCAUUUCUUAUAAUCCCUAAAAGUCUCCUAUACUUUUAGUAGUUCUAGUUUUGUGUAUAUAUAGAUAGUGUGUGUGUGUGUUGGGGGGAGUGUUGUAAGAUGUAUGUGUGAUAAAUUAGUCACAAAUCUUAGGUAAGGAAACUUCUUUUUUCAAAAUUAGGUGGAGUCUUGUAAAAUUCGAAGACUGAAACACGAUACAAGUAAAAGUCUGAUAUUUAAGUGAAGUAUAUAAAGCGCGAUCGACUCUAGGAGAUUUCUAUAUUAUCAAAAAAAAUACAAACACUUGGUACAAUACAUUAACAAAAAUGCAUUAAAGGGUAUGUUAGAUCAAUAAGAAUAGAGUAUGGGACAACAUGAUUAUUAUUUUUUUUUAUGAAAAAAGGAGGCUCCUACCAUGCAAUAUGAAGUGAUGGCACUAAAUGAUACAAAGAGAGUUUUGUACUGAUUUUUGUUUUGUGGCUCUUGCAUCAAUUCAAUUAUUAUUAAUAUACAUACUGUGAAAGAUGCCUUGUAUGAAAAAAACAAAUAAAUUAGAGAAGUCACAUUUCAAGAUAUUGACAUGAAUGAAUGACAUAAUGUGUCUAUUGGGGAAUAAAAUCCACAUAUUCCAAAAAAUCACAUGUACAUCAUUUUGGAGCCUCUUCAUCAAGGUGGGGGUGGGGUGGGGUGAUUGGGUGGGUGGGGGCUUCAUUUAAAAUUUAAAAGGAAUUUAAGUUAUACGCGCUAUCGCAAUAAUCACUUAUAACAGGUUAUUCUUUUAUUUUUUGAAUUAUAGUAUUAUGCGUGAUUAAAGAUUUAAAACUUAUAUAUCAUCUAUCGACGAAAUUAUACAUUUCGAAAUUUACCAAAUAAAAUCUAGGUUUUAAAAAAAGUUGUGUGGGGGGUAGUAUGGGGGAAGAGUUUUGGAGCCUCUUGAUAAUCGAAUUUAAGUUAUAUACAUUAUCGCGAUAAUCACAAUAUUAUACUUAAUCAUAGAUUUAAAACUUAUAAACUAACAGUGUAUCGAAGUUAUACGUUUCUUAAAUUUACCUAUUUUUAAAUAUGUUGUGGGGGUGGGGUGGGGGAGGGGUAGCAUGGGGAAAGAGUUAUUGUAUUAUACAUCAAAUUUUUGUACAUAUUUUGCCAGCUAUUAAAGGGGCCUGCAAUCUUUGCUGAAAACAUGGGAAACAUUAUUGACAAAAGAAUAUUUCUUUGAAUAUUAUGCCUUUGUAUUCAUCUCAAACUUUGACCACCAGAUGGAGCAUGGAUUUAACUAGUUCAGUAUUUUCGAUACGAAAUAUAAAUAAUAAAGUCCGAAGCAAAGACAGAUGACAAUUAUUACACGGUAAAAUUUAGCAAGUUAUGAAAAAUUAAUAUAAGCUUCUUAUAAAAUAGAAUAGGAAUAAUAAGAAUUAAUCAACAGAUCGUGUGUCGAUGAGAUUAAGUAUCGUUCUAUUAUUUCAGACAUAAUUUAUUGUAUUUUCACUGUAGUUGGGAUCUAUAAUCUUGCAAAGAAUGACCCCUUUCCUUUUCUGGCAAUAAUUUAAUUUUAACUUUUCACGUGGCAUGUUUAAGACCACAAGAUUAAAGGACAUUUUGUUACAUUCGAUGAAAUUUUAAUUCAGAACCACAAGAUUAAAAAAUUCUUCUUUCUUUUCUUAAACUUUGUUCCAAGUCAAAUUAGAUAUAUCAUUUUUUAAACGCGGGAAGUAUUUGAUAAAUGAUCAAAUAAUAAUUAAAGUAUUGGAUGUACUAUUGGUCUUGGAAUAUUUUAUUUAUUAACUAGGCAAUUCUUCAACAUUUAGGUAUUUCUAGGUAGAGAAAAAAAAUGUAAUUUUAUGUACCAAAAACAAAAGACUUUUGUCAAGUCAAAUCAUCAAAUUUUGUUUUAGCGUUGUUUAAAUGAGAAAAAAAAGAGAAAAUAAAAUAAAAAAUCAUUUAGUUUGUGUCUAAUUUUUUACGUAGUAAAAAAUCUAGUUUUUUAUUUGCAUCUAUAUUAUUUUUACAAAGAAAAUAAAGUCUUUAACUUAUUUAAAACGUGGCUCAAAAAUAAAAAUUGACAUGCAUUUCUUUGACUUUGUUAGAAUAUAUAUUAUUUUUUUUAUACAAAAACGAAUACAAAUGUCUUAUUUAUGAAAUUUUUGUUUUUAUUUUCCCUUUCUAGUAGGGGAAAUUCAUCAAUUUUGGUGUUUUUUUAAUUAACAGAAAUCUAAAUUGUUUAUUUAAUAUGCCAAGUUAUAUUUGCUUUAAAAUUGUUUAAUUGUUUCCCCCUUUUAUUAUAAGUAUAUAAAAGAAUUUCAAUUGGACACUUUUAAUUUAAAUUUCAAAUUCUUUUUACAUAUGUUUUUAUUUAUCUAUUAGUAAUUUAAGUUUAUCAUAUAAAAUAUUUCAUCUCUUUAGUUCAUCAAUCUUAAGUAAAAAAUGUUUGAAAUUUUAGGACUUAUCAAAGCGAACACAACAUAAUUACAUGAGACAAGUAUCAAAAACAACCUUGUACUUGACUAACUAAACUCAGAUACACCCCCGAUACACUCUCAAUACGUGAAAUAACAUGUGUCUCAAACCCUUUUAGGAGCAUGAAAUUCUUAAUAAAAGUCGAGAGAAGUGUUGAAAAUACUCCUAAACUUGACGAGAAUUUAGGGGUUCUCACUGAUGUUACAAGUUCGGGGAUGUAUUUAACUUCAAUUAGUCAAGUAAUAAAGGGGUGUUUUAAAGGUUUUCAAUAGUUCAAGGAUGAAACUAAUAAUUUGUGCCAAGUUCAAGAGUGCUUUUGACACUUCUAUCUAAUUAGUUCAACGCAUAUACGUAAAACUACUAGAUAAAUAAGAACAAACACACAGAAAAAAAUUCAAAAUUUAACUGAAAAUGUUCUAUCACUGUGUUUUUAUUAAGAAACAGAAGUGUUCAAUUUAAACAAAACUUAAAUUUAAGUCAUUUAAUUACAAUUAACCAAUAAUAAUUAUUUAGUACAUAUCAUAUUAUUAUAUAUUUAUUGAUAUGAUGUAAAUAUCUCGUCAUAUUUUAUUGUAUUAAUUUUUUUAAAAAAAUCAUUAAGGUUUUAUUUUUUUUUCACCAAGUGAAAAUGACUAUUUUACCCUCUUUAUACAUAUCUUUGUUUUGGUAAAACUCCUUCCCCAUAUCUUCAGGAACAUUCUUAGUUAUCUGCCUCGGAACCUCCGAAUUUUAUAAUCUUAUAGGUAGAAGUGAAGAAAAAAUCAGUAAAAAUUCUGAGAAUUUGAGGUAAUUUUUUAUUGUGAUUAUAUAUGAUUUCCUGAACUUUUUUUUAUUGAUUUUUUGUUUAUUUUCUUGUGCCAUUUUGGUGUAAUUUGUCAAUUUUAUGUAGAGUUUUGCUAUAUUUGAUGUUCUUUGUCUGUGUUAGGCUAAAGGGGGUUCUUGAAAAAUGAAAAGAAGAAUAAAGUUUGAAUCUUUUCAUUUGAUUAUUCAAUUGAAGGCUGUAUUUACCACAAAGAAAGUUAAUUUAUUUAAGGGGUUAGCUUGAUUUGUGAUUUCUUCCAAUGUGUUCAAGCUUUGGUGGAUAGGGUUACUUGGUACCUAUAUUGGUGGGAGGUAGUAAGUAGCGGGGGAAUUAAUCGAGGUGCGUGCGAGCUGGUUCAGACACCACAAAGAAAGUUAAUUUAUUUAAGGCAAUGUGUCUAAGCUUUGUUUGGUGGAUACUGAAUAGGGUUACCUGGUACCAAUGAUGGUGGGAGGUAGAAGGCACCUGUGGAACUAAUCGAGGUGUGUGCAAGCUGGUCCAGACACCACAAAGAAAGUUAAUUUAUUUAAGGCAAUGUGUCCAAGCUUUGUUUGGUGGAUAGGGUUACCUUGUAAGGAUGCUGGUAGUAGGGUACCCGAGGAAUUAGUCGGUUGCAUGCAAGUUGGCGUAGACAUCACGAUAUUUAAAAAAGAAAGAGGAUAUCCCAUUCCUAGCAGCCUUAACAGUUGACUGUGGCAGAAUUCUCUCUCUGCUGUUGGUCCUUUUAGGAUUUCUGCAGAACUGUUCAAUUACACUUCGAGGUAUCUCACGCGAAAUGUUAGGACGUAUGUGUCUAGUUGUUUCAACUUUAUACAAUCAGGUGCAUACCCAAAGUUGGAAGGCAUAGAUGUUAGCUGAUGCCAAGUUAAAGGGAAACGUUUAUUUAUUAUGUCUAAUAUGAAUGAUACAGUGAAUACUUACACUUUUCCUGUCAUCAAUCUUUCAAAAUCGCUGAUGCUGUAUUUUUCCUGUCUUUUCUGCUGAGCUGAAUAGUUGGCUUAUAUGUUUUACUGGUGUUCCGUGCAUAUGAGAUGAUUUAGUACAGUUGUUUGCGAAUGUAAACAUUUCAAAACGUGUCUUCUAUAGCUUGAUUUGGAUAAUAAAUGUAUGAACUUGGAUGCAUUGUUUGUUAAACAACUUAUUUGACUAUUUUUCUUUGUUAGGCUCAAACUCCUUUUCGAUGAUUUUACACUAGUCGGAAAUUUCUUUCUUUUUCCCUGGUUUAGGGGGUCGUGAAGCAAUGAACUCCCUUUUCUUUUAAUUUUUUCGACAAAUCUUAUUAACAACCGAAAAAUAGACUUUGCUGGUUUCUAAGAGUGAAGUUUUAAAGUGUCCAUUUGGGGACAUCCGAUGAAAUUGGAACAAUAAGAGUAAAUGCUUAAGUAGAUCAUUAUAUACUGUGUUUGGUAGAGAGUGUUCACAACAUGUUUUAGAAUGUAGAAUAAGUGCGACACUAAGUAACCCGUUGUUCAUCUAUUCGUUGUGGUUUGCAAUAAAUAUUCAUCGAUUAUCAGUGUAAAAAACUCCUGAAUUUCCUCCCAUGUAUGUUCUAAAAUCGUGUCUUACAAUGCAUAGAAGAAAUUAAUGUCAGCGAUCCUUUUUGCAGUCGGUGAAAUGGCAGCAGCAUCAGCAACUACUCUCUCAGUUGGUUCCGCCACAUCCUUUGGCUCCAUAGUGAGCCCAAAAUUACAAUCAAAGGCCUUUAUUGCGAAAUGCAAUACCAGGGACUACCUUAGGAGUUUCAGUGGCCUUAAGGCAGAGGCAUUUGUACGAUGUGAAUCCGAGUCGUCAUUUCUAGGAAAUGAAAGCAUUGCAGCUCUUCGACAAUCCAUUACUCCUAAAGCCCGAAACCAAAAGCAGAGAUCUUCGAACCAUGUUCAGCCUCAAGCAUCUUAUAAAGUGGCUGUUCUCGGAGCCUCUGGCGGUAUAGGCCAGCCUCUAGCUCUUCUGAUUAAGAUGUCACCGCUAGUAUCAUCGUUGCACCUUUAUGAUAUUGCAAAUGUCAAAGGAGUCGCAGCAGAUCUCAGCCAUUGCAACACUCCCGCUCAGGUUUUUGACUUUACGGGAGCUUCUGAGUUGGCCAAUUCUUUGAAAGGUAUAGAUGUAGUUGUCAUACCAGCUGGCGUUCCGAGAAAGCCUGGUAUGACACGGGACGACUUGUUCAACAUAAAUGCUAAUAUUGUGAAAAGCUUGGUUGAGGCUGUUGCUGACAAUUGCCCAGAUGCCUUUAUCCACAUUAUCAGCAAUCCAGUCAACUCCACAGUGCCGAUUGCUGCCGAGGUUCUGAAGCAAAAGGGUGUGUAUGAUCCUAAAAAACUCUUUGGUGUUACCACCCUGGACGUUGUCAGAGCAAACACAUUCGUCGCGCAGAAGAAAAACCUGAAACUCAUUGACGUUGACGUCCCCGUGAUUGGUGGGCAUGCAGGGAUAACAAUUCUGCCAUUGCUGUCAAAGACAAGACCAUCAACUACUUUCACGGACGAAGAAGUGCAGGAACUAACCGUGAGGAUCCAAAACGCUGGGACCGAGGUCGUUGAAGCAAAGGCUGGAGCAGGAUCUGCAACACUGUCAAUGGCAUAUGCUGCAGCUAGAUUUGUUGAAUCCUCACUUCGUGCCCUUGACGGUGAUGCUGAUGUUUACGAGUGUUCUUACGUUCAAUCUGACCUGACGGAACUUCCAUUCUUUGCAUCACGAGUUAAACUAGGAAGGAAUGGAAUCGAGGCAUUGAUUUCGUCUGAUCUCCGUGGAUUAACUGAGUAUGAACAGAAGGCAUUAGAAGCUCUAAAGAUAGAGUUGAAAGCUAGCAUUGAGAAAGGGAUAGCUUAUGCUCAAAAACAAACAGUGAGUGCUUAGAGAAAGAGUUUAGUUUAGAUUAACUAUAGGAAAAGAUUCUCAACAUGACAAUUUUUGCAUGGUUUGAACUUACUAAGCCCUUUAUUCUUUUUAUUGGUCUGAACUCUACUAGUGUUUUGUUAUUGCUUCCUUUUCAUCUCUAGUCGAGGUUUAUCAGAAACAAUCUCUCUACCCCUGUGAGGUUAGGGAGAAGGUGUUCGAGAACUCUAUUCAAGGUUUAUCAGAAACAAUCUCUCUAUCCCUGUGAGGUUAGGGAGAAGGUGUUCGAGAAAGCACCGACUACAGGUGCUCAUUGAGUCGGUCCUCCGGUGGAUAAAAGUAUCUGCAAACACUUUACCCUCUUCAGACUUUUUCGACUUUAAAAUUUCAUAUAUGAAAGUCUAGAAUAGUUAUUGGUGGCUAUUUUUGAAAAAAAUAAUAAUCUAGAAUAGAAGUGGAUGAUUAAAUUUUUUCCCCCCAAAAAUCUCCUUAAAAUUUAAUAGAUAAAAGUUGUUAACAUGUCAUAUAAAUGGAGAUAAAUUAAAAAUGCUAAAUUUUUUAAUAUUUAAUAAAUCAAAAUCACUCAAAAGCAUAUUUAAGGAAUUAUUUUAAAUCUACUCGAGUCUCCAAUAUAAGUUAUUUCUUUUGUCAUAUUGUCUAGAAAAUUUGUAUGUCCAUUUUAUCUCAAGUGUUUCGUAUAUUCACAUUUUUUGGAGGUCUAUGUAUUUGGUUCAGAUUGUGAAUCGGACUUUCUUAUUCAUGAUUUUGAUAAUUAAACACUUAAACUCGAUGAACCCAACAUAUUAAACUCCUCUAUGAGAGUAUGACCAAGAAAGAUAUGACUCGCUUGCCAGUUAUACAAAUAUAUGCGUAUACCAUUUACAUAUAUACUAUAAUCCGACAGAUAUACAUAUACAAUUUGUCUCUCCACUCUCUGCCUAGUCUCGCUCAUCUCUCUCCUCCCUCUCCCAAUCUCGAUCGCUAAAUACACAUAUAUAUAAUCUGACAGUUAUACAUAGACAAUUUGUCUCUCCACUUUCUGCCCUCUCUCAUUCGUCUCUCUCCCAAUCUCGUUUGUCUGAUAUACAAAUAUAUAUGUAUAUCAAUUACAUAUAUACAAUUAUUUGAUAGAUAUACAUAUACAAUUCACAUUUCUUCACUUUCUGCCCUCGCUCGCUCUCUCCUCCCUUUUACAUGGAGAUAUAGUUUAUAAUUAAAAAAUUAUAGCUGUGAAGCAUAAUUUAAGUUAUUUUUAAAUGACUAUAUACAAAAAUUCCCCAUAUUGUGUUAUAUAAUAAAUUCUCGUUGUUUACUUCUGUGAGAACAUCCAAUGCACUCAAGACAAUCCUAUAAGAUAAAUCCAACUCUAAAUACAAAAGGACUAUUAAAAAUAAAAAAUACUUUCACCAUAAUAUUUUAAGUUUGUUUGUAGUAAAUUAAAUGUUGAAUUAUAAUUUACUAAGGAUAAACUAUAUAACUACACAUACAUCACUACCAUAUAUACUAUAUUUUAUCUCUAAUUUAAAAUAAUUACUCAUACUAUCACUUUUAAUAUUUAUACAAUAUAUUUUAAAAGAUUUAAUUAAAUACACAAAACCCUUAAAUAAAGAAAAUGAAUAAUUAUCUUAAAUCUAAACUCCUUAGGGUUCAUAAUGUUUUUGAAGUUCAAUUUUAAUUUUUUUUUUUUACAAAUUAGGUUUUAUAUUUUUUGAUUUUGUUGUUUCUCAAACACUUUAAUGGUUGAACAUCUUGAAAUCGGAUGGUUCGUUAAAUGUAUCACACACUAACAAUAUUAUGCUAAAUCAAAUAACUUUUAUUUAUUCAUUUUCACUCAUGAAUUUAUUAUUGCAGGGACCGACUCUUCAUACGCCAACAUUCACAUCGAGAAUAGACCUACGUAUAGAAGCAACUCCAUCAAGAUGAUAGAAUUAUGCCAAGUUUUAAUUAACAAAAAAAUAAAAUACACCAUUAGAUGCACACUCAAGUGUAACGAUGUUGGAUACACAUUAUGUUUACAUGUAUCUAGUGAGAGUUCAUGUAUAUAAAAAAAAAAAUUCAGAUCCUUAAAGAAAAAAGAGAAUUUUGAAAAUUUCAAACUUUUUUUGGAUUAAUGAUAAGGCCACAGUUGUGAUUUGUUCCUAAUUCGUGUGUUUCAACUACAUUUCAUAUUUAGAUACACAUAAUUAUAUGUGUGUUUACAAUGUAUUUGAGAUACAUGAUUUUAAAUAUAAUAUAUGAAAUUAAUGCUUGGUACAUCGAAUUAAUAAUAGAUACAUAUAAAAUAUACAUGAAAUUAAAUUUGGAUUCAUACUACACAUAUAAUAAAUACAUAAAAUUAGUAUUAGAUACUUCCUUCUAUGAUAAUUGAUACAUAUGAAAGCACUUGUAUGAUACUCAUAGAUCUUGUUGUUUUGUUUGUUGGAUACAUCAUAUAUUUAUUGUUUUGUUUGUUGGAUACAUCAUAUAAUGAUAUAGAUAUAUCAAGUUGAUAAAUUUUAUUAUUUGAAGAGUAAUAAAAUGAAAUUAAUCAAUUUUCAACAAGAAUCAAAAUAUGCAUGUUUUUGUCUUUUAUUAAUAAUAUCAACGAAUUUAUUAUUUCAAAUAAUAAGAAAAUGAAAUUAAUUAAAUAUAGAUACACUCUUUAGAUUUUCGACGUAUAAUAACAAACACAACACACACAAACCACGAAACUCACCAUAUUCUCUAAUACUCAUGAUGAAGCAUAGUGUAUCCCUAAAUCGCUUGCAACUAGCCUGGAUAUCAUUAGCCAGCAAAAAAUAGUAUUAUUGCUAGUAAUGGGCCUUAACAUCAUUAGCCAGCAAAAAAUAGUAUUAUUGAAUCCAUGACAAUAAAUGGUAUUACUGAAUUCAAUGUCACAAUGCCGUGAAACAAUAAAGCAACCAUAAAUCAUAGAGCGUGUUCUUUCCGUGUCUACGACAUGCAUGCCGAAAUUUUGCUUUAUUUACUUGUGUUUGAUGAAAGUCCCACAUUCUACCUUAUACCUAGAGUAUAAAUUGAACAGAAAAAGGUAAGUUUAACCCUCCAUCCAUUUUUCGCCCUCUCUAUUUUUACUUUUUGGUUAAAAAAUUCUUCUUCUAGUCUAAAUAUACUAUCAAGGUCUAUGUUGAUAUAUAUUUUUGUAAUUUAUUUUGUUUUAACACUUAUUAAUUUUUUGUUAAGCGUUGUUGGUAGUUAUUGGUGUUUAUUUUUGAAAAAAGUUUCGCUCUCUAUAAUAUUAAUCAAAUUUUUAAGUUUUAAUAUGAUACUUGUAUUAUUUAGGGUAAAGAGGAGGUACUAUAUUUAUAUUCUCUUUGUGCGAAUUGGAUGAGCUAAAGUGUCAUAAAUUCAAGAAGCAAAAAACUAUGCAUACAAUAAAUAAUUGAAUUAAAUAUUUUGCAAAAAAACUAAAACAUUUUAAGUAUAAUUUUAUAUUAUUAUAUAUGUUUUGUAUUUAACUAUUAUGUGUGAUUAUUUAUUCCAAAAAUCAUGUUAUUAGUUGUUUAUUUCAGAUUAGAUGGUUAUAAUAUUUUUAUACCAUUAAAAUGUUGUUCACUAAUUAUAUGAUCCGUUUCUUAAGUUAAGUUGGUUUGUGUUUUUCAAAUAAAUAUACGUAAUAGGUAUUAAUUAUAUGAUUAAAUAUUAAAGAAAAAUAAAAUUAAUUAUAUUAUGUAUUUCACGGCCUAAACCAAUGCAAAACUAUACCAUAAAAAUUCAAUAUUAUUUUCAUUUCUAAUAUUAGAAUUGAUUCUUUUGUUAAUAUGAAAUCACAUUUGUUAUUAACACCUUCUUCGGACUUUUAUUUAUUCUUACUCGUAUAUUAUUGCGUAAUAUUGUUUAAAUUCAUCGUUAAUUAAUAAGAGAAAGUCCUAUUUUAUAUAAUAGUUGUUCGUUUGAUUAUAUAUUUUUCUUAUUUUUUCUUUACUUAUUAUUUAAUAAUCAUAUUUUAUCCUUUACUUUACCUUAUUAUAGUAGCUCUAUUUUUAUCCAACAUUUUCUCUUAGAUUUAUCAUUCAAAUUAUAAAUAUUUGACGUUGUUUAACGACUUAGAAAGAUACCAUCUAUUCAAAUAUUGUACUUACUAAAAUACAGUGUAUCAUACAACACAACAUACAUUAUCAAACAUAUGUAACAACUAUUAAGUAUAAUAAUUUAUGAAAAAAUUAUUUAAAUACACAACUUAUUUUAUCAAAUUUUCUAAAAUUCUCUUAUCAUUUGAAAAAAAUUGUAAAAAAUCAUAUUCUCGGGUACAUCACUUUACAAGAUAUGUAUCGAGACGUUCUGUGAUGUAUUCAAAAUCUAGACGCGAUAUAUCGGGACGUUGAGGAAUGUAUUCGAAAUAAUUAAGACGUGAUAUAUUGGGACGCAUCCGGAUUCCACCAAAUUCAAAAGGGAAAAAAAGAUAAAUAUACCUCUGAACUAUCAUAAAUGACAUGCAGAUACUCUGUCAUACUUUUUGGAAAUUGAUGCUCUUGUCAUUCAAAAACUGGAGUACAUAUACCAUUUAUACUAACGAACAUACACGUUUCAUAAUCUUAUUUAUACACCGACCCGACAUUUAUUAAAUAUCAGCUUGAUAGAUAACAUUGUGACACAUGUCCCUAUUUAGUCUUUCGUUAGAGUGAAGGGUAUACAUGCUCCAAUUUUUUGACGACAGAGGCACCAAUAUUCCAAAAAGUAUGACGAAGGAUAUCUACAUAUCAUUUACAUCAGUCCGGAGGUAUAUUUGUCUUUUUCCCAAUUUAAAAAUAUAUUUGUAAUUUGAAAAACAAUAGAGAUAAAGAUAUAAUUAAAUCUUAACACUAUGAAAUUUAUGUCAAAAGUUUCCGAAUUAAUAUAUAUAUGGGAUUGAACAAAAGGGCAUUAUGGGAAUUUUGAAAAGAAAUGAUCUCUCUCUCCUUAGACACAUUCGUGUUGUGGAUUCUCCCUGCAUUUUGACGUGAACAGAAGUAACCAACCUUAGAAACCUCAAAACAAAAUUCCUGAGCAAAACAUUAAUAACAAUACAAUCAUUGGCAUUGUGAAAAGAGAGAAAAAAAACAACAAUUUUUCAUAGGAAAAGGAAAAGGAAAAGGAAAAGGAAAAGGGGAGAUUUACCAAAGGGGUUGUUUGUUUUCUUUUCCUUUUCAUUCAUAUUUUUUUUUGUGAGAAGAAAAGAAAACAAAAAUAUUGACUGAUUGAUUUCAUACCCCUUACUCAUAUUUUUCUUUCCCAUUUUUCAUUUCUAAACACUUACCUUUUCAAUUUCUUCAUUUUCUUGGAAUUUUGUUGAAGUGAAGGCCAAAGGUCACACCUUUAAAGGCAUUUUGGGAUAUAUAUUACAUAAUGAGGUGCAUUAUGGGUGUUUUAAAGGAUAAUAUAUCAAUGGUUUUUGUGGGGUUGUGAAUUUGAAGGGAAAAGUUGGAGUCUUGAUAGGUCUCCAUUGUGUUUCUUGAGAAAUGGUAUGGCAUUCUUGAAUUUUUUUUGAAGAAUUUCUAUAGUUUGCAUGUUGGGUUUUGCUUAAAGUUUUGAGCUUUCUCUUGAAAUAGUUGACAGUUGUGGUUGGAUUGUAUGAGUAUUGUUUUCUCUUGAAGGAGUAUAGAAAGGUGGUAAAAGCUAAACUAUGUGUUGUUCUUGUGAAGGGUUAUUAUUGCUUCUUGAUAACAUAAUGGUGAGGUAUAAUUCAGUGCAUAUAUGUGUUCUAACAACUGGUGGCGAACGUAAGAUUCUUUUAUUAAGGGGUUCAAACUAUGAAGAGUAAACACACGAGGAACCCAAAGAGGUUCAACAUCAUAUACAUAAAAUAUAAUUUUGUUUAUAUAUAAACAAUGUGAUUUUUCACCGAAGGGUUUUUGAAGAACCCCUUGGCUUUACCUAGCUCUGUCUGGGCUAACAACUUAAGCUUUUAGACGAGAUGAGUACAUAAUUCGACAUGGUUCAAUACUCGUCUCCACCGAGUAUCAAGAAGAAUUUCCACGUGUUAGGCUCUUGAACAACUUAGGUUUAUUCGUUUGGAUACAAUAGCCAUAUAGUUUGUAGCUAUUAUCUAGUUUCAUACAUUUUCAUGAGAGGGAAAUAUAACAUAUUUUUCAGCAGGUUAAUAUUUAUUAUAAGAGAGUGGUAGUUUUAUAGCUGUCCACAUGAAGGUGCAAAUGUAUUUUAACUUGGCCGUGUCCAUCUUGUUGAUUGACUAAUGAGUGCAUAAGCAACCAAACUUUCAUCACUCAGAGAAGAGUUUUUUCACUUUCUACUGUCGAGUGCUGCGUAUGCACCUUCAAGUUGGAGAUUUUUGAAAGAUUAAAGCAGCUGUCCCUGAAGUUUCUAUUUUGAAACAAUACGGAAGUACACGUAUGUGUUUUGGCUUUACUCACUGCGAAGUAUUUUUUUCUCCAGGCCUAAUAAAUAACUUUGUAAAAAAUAUUCCGUUAGACCGACCUUAGUAGACGCUUCAUCUUUCAGCUUUUAAAUCAUUAUGUUACUGAGAGUCAAAUUGGCUUAUGCAAGAGUAAAAUAUGUAGACAAAUUCACAUUCCAUGUGUAGUAUACAUGAUGUCUCUUAUCUUCUUUUUUUCCUGAUUCUAUGUCAUGUUCUUUUGUUCUUUUUGCUUAUGAAAUCUUCUCUCUAGUAUAUACAGCAUACUUUCAACGUGCAUCGUUCUUUAUAAUGCACAAAUGAUUUUGAUGCUCUGACUGAGACUUCCACAAUUUUAAAUGUUGUACAGAGUGUUUCUGCCAGUGUUGUGGUUGGAUCUCAUGUAUGGGUUGAGGAUCCAGAGGUAGCUUGGCUAGAUGGGGUCGUUGUUGAAAUCAAUGGGGAAGAGAUCACUGUGGACUGCAACUCAGAGAAGACGGUAAGUUUUACACUAGUAUACGCCUUAAUUGGCUUACUAUUAUUUAUCAUUCAGUGUACCUUUUCAUUGGCUUUUAAGCUUUAAUAUUCUGUUGUAUCUGUAUUGUAUUUAAUCAACAUGGAUGGUGCCCGUGGAGAAUAAUUAAAUGAUAAUGUGAUUCUGUUUAUUUGUUUCCCGCUACAAAAACUACUAAUGUAGUCAAUUUUUUUUAUCUCAGAAGAAAAAUUCUUGCCACAAUAGGCAAUAUUAUUAACAAGAUUAGAUGUGGUUAUACUGAGUGAAGGUCUGUUCACUAUGUUGUUUGUAUAGAGAUUUUUGGGAAAGCCUUUAUGAGUUAAAAUGGUGUCCAUUUUUAGUGUUUGCAGCAUGCUUGCUACCAAACUCUGGAUUACAUCUUUCUUUUUUCUGGUAUCUGAAUGUGUUUGAAAAAUCUCCCUGAAUUUCCUUUGUAGGUUACGGCCAAUCUAUCCAAUGUGUACGCAAGAGAUACCGACGCGCCUUCUUGUGGCGUGGAUGAUAUGACAAAACUUUCUUAUCUGCAUGAACCAGGAGUAUUGCAGAAUUUGCGAAGUCGAUAUGACAUGAAUGAAAUAUAUGUAAGAACUUUAAGGACGAUUCUUAUGCAUUUUUCUAAUCAACUGUAUUUCUUUUUUUAUCUUGAUAAUAAUAAAAUUCUAGUAUUAAUGUAUUUUGCUUCAUGCUAGUUAUGCGGGGAACUGUAGAGUAGCGACUGUUUAAGCUGUGAAUAAUAAUGAAAGGGUUGAUGCCAGAAAAUAAUGCAGAGAGUGUUAUAUAAUGACUGUUUACUUAAAGGGAACUUUUGUAUUAAUAUAUUUUUUCUCUGUAUGUUAAUACACAUUCUUGUUCUACAUUAGAAGGGCUGUUUGGUUCACAUGCUAGUUAUGUGAGGAUUAUAACGCAGAGAUUGUUUAUUCAUGGAAUAAUAAUGAAGGAAUUUUGUGCGAUGAAUAAUAAUGUUGCAGUUGUAUGCGGUGAAUUAUAAUACAUGACAUAUUAUCUAGGGACUACUUACUUUAAGAAUUUUUGUUUCAAGUACUUUUAUGGACAUGUUGCUAUUUACGUGUUCUUAUUCCUCUUUCAGUCUAGCAUAAAAUAAUACAUAAGUUCCAUAUAAACUCAGUGCAGAUAUUUUUUAAUACUGUCAAGAAAAUGUUAUGCUAGUUAUGUCAGGGAUAAUAUAACAAUCAAAUGCUAAUUAAUUAUGCAUAGACUAUUUUCUAAUUCCUCUGGCUUACACUCUAUUUAUUUUAUGCAAGAUUUUUUGUUGGGAUGAUUUUUGCUAAUCCUUUCAACCAAACAAUUCCUCAAGUUUUUUUUUUUUUGUAAUAUUUUGAAUAAACUGGUUAAGAAAGCUAAGAUAUGAUUGGAUGCGUUCAGACUUACACUGGGAGUAUCUUGAUUGCCGUGAAUCCCUUCAAGCGGUUACCCCAUCUAUAUGCUAAAAGUGUGAUGGAACAGUACAAAGGAAUUGCACUUGGGGAUCUGCCCCCUCAUCCUUUUGCUAUUGCUGAUUCUGCCUACAGGCAAGAUUCAUGUUUUUCGAGUGGCUUUCAAAUAUCAAAUUACUAUAUAAUCUUUAACAUUGUUCUUUUUGAAUGCAGGCAGAUGAUUCAUGAGGGGAUAAGCCAGUCAAUUUUGGUAAGUGGAGAGAGUGGAGCGGGCAAGACAGAAAGCACAAAAAUGCUUAUGCAAUAUCUUGCGUAUAUGGGCGGACGAGCUGCAGCUGAGGGAAGGAGCGUGGAGCAGCAAGUCCUUGAGGUAUGGUUAACUUUUGGUAAAUUUUCGCUGCUCGAUUUUGUUUCAAUUAAUUUUGCUGUUGGAAUUUUGAGAUAGCCACUUUCUUGUCAAGACUGGCUUUAUAAAAUCUGUUCAAAAUAAAUAUGGAUCAAUCAACAAUACCUCAAAACAUUUCUGGAUAUAUGUACAUUUUUAACUUUUGCUUUCUUCAGUCAAAUCCAGUUUUAGAAGCCUUCGGUAAUGCUAAGACAGUCAGAAACAACAACUCAAGGUGAGGAGACCAGAAACUUAGAUGCUUGUUCCUAUUCAUAUUGCACAUUCUGUUUAACUAAUACUUUGGCUUCACCAACAUGUAUUUUGGCAGUCGUUUCGGUAAGUUUGUGGAGCUCCAGUUUGAUAAAAGGGGGAGGAUAUCUGGUGCCGCCAUCAAAACAUAUCUGCUGGAAAGAUCCCGCGUUUGUCAAGUUUCUGAUCCUGAGAGAAAUUAUCACUGUUUCUAUUUGCUUUGUGCUGCGCCACCUCAGGUAAUUUCACUGUGCCUUUAUGUUUGCAAAUGCCUUCUUCUAGUAUUUGGGGUUCACUUUACCUGUAUUAGGAUUUACAUCAUUCUUAUUGCUUGCUCCUCUGGAUACAAUUUGUCUAUUUUCUAAUUAAGCACCAUUAAUAUGUUAACAAAGAGAAAGAAGUUUUUUGUUUUUUUCAUUUAUUUAUUUACUUGUUAUUUUCGUUAUUUUUGAAGAAUUACAAAGUAAGCAACAUGGAUGCAUCCUCUUGCAAUAAUAAAAAGUAAAGUUGUGUACAAUAGACCUAGUGUGGUAUGACCGCAGAAGCCGUAGCAUUAGGUGCUAUGUUCUAUUUUUCAUUUUAAGGACUAUUAAGACCAGAAAAUAUUCUCGUCUGAACAUGUUCCGUAGCAAUAUGUCAGAUCUUAUUAAAUAAAUAGAUGUGACUCCUCUUAAACCAUAUAAGCAUCAAGAUGAGCUAUCACAUAGUUCAACAGGUUAGGAUCAUACAAUGUUGUUCUAAGUUGGAGCUACUUGGUUUCUUUCCUUCUCUUUUCUUGCAGGAUGUUGAAAAAUAUAAAGUAGGGAACCCAAGGACAUUUCAUUAUCUGAACCAAUCAAAUUUUUUUGAACUAGCUGGAGUGGAUGAGUCGGAGGAAUACCUGGCAACGAGGAAAGCCAUGGAUGUUGUAGGGAUAAGUCACGACGAGCAGGUAUUAGCAUCACUGCAUCUUCGAUACAUGGGUUACUUCAUGAAAGUCUCUAGUUUUAAUAUUCAACUGCAGGAUGCUAUUUUUAGAGUAGUGGCUGCAAUUCUUCACUUGGGAAACAUUGAAUUUGCAAAGGGAACAGAAACUGAUGCUUCGGAACCUAAGGAUGAUAAGUCUCGGUUCCAUCUAAAGAUUGCAGCUGAACUAUUCAUGUAAGUGGUUUCUUCUAUUUAUAGUCUCCAGAUACCAUCGCGUUCCUUUUUUUUUUUUCCGAAGGAAAUUUCAUUUUGGUGAAAUUUUGUUUAGGUGUGAUGAGAAGUCCCUUGAGGACUCCAUGUGCAAACGUGUCAUGGUCACUCGUGAUGAGACCAUUACAAAGUCCCUUGAUCCAGAAGCUGCAGCUCUCAGUAGAGAUGCUCUAGCCAAGAUAGUUUACUCAAGACUGUUUGAUUGGUUAGUUGAGUUCAGGGUGAUUAAGUUGUAUUGCUUGUUUAGUUGUACCAAAGAUAUUUGACCCAAGAUAAAUAUUGUAUUAUUGUUCAGGAUAGUGAACAAGAUCAAUAACUCUAUUGGCCAAGAUCCCGAAUCAACUCUCUCAAUUGGUGUUCUAGAUAUCUAUGGAUUUGAGAGUUUCAAGACAAACAGGUGCUUAACCGGUAUGCUUUUGUUUUCAUCAUUCACAGAGGUUAAGUUCUUGCAGAGUGCUGGAUGAAAGUUCUGUUCUUCCAUUUUGGAUUUUUGGAAUUGAAUGUUCAUUUUCCUCUCUGAUCCAACUUAACCAUAAUUUUUUUCUCUAUCAACAUCUUCCUCUUUUACCAGAUUUAUCUUGGAUACGAUUUAUUGUGCCUGCUAUAUUUAUUGCUGCCUAUACACACAUUCUGAUUCUUAAAGCACUUUAGGUGUUGAGUUCACAUUUAGAUGAAUAGCCUUAAUAACUACUCGUGCUAGUUUAUUCAAUUUGCUUUUUGGUGCUCUUUCUUUGGUUAUGAUUAUUGAUUUCUUCUAUGCAGUUUUGAGCAAUUUUGCAUUAAUUUGACCAACGAAAAACUGCAGCAACAUUUCAACCAGGUUUGUGUAGUCAUUAAUUUGAUAGUCUCUCAUAGCUGAGAAAUGUUAAUAUAAAUACUAAAACCUUUUAUUGUUCCCUUUGCCAGCAUGUUUUCAAGAUGGAGCAAGAAGAGUAUACCAAGGAGGAAAUUGACUGGAGUUACAUAGAGUUCAUUGAUAACCAAGAUAUUCUUGAUCUUAUAGAAAAGGUGAUGUAGAACAUGAAUAUAAUUUAUCACCAUCUUUGACUUUUCUCGGAAAAUGUACAGAGUAAGAUUUAUUGGCAGAAAAUGGGAUAAGAGCAUAUACAAGUGUAUACACAUAAAGAGUUCUAUACAAAGUAGAUCUGUCUACCAAUUAUAUUUAAUCAUCAAUGCAUGUCAAAUUGUCUUAUGCUGGUUACAUUACUAUUUGAUUCACUUCUUUCCUCCACAGUUAUUCUGGUAAAAAAGGAAAACAGUAUAUGUGCUUUUAUCAUCAUUUUUCUGUGAUGUCAUAGAUUUUAAAUUUUAUUGAUAUGUUUUGGUUGCACUUGAGCCAAGGGUCUUUUGGAAACAGCCUCUCUACCUCCACGAGGUAGAGGUAAGGUCUGUGUACCCUCCCCAGACCCCACAUAGUGGGAUUUCACUGGAUAUGUUGUUGUUGAUGUAUUGAUAUGUUUUGGUUCCAUUUUGCCAUGCUUAUGUUCUGAAUACUUUGGUUCUUUCAGAAACCUGGGGGGAUAAUUGCUCUUCUUGAUGAGGCUUGGUAUGCAGGCACUUCAAUUCUUUAAUUUACUCUAAUUUUUCUUUCUCUUGGUAUAAUUGUCAAAAUUAAUCACAAAACUCAUUGGCUGUGGUGUUUACUACUUAUGUGGCUCUUCUGCCAGUAUGUUCCCAAGAUCAACACAUGAGACCUUCGCUGAAAAGCUAUAUCAGACAUUUAAAGAUCAUAAGCGGUUCAGCAAGCCAAAGUUGUCUCGGACGGAUUUUACUGUUUGCCACUACGCUGGUGAUGUAAGUAUAAAAACUAGUUCAUCAAGAUAUAUUUAACAUCACAGAAUGAGGGUUAUGCAAUUAUUGCCUAGAAUAGCAAGUGUCGCUCAAAGCUGUUUUGACUUCUUUCAUGUCAGGUCAAGUACCAAACUGAGUUCUUUUUGGAUAAGAACAAGGAUUAUGUAGUUCCAGAGCACCAAGCAACACUUAUUGCUUCAAAGUGCCCCUUUGUUUCUGGCUUGUUUCCACCUUUACCUGAAGAUUCUUCUAAACAAACCAAGUUUUCCUCUAUUGGUGCUCGAUUUAAAGUAUGUUUUCCUCUAGCCUUUGAUCAACCUUUUUACAUUAUUGCUUCAUGCCUCUGAAAUAUCUUACCCUGUACCUGAUGUAGCAACAAUUGCAAUCAUUGCUUGAGACUCUUAAUGCCACAGAGCCUCAUUAUGUUCGUUGCGUGAAGCCAAAUAAUCUUUUGAAGCCAGAAAUUUUUGAGAAUCAAAAUGUACUCCAGCAGCUUCGUUGUGGGGUACUCUUGAACAACUCUGUCUAUUACAAAUUAUACUGUCUCUGCAAAACUGGGUGCUUCACAAUUAAAUCUUUUCUAGGGAGUUCUGGAGGCUAUUCGUAUCAGUUGUGCUGGAUUUCCUACUCGAAAACCAUUUGAUGAAUUCUUAAGUCGGUUUAAGGUCCUUGCUCCUGAAGUUUUAAAUGGAAGGUAUUAUUUGCAUUAGAAUUUAGCACAAUUCAAAGAGUUCUCAAGGUUUCUAUCCAUUUCUUUCUUUGGUCUGUUAACAUUUAGAAAUUUUCUGCUCUCAUGUUAAGUCUUCUCCUUGAUAGAAUUGACGAGGUUGCUGCUUGCGAAAGACUUUUAGAGAAAUCUGGCCUCAAAGGUUAUCAGGUACUGAUUGUCAUUCUUCUGGUAAUGGUUAAUCAUAAGUAGAAAAAUCAUUAAGAAUUAUCUAUUAAAGAGAGAUUAUGUUUAUGUGCUGAAUACUUCAGCCAGAAAUCAAGAAACAAUCAGUAAAAUAUCUCCCUAUUCUUCUUUCCUUUAGGCAAGAAAUUACAAAUAAAUUACCUACCUAAACUAAUAUAGAAUCUCUCUAAUGUAGAAACAAAAUAAAAUCCGGCUUCCUAGUCUAAGAACAGUUUCUUAGCCCAUUCAGGAUCUUUGAGAUCCAUCCCCAGAAUUAGGACAACUCGAAAUCGUGCUUAUUCCUUCUGCUCUGAAAGUUCAGUGCCUUUUUUCUUUUUAAUUGGAGUAUUUGGUCAUUUAGUUGCUGCGAUUUAGUUGAGAAUCUUGUGGGAAACCUGUAAUCAAGGUUUCCUACUCUCUUGUUACAUCAGAUUUUUGUUUGUAUUACAUAACUCAAUUUUGGUAUCAUCUGUUGGUAUGAUUCUGACUUCUGUUUAAGUUUAUAAAAAUUUUACUUGUGACGAUCAUUCUAUCUAUUAUUACGUAAUUGUAGGUUGGAAAAACAAAAGUGUUUCUUAGAGCUGGUCAAAUGCCAGAAUUAGACACUCGCCGAAAUGAGGUCCUUGGCAAGUCAGCUAUCAUAAUCCAGGGAAAAGUUCGCUCAUACUACGCUCGAAAAAAGUUUUUGUUGUUACGAGCUUCAGCAAUCCAAGUCCAAGCUGUUUGUAGGGGUAUGAACCUGCUUGAUUUCUAUAUUAGUUAUACGACCACAUGCCAACAAAAAGCUAGAUUGGCAGUGAGUACAUCCUGGGUCCUGCGCACACCGUCUGUGACACUGGGAUUUGUUUUCCUUUAAAUUCAAUAAUGCCUCUAAUGGUUCGCUUAUGCAAUAAAAAAAUGUAAUAACUGUUUCAUGAUGCCUAUGCAGGCCAGACCGAACGGGCUCUCUAUGAGUGCAUGAGGAGGGAAGCUGCCUGUCUGAGGAUCCAAAAAGAUGCACGCAAGUACAUUGCAAGGAGAUCUUAUGGAUUUCUGUGUGUUUCAGCUGUUUCCAUUCAAGCAGGACUGCGGGGCAUGGCUUCUCGAAAUGAGCUUCAAUUCAGAAAGCGAAAAAAAGCAGCUGUCUUUAUCCAGGUAAUAGAGGGACUUUGUACUGUCUUUUCUGAAUUUUUACAUACCAUUUCAGAGCCAGAUUUUUAUCCUGAUCUGGUUCAGCAUUAUGAUAAUUAGAAUUCAAGUAACGAAUCCAUUUUACAUGUUUUGACUGACACUUAGCUUUGCUGUAAUUUUUCUUACCUUGAUUAUAGAGUGAUUGGCGGAGAUGUGUGAAACGUCGGCAUUAUAGGAGGAUGAAGAAAGCAGCAGUUGUGUUACAAUGUUCCUGGAGAGCUAAAUUGGCCCGUAAAGAACUGCGGAAGCUAAGGAUGGUGAGAACUUCUCUUUCUGUUGGCCUUUAUUGUUCACAAUUUUUUUUGUAUGACAUGCUAGUUUGUUAUGCCCCUUGAUCUGUGUAACUUGUAUUUAUCAUUCAUUCUCCAAGUAUGAAGUUAUGACAGAAUAACAACUAGUUCUGAAUCAUUCAACGCGAAGCAUGAAUAUGUCAAAGUUAAAUAAUUGAAUAUCCAUGUCUUGUACUUGAAUUGCUGAAUGCAGGUCGCCAAUUUAUAUAUUCAACUGUUAUCUUGCAAGAAAACUCUCUUCAGUCAUUUUCCUCCUUUAAAUUGAUUUAAGAUUCUUUGAUGAAAUUCACAGGAUAGUACAUGAGAUUUCCCCAUGUUGAACUUGCAAAUCUAUAUCUGCCAUUGUUGGAUUCGUGUUUCACGGGGUGGAGUUCAAAACCUUGAUAAGUGCAUUAAAUGUCUUGAUUUUCUUUUCUGAUUCAGGCAGCUAAAGAAACUGGAGCUCUCCAAGAUGCCAAAAGCAAGCUGGAAAAGGAAGUUGAAGAGCUGACACAGAGACUACAGGUGGAGAAGCGCAUGAGGGUAAAUAAAUUUCUUUUAAUUUUCAAGAUAACUACCAGUAUUAUAAUUGAUAAUUAGGUUCUAAAAGUUUCAUUAUCUAUAAUGUCGUCCCUUCCACUCAGUUUGACGAAAAUGAGUUCAUCUUAUAUUUGUUCAGGCCCGUCUUUUCUGCACAUCACCGUGAGUUACAGGUCCUACACUUGAUAAUUGAGACAUAUAUCCAAUAGUAUUCCUAAACUUAAGGAAUUGAAAAUAGAUUCGAUUUACUGCAGCUUUAAUCACUUAGGCCUAUCAAAGGCAAAAACACUCCAGAAACUACUGAGGAACUAAUGGUUCACUCCCAGAUUCUCACUCAGAAAUCAAUACUCCUUGAAAUGAUGUACCUGAAGGAUCACUUUUUUGAAAAGAAGAAAGCUCGUAGCAUUUAAGAAUGUACAGAAUAUCUAAUGCAAGUUAAGAACCUGGAUGGGAUAUGCAUUUCUACAUGUAUAUAUCAAUUAACUUUGUUGAAUGAUUCUCAUGCAAACCAUUUUUUGAAGAGAAUGUCCAAUUUAGAAAUGCCUAGACAAUGGUGAAGUACUUUUAUUCUUUGAAUGAAUUAAUUUCACAAUGCAAUAAAGAAACAUGGAAAUGAUAAAGAGAUGCUAGUUUAUUAUGAGGAGAACUUGUUGACAGUUAGCGGAAAACUAGUAUUAUCCUAUAGUAGGCGUUGCUAGUUGAAAUGGUGUAAGUUGCUUAGUGUUUAAUCAUGAUAUGCAGGCUUCUGUUUGCGACCUAAUGUUGAACUAUGAUGCAUGAUAUUUCCAACAUGAUGAGCUACAAUGUUUAAGCACAAUGCUAGACUUUUCAUUGUGCAUCUUUUCCAGUACCCCAUUAUAUAUAUGGCAUAAUUCUGUUCUCCUCUAUAGCUAACAAUGAUCUAUAAACUUUUUCCGAAAAUGCUUCGGUUAUUAUUUUUUAUAUGUUUAGGACUCUGAAAUUCUGCAAACAUUUGUUUGUUGAAACAAAAAAAGUGAACUGGUGAUCGCCUAUCUUAGUGCUCAACUUCUGAAUCAAAAGAAAGCAUAUACUUGUUUCUGCUUAUGAUGCAUACAUGAUUGAAUUGUUGAUGAAAAUUAAUUUCACUAUGAAGUUGUUAUUGUUGGACUUUGGAGUUGGACCAAGGUAAAACAAGAUUUGGAAAAAUUAACAGAAAAUGUAAUGUGAUUCUAUUUCAUAGUAGCAACUUCUUUCUGUACCACUAACUGACAAAAAACUAUAUUAUAUAGGACAAACUUGAGGAAGCUAAAAUCCAGGAAACAAUGAAAUUACAGUCUGCAUUGGAAGAGAUGAGGCUUCAGCUUCAAGAAACUAAAGAGCUGCUCAAGAAGGAACGUGAAGCUGGCACAAAGGUCGUGGAUCAAGGGUCCGUUAUACAAGAGGCCAAGGUUAUAGAUCAGGGGGUGGUCACAGAGGAACGUGCGGCUUCCACAAAGAUCGUGGAACAGGGAUCAGUUGUAAAAGAGGUCCAGGUUAUAGAUCAGGUGCAGGUCAACAAGCUUACAGCUGAAACUGAGAAGCUUAAGGUUAGAAUGUGAGGUUUAACUUUGUUGUAUUACUUAAUGGAUAUUGGAUACUUUAUUUGAAGUUCAAAAAGUAUAUGAAGUAAUCCUGACAGGGAAAGUUUUUCUAUUGUUUCAAAUUUGUUCUUUUAUCCUCUGUUUUCUCACUCAAGAUUAUAUCCAUUACAGCUUCUGAUGCAUAAUUUUCAUAGUUCAGUUGUCGAACUGGCUUUUAAUAUCUUGUCAAAUUCGUCGCAGGUUCUUGUUAACUCAUUGGAAAAGGAAAUUGACGAAAAAGAGAAAAAAUAUGAGGAGACAGUCAGAGUAAGUAGUGAGCGACUGAAGCAAGUUCUGGAGGCCGAGUCUAAGAUAAAUCAGUUGAAGGAUGCCAUGCAAAGGUAAUGAAAUUUUACUUAUGUCAGUUUCUUUGUUUGAAACAGUCUUCCCUUACUUGUUCUACCUUUAUAUGGUUUAGUAUUAAUCUGGGAUUAUCAAUCAUAGUUUCUCUAAAGCAGAAUGUCAAUUAUGACAUCGUCCUUCGUUCCGCAUAGUUGAAUGGUCCAACAAUAACAACUACGCCUCAGUGCCAAAUAAGUUGGGGAGUUGAAUGGUCUAAGUUUAAUAUUUUUAAUUCAUGAUAUACCUACUAAAAAUUAACUGCAUAAACCUCCUAGCAGAUUCAUGGUUCAAUUGUUUCAAUCCACCUUAGCUUCCUCCAAAUUGAAUCUAAUAUGUAGUUGACCCAAAAUUGCAUUUUGAUCUCCGCUGAAUCCAGAUCCUCUCAUAACUUUUGCAAUUGUUGGUAUUUUGUUGUCAAUACAGUUCUAAGUUAGUUUGAAUUUCGCACCAAUUUAGAUCCUUAUUUUCCCAUCUUUUUCAUUUGAUACUGAUUGAGAGAACCACAGUUCGAAAGAGCUGCUAAUGAAGGAUCCUGAGGCUGCCACAAAGUUGUUGGAAGAAGUAGAGUUCCAGGUUGCAGAUCAGGACGUAUCGGGCAAGAUUAGCGCUGAAAAUGAGCAGCUCAAGGUGAAGAUGUUAGAUUUACAUUGUGAUGUACUACUUAAUAGAUGCUCUUCUUGAAUUUCAAUAAUUACCAGAAAUUGUGGUCGGGACCAGUUUUCUUGCUGCUUCUAAUUUUCUUAUCUUGUUUACUUUUUUCUUUCAUAGGAUUAUAAAUCCAGGAUUGCAGUCUCGAUGUGUGAUUAUCAUAAUUCAGUAAUUGAACUAGCUUUUAACAUGCUUAUUAUAUAUGUUGCAGGUUCUUGUUAGUUCAUUGGAAAAGAAAAUUGAUGAAACAGAGAAAAAAUAUGAGGAAACAAGCAAAAUAAGUGAGGAGCGAUUGAAGCAAGCUCUGGAUGCAGAGGCUAAGAUAAUUGAGUUGAAGCUUAAUAUGCAAAGGUUGAAAAGUUUUUCAUAUAUGGCUUGGUUUCUUCAACAGCUCUGGCCUCUUAUCUUAUUUGUUCUUUUCAAAAUAUGGUUUUGUAUGUCAUUUAAAUAUGGUAGCUGUUAGUCUUAAGCUGGAACUGAAUCAGUAUUUUAUCGUCGUACCCAUACCUAUGUCACAACAUGUGGAUCAAGCUUGAAAAAUGCUUGUUAUAUCAAUCAGCUGUUAAGUUCAAAUUGGUAACUACAGACAUUAACGAAGAACCAAAUCAUAGAUUGCCUAUGAUUUGCAUUGAAUAUGACAGCUGGUUUACUUGGGGUUCAUGAAUAUCAAUAGCCAGUGUUCUUGAGAGGUUUUUUAGCUUUUGUAAAGAUUUGAACUUUUUGGGUAAAAAUUCAAAUUGUAGUUUAACCUAGUCAAAUCUGUUCGACUAAAGCAGAUGACGGAUCCAUGUAUAUUGCUUCUGUGUGUUCUCCAAUAUUUCUUUUAUAGCUUCUCUUCUUCUUAGAGCAAAAUUUCAACAUAAUCCAUCAUAUUUGUACAAGUUAAAUUACAGGAUUCUUUAUCAUGUGAAAUAAGUUAGUUUGAAUAUCUUUUUUAACUUAACAUUUGUAUCUCAGGCUUGAAGAGAAACUUUCGGAUAUAGAAGACCAGCAGAUUCUUCGACAGCAAGCGUUAAAUUUACCAACUGGAAGAACUUCAAGUCGUUUUGCAGUAAAAACUCUGCCUCUGAUGCCAUAGAAAUGCCAAUCUUUUUUUCAUAGCUUUCUUGUGCGUUUCCUCACUUUUUUAAAACUUUUUUCUGUUUUCCUCCUGCAGACUUCUGAAAACGGUCAUCAUGUAAGUGAAGGAUUCACCUAUUUAGUGCUUUGUUAUAUACUUCCUCUUUCCCAAUGUAUGAUACUCUUGUCAUUUUAGUACAUCCCAAAACGUUCGACACCAUUCCAUUUCUGAACAACUUUCACUACUUUUAAGAAUUCAAAUUCAUUUAAGUGUUCAAGUUUUAAAUAUUGAGAUGAUGUUUUCUCUAUCAAACUAACAUUUUAAAUAAUACUCUAAUGUUUUCUUACACUAUCACUAGUAUAACAUAUAAGUUAAAUUAACAUCUUAAAUACUGUGUGCACUCGAAUAGUCAUAUAAACUGGGAUGAAGGGAGUAACAGUCAUGUUGGUGCUUUGCAUAAUGUCUGUUCUGACAUGAUGACCGUUUUCAGGAACCACUGGCUGCAGUACCAUCAAGAAGGUUUGGUACAGAUUCAAUGAGGAGAUCCAAUGCGGGAGCAACAAAAUGGUUUGGUACAGAGUCUAUGAGGAGAUCCAUGGCUGAUAGGCAGCGGGUAUGUACCCAGGAAGUGAUUAAAUAUUUUUCAAUCAGAUUUCUUUUUCUGUUUGCCAUCUUUCUCCGAUUUCGCACUUUUUGGGAAUAUAUGGAACAAGAUAUCUUAAAAUUGGAGUUCCUAAAACAUGCUAUACAAACAUUUAUUUUAAAAGGCUUGUGGUUUGAACUCUAUUGUAUGAGUGAGAUUCACAGAUACCGAGUUGAUGGCUUAGUCAAAAUCUUUCCCGAAAGAAAACCAGGAUUAAACAUUAUCUUUGAUUUAAUGAGAAGUGGGGAAAAGAUAAGGCUGAUUGAAUUUCUUUUCUCUGAUGUCGCUAAGAGGUUGAUACAGCUGAACUUUUUCCUUUUCUGGUGGGGGAUGGGCGUUCAAACCCUUCCAAUUUUAUAUUUCUUCUUCCUUAUCUUCACCCUCAUUCCUGUAUUAUACCUUGUACUUCCUUGUUCACUGUCUAUAAUGAACAAAUAAAGAGUGCUGAUACACUCCAAACUUCUCUUGAUGCAUCUUGAAAACUACCUUCCUUAGCUUUUUCUUUCUCAGAAGUUAUGUUAUACCUAUAAAAAAGAGAAAAUCUACUGCAGAAGAUAGUAUCGGAAGGACAUAGCUGCAUAUGUUUAUCGAUGGAGUUCCCUUUUAAUCCUAAACCCUGGGCAGAAUGCUUUUUAAUUUUUUUUUUGAUACCGAGAAAUCCAACUGUAGCCAACCUUUAGGACUAGCCGCUACCUUGGAAACUCAGGGAUAAUAGGACUUCCCCUCUACCCUUAUCAACUUGAGUAUUAGGCUUAGUUAUCUUGGCGUCAGGCUUGAACUUGUGACCCAUGCCUCAAAUUGCUGUACCUUUUCCAAGUGAGCUAAUCCUUGGGGACUGAAUCAAAUGAUUUUAUGUGUGUAUGCAAUGCUUAAAGAUGUAGACAUGCAUAUACUGUUCUGCAUGAGUACAAAAACAUUGAGUUGUUUUUCUAAUUUCGUGUUACUAGUUUUUGAGAAGUUUUAUUCACAGCGGCAUAAUACAUCAGCACAGUAAAUAUUCCUCCACUUUAUUGUUGUAUGAAUGUGGUGAUCCCGUGGCUACUAAUUCUAAUAUCUUCUUUAACAUUAUGUUGCAGGAGAGUGUGGAUAUUCUUAUCAAAUGUGUCAGUCAAGAUCUAGGGUUCAGUGAAGGGAAACCAGUGGCAGCAUUUACCAUAUACAAAUGCCUACUUAAUUGGAAUUCCUUUGAAGCAGAAAAAACUAACGUGUUCGAUCGUCUUAUUCAGAUGAUUGGUUCUGCGAUAGAGGUAACUUUCAAUAUCAUGUCGAAAUCAGCGAUCAUGUUGUAUUGUUCGUAGGAGUUCAUGAGUCAUAACAUAAGUGUAAUACACAUACUAGCCUGUAUUAUACUGCUAUGUCAAAAAUGCUGUCUCUCUAACUCAAUGACAAACAUAUAUACUCAUUUUAUAUCAAUUUCAGGAUGAGACAAACAAUAAUCACAUGGCGUAUUGGCUGUCCAACAGUGCAACUUUGUUGUUUUUACUUCAGCAUACACUGAAAACUACUGAUUCAGCUCCAAGUAGACCGCCCCAACCAACAUCAUUUUUUGGUAGAAUGGCACAGGUACUUGAUUCUUUCUUUCAUCUCUAUUAUUAAAUGUGCUCCUAAAGCUAUUGAAUUGAAGUUUCUGUUGGCUAUACAUUUUGCAGUAUUACUUUGUGUAUUUGAAAGCACUUCUAUAGAAAGUUUCUGCAGCUAUUAUUUGAGUUCCCUGUUACUUAACAAAAUUGAACAUGUCUCUGAUGCUACUAUUGAUGUUGAAGAUCUGAGGUGGAAAAUAGAAAACAGAGAGAAAUAACUGUAUUGAUAUGUGUCAUAAACUGUUUCAUAAGUAGAAGAAAACUAGGAACACAAUAUACAAAAUACGGUGGUGCAUUUAUUGGACUGCUAUGUAUUAAGUUGGAACCAGUCCUUGACGACCGAACACGUCCAUCAAACUCAUAAUGGUGAACUCACUUGAGGUUGAAAAGUAAUAGUGUAAGAUCCUUGUCUGUCUAGUGUGUGAUGGAAGGCUGAAGCAUGCUCUUAGUAGUUGUUAAAGAUAGAUUGCGGAACAAGCAGAGAUUGGAACAUAGUUCCUUUAUGUAUAUUUUGGAUGAUUCGAAUUGAAAUCAAAUAUCAAUGUUUUGUGGGAACAAAGCAUACUUCAUAAUUGAAGUUUAGAUAUCUUCAAAAUAAAAAAGAAACUGAUGGAAAGGAAGAGGAGGAAGUGAAGCUGGAGCAGAUGGAAACUACAAUAACAACAUACCCAGUGUAAUCCCACAAGUGGGGUCUGGGGAGAGUAGGAUGUACUCGGACCUUACCCCUACCUUUUUGAGGUAGAGAGGUUGUUUCCGAUUGACCCUCGGCGUAGAAGAAUUGCAAGAAUAAUAUAACAACAAAAUAGCAACACCAAAGCAAAAAGAGAUUCACAUAAUAUUAAAGAAGCAUAUAAAUCAAAUAAGAUGACAGACUGAACAUAUGGCUAACAGAUCGAGAUACAAAUCAGUCGAAAUCAUUCACCAUACAAGAAAGAUAAACGAUGGAGUAGUGUCCCAAGACCUUUAUAUAAAUCCCCUUGGAAGUCCUUACAUAACCUAUGCGAGACAACAAACAAAUCAACAUCCUUUUGCACAUUUAACCCAAUACUUGGAGUUCAGUGAUCUGUAUUACUGACUUACCAAUGGCAAAUAGGUUUGUCAAAGGUUGACUCUGAUAGCAUGUCAAAGAAGAUGAGCUUCCAACCUAAUACAUCAAGGCCAUGAGUGGAGUAGUCCAAGACCCUUAUAAACCUUUGAGAGCCCUUACAGAACCGAUGUCAGACAAUCAGAAGAUUUCAGAAGGCAGAGUCGGUAGAAGUUAGGAGGGAUAAUUUUCUAUAGUUCAUGAACUAAUUGUAUAUAUAUUCUGUGCGCUGAUCUGAAAAUGGUACCAUGCUUAAUAUCUGUGAUGAAGAGGAAGUGAAUUAGAUGUAACACCGCACCAGUAGGCGGAAAUAAUUUUCAAAUUCUCAUACAGAUUGAAUUGGAUCAUAUAGAGUGAUGAAGAUCUGAAUGACGGGGAAGGAAUAAGGAGAACUAGCCAUAUUGAUUCUAACUUUAUUAAUAUGAUAUACAAUAUUCACUUAUAUAUAGGUGUGAUGCACUAUGUAAGAUACAAUCCUGCAUUUAUUUCACCAUUGAUUUACUUUUUAGGUGACCUCCUGUGUCCUAACUUUCUAGUAGUUUUUCUACUCUUAUCCUGCGAAUUUCCAAGAUAGACCAUGUAACUGUUACUUGUUUACAGCUGCAUUGGUUGGACAUUAGUAAAUCUCUCUCUGUAUAAAACAUACUAGUAGCCUAGAAUGAGGUAUAUGCAGGUUAUUUAAAACAGAAUUCCAACACAUUUCUUCAGAAAAUUUAUUGAUUAAAUGAUUGUACUUCUUUUCUAGAGUUUCCGGUCUUCAUCUGUCAACCUUGCAAUUGGUGGUCUCGACACUGUACGUCAGGUUGAGGCAAAGCAGCCAGCUUUACUUUUUAAGCUACAGCUCAGUGCUUAUGUCGAAAAGAUUUAUGGAAUUGUUCGAGAUAACUGGAAAAGAGACCUGUCUUCACUGCUGACUUCAUGUAUCCAGGUAAAUCACCAUGUUUUCUAGAAGUUCUAUGAGGAUGUUUUAUAUAUAUGUGUAUGUUCUGUACAUAUAUGUAUGUAUUCUGAACAAUAUGAAUAAUAUCAUUUGAUGCUUGUUAAUAAAAGAAUAUCUCUCAAGUAAGUCCUCUUCUCAAAUGGCACUUCUCCCUAGCUCACAAGGACUAACUGCACCAUAUUCACUGUUGCUUUCAUUAGGAUUCUGGUUUAUCUUGAUUUCAUGGCCCUUUCAAAAAAAUUCUGUUGGAUCUCAAAAUUGUGAUAAGCCGUUGUGCUUGUAACUUAAUUGUAUUUUGACUCAAAACUUCUUCGGGUUAUGGUCUUUGUACUUCAUAUAUUCAAACUUCUAAUUAUACUUGCACUUCCCAUCUUAAUUAGGCAUCUCAAGCAUCAAAAGGUGGAUCCUUGCAAUCACCACGGAAGUCCGUUGAUGGUUCUUCUCCACCCACUCCCUGGGAUGGAGUAAUUGAGAGCCUAAAUGGGCUUCUCAGUACACUGAAAGAAAACUGUGUAAGUUUCAUUGUAGGAAACAGUGUGAUGUGCUAAUAUUACUAAAACUGAUGAGUGGACUUGUGAAAUUUUUCAGGUUCAUCCAGUUUUCGUCCAGAGAAUUCUAAACCAGAUAUUCUCUUACAUAAAUGUUCAGCUGUUCAAUAGGUACAUUCUUUUCGUAUCUCAUAGCAGGAAGAUUAGAAAGAAACUCAUAGAUACUCCACUUACCAUUCUAUUUAAUCAUCAUUGCAGCCUUCUCCUUCAAAGAGAGUGUUGUACAUUCAGCAGCGGGGAGUAUGUGAAAGCUGGAUUGCAAGAAAUAGAACUUUGGUGCGGCAAUAUGAAAGAAGAGGUACUGUAUCAUUAGUACUGUAAGGGUACAUUGUUCGUAGAUUAAUAUAUAUGAACUGUAUUUACAUAUAAUUUAUCUUUUCCUUUCGCAGUACGUUGGUUCUUCUUUGGAUGAAUUAAAGCAUGCAAGGCAGGCAGUAGGAUUUUUGGUAUGUUUCUCCAAUGAACCUUUUUUUUUUUUUGGAAAAAUGUCGCUCUGCUUCAUAGCCUAAUAAUGCUCGUCUUACAUUUAAGUAUGAUUUUACGGGAACUCUUUUCUGUUACUUGCAAGUGACACCACAUAUAUGGAUAUUUAACUCCCAUUUUGAGAUUAUCUAUCACCGAACCCCUUCCAUAUAUUUUUCCCUAUCUAAAUAGCUCCUUUACAGGUUAUUAAUCAGAAGUCAAGACUUACAUCUGAAGAUCUAACAACUGAUCUCUGUCCCGUAAGUUCAUCUUCGUAGUCUUCUUAGUUGUACUUAAUUUAGAGAUUCCAAAUAUUGAUAAUACAUGGCGGUUCCAGGCUGCCACUUCUGGAAGUCGUGUUCCUUUGUUAGUUAUUUGAGUGCUAAAACAAAGAAUCCUAUUGGAGAAUUUUAUGAAGUGUAUAUAGAUCGACAGGGACUUAACCGAAUUAUUUAUGGUGUUAAAAUAUUGAAGUUAAUUUUCAUGCUACGAUACGAGUCCUUGACAUUUAUCUUGUCACAUUUGUGCAUCUGUCACUGAAUGUCUUUUUUCUGUUGGGAUCAUCUUUUCAGAUUCUGAGUAGUCAACAGUUGUAUCGGAUAUGUACACUUUACUGGGACGAAGAUUUUAAUACUCAAGGUGUAUCCCCAGAGGUAAGUCCUCCUUUCUUCAUUUAUUUUAUUUCACUCAAUGUCUUCUAUUGAUUAUGUGUAUAAGGAAUGCUCCUUCGAGACGAUCUGUUAGUCGACUAAUGUAUAUCAAUAUAAGAUAUUGGUUUGCAUCCUCCAACUGUUUGUCUUUCUGAUUAUUUUCUUCUUUCGGGGACGCUAAACCUUAGCUUUAACGUUUCCCCCUCUCUCUCUCAAUGGCAAAUUUUAACUGAACUUUUCUGCAUUUGGAUCCUAAACCAUACUGCUCGGAACAGGUCAUUUCCAGUUUUAAGGAUCAAGAAAAAGAAGACGCAAAGAAUGCAGAUAAUGCAAAUGAUGCAGAUAACAACUUUAUAUUGGAUGAUAAUUCCAGGUACUUCAUUAAUCUCAUUUGCUAUCAAAAUCUAUGUUGCUCGGACUCUUCAAAAAUACUGACAGGUGCAUGUUGUAUCCUCCAAAAGUAGUGCAUUUUUUGAGAGUCCGAGCAACAUAAGGUCAAAAUGACAAUAGAUCCUAUUCUAUCAUUCAUCUAUUUGCUACCAAUGCAGCAUUCCAAUCUCUGUUGAGGAGAUUAACAGUUCCCUCAAGGACGUUGAUUUCACCGGUGUAAAACCUGCAAAUGAACUGCUUGAAAAUGCAGCCUUCCAAUUUUUACGCGAAUAAGGCUGAGUUUUCUCCAGCAUGAAAUGCAUGUUUUGUUGGAACGACGUUGUCCAAGUCUCCACGCCAUGAAUACCAACUAUUGUACAUCCAUCAACCUAUUCAUUUUCCUUCCAGACGCGUCUGUUCGUUAUACUGUAACAUCCAAUGCCCCUUGUAAAGUUGCUCAAAAUGUAGUCUUCUUGUAAAAUUGUAGGUCUAGUUUUAGAUAGGAGAAAAGGGGGGAUAAAAGUGAGGAAAUUUUCCAACUUAGAGCUUGUUCCAUUUAGUCUUUUUGUCAUUCAUUUUAGAGUUGUCAUUAGCUAGAUUUUUUGUAACAAGGACUAAUUGGAGUACAAUAUUAUUGUAAAGAGCAAAAAUGGCCAAUUCAGUGUCUCUUUUUUCCCUCUCUUUUCAUUCAAAAUUAUCAUUUCAUACACGAGUCCCAGACUCAACUUGUGAAAUUACACUGAGUAUAUUGUUAUUUUUACACGAGUACGCGAUUUAAGUGGCAAAUUACUAUUACCUCCUUUCCAUUAUAUUAGUUGCAACAUUAGCCAGUGUUGAGAGAUCUCUUGAAAGUCAUCUUUUUUUUGCAUAUGGACACCUAGUAGAGGCUAUAUAGUAAAGAUUCCUAUAUGAAAUUCUUUUUACUCCCCAAAAGAGGGAGACAUGCGACAGAGGCGUAUCAAGGAUUUCGAAAUGAUGAAUGCACUAUUAUGAGAAGGUGGAUUUAAACGAUUUGACAUUUAGGUUCUUAUCAUUGAAAACAAUUGAAAAUAUUAAAUUAUAGGUCCAAAAAUUGAAAUGCUUGAUUAAUUAAAACGCUAAAAGUACUAUCAAUAACCACUUAGAGAGGUUUAUCCAAUUUUAGAAAGGAAAUGAAGAUAGAUAUAAAUUUCAAAGGGAAAAGGGUCUGAUAUACCCCUCAACUUUGUCAUUUGGAGCUGAUACAUCCCUCGUUAUGAAAGUGGCUCAUAUAUGCCCUUACCGUUAUACAAAUGGCUCACAUAUACACCUACCGUUACAAAAUGGCUCACAUAUACCCUUCAUUUGACGAAAGUUAAAUAAUUAGUUUUAAAUUUAUAUUUAUUACUUAUAAUUUUUAAAAAAAAAUUAUUUAGUGGUACAUAUGAUUCUUCUAUAAAAGUUCAAGGUAUAUUUUUUAAUUUUUUUCAUACAUAAAUUAUUUUUUGACUUCUUUUAUUAUAAUUAUUUGAGUUUCUUAUCCUUAUUUUGUUUUUUUCUUUCAUUCCUUAGUUUAAAGAAAAAAAAUUAAACUAUUGUUUUGUGUGUAUUGUAAUUUAAUUUCGUAUUCGGAAAAAAUUUGGUCAUCUACAAUAAGUUUUACAAGAAUAUUAGUGAAACAUAAAUAAAUUUGAUUAUCAAAAUAAUAAUUAUAAAUUAGUCAUUGAAACAAAAAAAAAGUCAAAAAAAAAUAUGUUUGACGAGGAUUUAUUUUACUCAUAUGGAAUUAUAUUUUUUAGAAAAAAAUAAUAAAAAUUUAGAUUGAAAAUUAUUAUUUUUUCAUUUCCGUUAGAGGAAAAGGGUAUGUGUGAGUCAUUUGUUUACAAGUAGGGGUAUAUAUGAGCCACUUUCAUAACAAGUGGUAUAUCAGCUCUAAAUGACAAAGUUGAGAGGUAUAUCAGACCUUUUUCCCAAUUUCAAAUUUCUACCCUCACUAAUAGGUGCACCUAAUCAUAGUUGCAUUAUAUGAUACUCCGAGUGUGGAUUUACACAUCUAAAUACAAAAAAUUAAAAAUAUAACACUAUUAUAUAUGAUUUUGGGAACGCGGUGACCCCCUCCUCAUACACCUCUGUGCCGAUAUAUACAGUUUGCCCAAAUAUGGUUGAGAUAUACAAAAUCUAUACAUUGAUAAUGUAUAUUAUAUGUAUAUGAUACUAAUAUAUACGAAUUAUAUACAUUUUUUCUGGCUAUUUUGUAAAUUAGAUCGCCUAAAGACGUUGAACUCUAACUAUUAUCUCAUAAAGCUCAAAGAAAUGGGCUUACAUUUGAGAAGACUACUUGGGAUUGGGCUCAGUGUGAGAUUGGGCUUAAUGUAUUGGGCUUCAUUUCUGUUGCUAUUGGACUGAACACAAUCCAAACAUAAGCCCAAUAAAACAACACCUCAUUUGUGUUUGGUAAGAUAUUACACGCAACGACGACGUUAAAAAUGGAUAGUCUUGAACUUUUGACCCGCACUUUUUCCUAUGAGCAAACCUUCAAGAUCGGAAGUCAAAAGUUUAGCCAUUGACCUAACGCCAACGAGGUAAAAAAAUUCAACAUCGCUCAUUUCACUGUCAUUACUUGUGAAUCUUCCGUUCUUUGUUUAUUUGUAUCAGAAAAUAUUUCGAUUCAAUAAUUUCAUUGUCGGAAAUGGGACAUGCUUAAAAUUUCAUAAAAUACAAUGAUUUUUUUUCCAAUUCUCUAAGCUUAUCUCGAUUUAUAGGGAGAAAGUCGAAACACAAUAAAAUCAAUAGACCCGCUAUCUAAUCACCUAUUAAGAAUAUUCUUUAAUAAAUCAUCAUUUGGUAUGAUUAAUGCAUGAUCACCAUUUAUGAAUUAAUUAUCAUAAUAUUAAUUAACACAGUACUUAACUUAAUUUUUUUUAUGAUUUUGUUGUGUAUUUAUGUGGUCCUAAAAUGGCUUGGGAUUUCAUUAUGAGAUUUGUUUGUCUAAUAAUUAUGAAUAUUUAAUAUAAUUUUUCAUCAUAUAACUUUCAAUAAUUCCCACUGAGCAUGUCAAUUAUACAUGAUUAACUUCUUCAAACUUCUAAUAUAUAUCUCAAAAUUUAAUAAAAAACUAAUUUAUAAAGCAUGGAAGGUGAAUACAAAAAUCUAUUAGAAAUUCAACCGUUUAUAUAAUAACAAUAUAUUCAAUAUAAUUCUGCAGGUGAGAUCUAAUAAACUUAGAAUGUAUGCAUAUUUUAUCUCCGCGACCUAUUUAUCUGCUCAAAUUCGAUAAUCACAUCACAUUAAAAAAUCAAAAUAAAUUAAUUCCAAAUGGGAUAAUUUGUCACAAUUAUUAAUCUUAAUUAAUUUAACUUUAGCUGCAAAUGCCAUGUUAAAUUUUGUUAAGAAAUCCAUUGACUAAUUAAUUUAAUUUUAGUAAUGAUCUAAAAGAUUAACUAUUCUUAGGGUCAUGUGUAAUCACAUGAAUUUCCAUGUUUUCUAAUUGAUUCCUUUAAUAUCUUUAAUUAAUUUGACUUAUCACAUGAUAUAAAUAUAUCAAAUAUUUUAAUGGGUUUUCAGUUAUUACAGUUAUGGAGUUAGUUGCAUUAAAAUCAUAUAAUUUUAUAGUACAAUCACACAACUGAAUAUAAGAAAUUUUUUAUUAACUUUUUUUUUUGUUAAUAGCACUUUUGGUCCUUCAAUUAUUAAUAAAUUCUAAUUUUGAUCCUUGUUAUAUUUGACUCAACACAUUUGAUAUUUAACUGAUUGAUAUGUGUCUUUGAUUCCUUUAAAUAUUCAUAAAUAUAUCAUAAAUAUUAGCCGUUCCACGAAUUAAUUAAUUAUCAGUGCGUUAUGUUAAGCUUGUAUUGUUACUCUAUAUUUAACGAUAAUAUAAUUCUUUCUUGCCUAAUAGGACUAAAACAUACAUUUCGAUUUAUUGAUGGUUAAAUGUACAAUGACCGCACUCAAAAAUCUAACUGAACACAUUUAACCUUCAAUAAUUGAAAUGUGCAAUUUUUUUCUAUCAUGUUGCUUGUUAAUAUUCACAAAUAAUUCAUCGUAAUUAUUAAUCGUUCCACCAUUUAAUUAUUCACGUGCUGUGUUAAAACUUUUACUCUUAUUAGUCCAUACUUCUUACAUACACUGGCUAAAAAAUACAUUUCAAUUAAUUAAAAGUUAUAACAUAUGCUUCGUCAGAUAUCUCAAAGAAUCGAAAUCAAAAUAUACUUAUAAUUUGAGGACACAAUUAUAUUAUCCCCACUUAUUUAUUUAUUUAUUUAUUGUGGGACAAAAUGUUCUUGGGAAAUUAAAUUGAAUCUAAACUUGAGAGUUUAUUUAGGUUCUUUGGAUUGAGUCAUAUUAUUGAUUAAUUAUUAAUUAAAAGGAUCUGUGAAAACUUUGUCCUUUGAACAUGAAAUCUAGAAAUGGCUUCACAACAAAGUUAAAAAAAUCUAACAUCUUAAUUCAAUGAACUAUUAAGAGAUUUAAGACAUUAUGAUGAGACCAAAAAUAUAAAAAGUACUUUUCCCAAGAAAGGAAAAAAAUGAUUGAAGAACAAGUUAUUAUAAUAUGGUCUUGUUUACUAGCAUUUAUGACAAAAUUGUAUUUAAUGGACUAUGUAAUUUGUGAGAAAAAAGGAAAAAAAUGAUUGAAAAUGCAUUAAGCAAAAGAUGUAAAAUUAUUACGAUAUAAUUGCCUAGCUUACAAGUGAUAUUGUCUAUUCUGGAUAGUUACGAAUAGUAUAAGAAUCAAUUUUAUGUCAGUUUUGUCGAUGUAGAGUUCAACUAAGUGAGAACUACUUUAAAAUUAUUUUUGUUAUUAUCCGGCUUAUAAAUAACAUUAUCUAUUUUAAAUCGUUAUGAAUGAUAUUAGAGGCAAUAAUUUGUUUUGAAUAAUGGCAAACGUGGUAUAUCUCAAACUUACGUUUUUGAUCGUCAAUUUCAAAUAAUGUACCAAGAUUUUAAUUACUCUUUUAUUAAAUAAUAAAUUCAUCCUAAUUAGCCUUUAUAGGUGUCAUCUGUCAACCAUGAAAAUUCAGUAUUUACACAGAUUAAAUAAAUACAUGACAUAUUUUUUCAUAAUACAUAUAUACAUAUCACUAAAUCAUAUGUUAAUAUUUAACAUGUGUGUCACUAUAAUAAAAAUAACUUUUAGCAGCAAUAAAUAUUAAUAUUAAUGUAGAGUGUUAUAGUCUUUACCAGCAUUAGUUAAAUGUCAUUAGAUUCAAUUUCGAUAAAUAUUUUAGGAAUAUAUACAAAGAGUACUAUUAAAUAAUUACCGCUAAAAAUACAUAUUUAACAUCAAUUAAGAAUUAAUUGCCGCUAAUUUUUUAAUAUAGUGUGUGUGUCUUAACAUUUAAUUAACUUAAAUUAUGAUAAAUUAGUAUGAUUUGAUAUAGACGUCAAAUACAUGUAAAUUUUAUCAUAAAUUACAAUUAAAAGACCGUUUAGUCGAAUAUUAUAAAUAACUUUUCUGAUAGCAAACAUUUUAUUCAGUAGUUUUUUUCGAUGCAAAUUCAAUUUAAUCAGAACGAUGACAUUAUAUAACGUACGGAUACUUAUUUAAAGAAAAACAAUAGCGAGAAAAAAACAAACAAGACAUUAAUCUAAUAUGUAUAGUAUUUAAACACAAGUUGCGCCUGAAGUCAUUAAGUCGAUAUUAUUUUCUAAGUAAUGUUCUUAUCUUUUCAUUAUUCAUCAAAACAACAUAAGAUGUACACACAAAGAAAACAUCAAAAUUGAGGACAACAUGAAGAUCUUAAGGGAAGUUGGUAAAAACAAGAAAAGAUUUUUGAGUAUUCCCUAGAUAAUUGCUUAACAUAAUUAUUGAUAGAGUUUAUAGACAUUAAUUUGACUUAAUAGAAAAACAAGUCUUCAUUCAUUCAAAUUCAAAUAUCAAUUGACCUCAUUAACUGAAUCUAAUUAUUGGAAAAACUGCCUCAAUUGAAUGUGCAAAGAAUGAUUCAUAACUAAUAUUAACUAAUUAAUUAUGUGCUCUUACACAUGCACUUCUUUUUGAAUUACUCAGGUCCGAUUAAAUCUGAAUUCACGCAUUAUAACAUGUUCAUUUCUAAGAGAUAAUACUUUUAAUAUGGUUUUUUUCUUUCGUGUCCAAAAUCUCAAAUCUAAAACCUCUGUGAGUAAAAAUACGUUAAAUCAUUCCGCCACAAUCCAGAUUAGUUAGACAUGCACUUAAUUAAUUCCAUGGUCAAUGCCAUUCAUAAGUGUAUCAAGUUUUAAUUUAUUGUUUUGAAUUAGUGAGGUUCAAUUGAAUCUGAAUUCACGCAUUAUAACAUAUUUAUUUCUGGAAGAUAAUACUCUCAACACAGUUUUUUUUUAUAUCCAAAAUCUCAAAUCUAAAACCUUUAUGAGUAAAAAUACGUUAAAUCAUUCCACCACAAUCCAGAUUAGUUAGACAUGAACUUAAUUAAUUCCAUGGUCAAUGCCAAUCAUAAGUGUAUCAAGUUUUAAUUUAUUGUCUUUUUUUCCCCUCUCUUUCUUGUGUCUUUUGACCAUGGCUUCUAUAAUUAGAACAUGACAAAUGAUUUAGGUACCAACUUGUGUUUGUUAAUUCUCAAAUCACAUGAUUAAUUAAUAUAAGAAUAGAUUAAGCUUAUUUAAUAUGUUAAAUCCAAUUUACUUAGUUUUUUUUUAAAAAAAAAUUAAUGUUGGGUAGGGCUACACCAUGGAAAAAAGGAAAUGAUUAUUGGUAGUUGUGCAUAAACAUAUGAAUAUAAAAAGUGGUAGAGAAUCUGAUGCAUGUUCUAAAGCUACUUAUAAGCAUGUAAUUAAACAAUAAAUAUAUAUUAAUCAGAUCAAAGGCGUAUUUAGAAUUUAAAGUUUAUAGGAUUUAGAUUUAAAAUUCUAUCGCGACUUAUCUGCUCCUAUAAUUUAGUGGUUUUGAAUUCAAUUAUUUGUAUUUAUUUAAUGUACUUUAACACGUAAAAAAAGCGAAUCAAAUUAAGUUAUUAAAUUCAUCGAAACAUGUAUAUAUCUCACCUUCUAAAUUCGCGCUUGUUUAGGUCUAGUUAUAAACAAAUCAAUUGUUUUAUUGGUUUGCUUUGUCUCAAGAAUCUUGAUCAAUUGCCUCAAAACAAACAUCGAUCGAUCUCAAUAAUUCAUAAAUUAAAUAUUCAGAGGUGAAUUCUGGAUAUAAAUUUUAUUCAGGAGGUAAUUAUAUUAUAGUAAGCUUAUGGCAUAUAUUAAUGUCUAGUUUGUCCAUGUGAACUUGUGUCAUGUCUCGUAAAUCUCUUUCUGCUUACAUUCCAAUAUGAAAUUUGCCUAAUUAAAUGUCUUUACCCCUAUUUUUUCCUAAUUUACUGAUUUUCGAUAAUCCUUGAUUUUAUACGAUCAAAUUUUUAUUAUUUAGUGACAUAAUAUACUCCACGCUAACUUAUUUUCUCCAUUUUUUUGUAAUAUUACGAGAUAUUAGAAAUGUAAUUGAACCUUCCUAUUUAUGACUUUUGUUAGUAAUUUUAAAAUUCAAUUAUUAGUAAUAUCUACUAUAGAGUUGACUUUUUUUUUCUAUUGAAUAAUUAAGGGGUCAAAGUGCUUUAAUUUUGACUCUACGUGGAAACAUCAUAAAACAAAAUUUUACUAAUUAAGUAGUAUUAAAAAUUGAUCAACGCGUUUGCUUCUUUAUAUCAAGCAAAAAUAAUAAAAUGUUGCCUAAAACAGAAAGUAGGAUUUAUAAGAUCUUUUACUAUUUUAUAUAUUUAUAAAAGUGGUUAAAUACAUUAAAUAAAUGAAAUUAUCUUUACAUUGAUUGAAUUAAAGAAGCAAUGUGAAUAGAAGAUUUAUGAACAUUCUAUGUGCUUUCUAAUUUUGAAAAGUUGCAAUAUUUAGGCAUAGGAAAAAUUCCAUUUCUAGGGGACGGUGGCACUUUGUUUUUACGGUGUUCGAGUUUUUUCACGUAUUUUGAUUAAUUUUUAUGUAUUAAUUUAAUAUUUAAGUUUUUAUUAUUUCGUUUUUGUUUGAUGAUUGAAAUUUGCUUUGAAGUUUGAUUUAUUUUGAUCCAUAUUAAAAAAUUCAGUUUUUGAAGGUAAUACAUUCAUAUCUAAGUCGACUAUAUAAUACUCACAACAUCUUGGGGCCUAUUAAUUUGCAUUAUCGCGCCAAGAAGUCCCACUUAAAGUGACUUCAUAAUCAUGUCAUUUUAGAGUCUGAUGAAUCUAGAUUUACAUCAAAAAAUUUAACUUUUAAAGAUAGCUCUUUAUCAAAAAUAAUUUCAUACUUAAUACAUAAAUUUAAAAUUUUUACUUAAAAUUAAAAAAAUAUUUAUCAUUAUAUCCAUUGUCAUCCAAGUUUUCUUCAAAAGAUAUGAUAAGUCAAAAAUAGGGAAAAUAUCCAAGUACCCCCUCAACCUAUGCCCGAAAUCCCAGAGACACACUUAUACUAUACUAAGGUCCUAUUACCCCUUGAACUUAUUUUAUAUGUAAUUUUCUACCCCUUUUUAGCCUACGUGGCACUAGUUCGAAAAAAAAGUCAACCAUCGUUGGGCCUACAAGAUAGUGCCACGUAAGCUAAAAAGAGAUCAAAAAUUAUUAAUAAAAUAAGUUCAGGGGGGUAAUAGGACCUUAGUAUAGUAUAAGUGUGUCUCUGAGAUUUCGGGCAUAGGUUGAGGGGAUACUUGGACAUUAUCCCUCAAAAAUAAGUAAAAGUUGUACAUAUAAUGCUUGUCAGAGGGUCGGAUUCACUAAGGGAAGGCUUUAACUUAUUUAAUUGCUUAUAUUAAAUUUUGAUUGAUUUAAAUUUAUAUAUUUAAAUUCGAUUAAAAGAAAGUGUUGUUUUAAGAAUAAAAUUCAUCCUUACGCUUUGAGCCUUAGACCUUUAAUUAAGGAAGAAUGAAAUCAAAUUUCGACAAUAAAAAUUUAUAUGAUAGAAAAAAUAUAAGAUCUUUUACUAAAAUUAUUUUCAGAUCAAUAAUUUUGUCAAGCCGUCUCAACAUUAAUAUUAUUUAGGAUAUAUAAAUUAGUUGUCAUGAUAAAUUAAGUUAUAACUGCGAUACUCUUCUUUCAUUUCAUUAAGAAAAUAUUAAGCAAGAAAUCAUCAAAAUUAUUUUAUAUCGUCAAUUUUAUCUUCUUUCAUUUCAUUAAGAAAAUAUUAAGCAAGAAAUCAUCAAAAUUAUUUUAUAUCGUCAAUUUUAUUGAGCCGUCCUGAAUAAAUAUAAUUUAGGAAAUAAAAAGUUGUCAUAAUAAUUUUAAAAAUGAUGAUGUUACUCUUCUUCCAAAGCCCUUGGAAUUAUCUAAACACAAUAAGAACAAACACUAACUUGUUAUUUUUUGCAUGAAAAGAAUAGAUUUCUUUGUUACCUAAGGUUCCAUGCACAUGCAACUCUUCUUUCCCCCACAACAUUUUUAUCUCUUUUAUUAUAUUUUAUUCAUAUAACCUAUGAUAAUGAUACGUAUUCGUUUACAUAUAUGCUUUGUCCCGUUUGAUUUUAUAUGACAUUCUUUUCAAAUUCAUGUUAGAAUGAAUGAUCUCUUUUUUUAACAUUAAUUAAUUUAUAUAUUCAUACGCCUGACGACUUAUUGAUAAUUAUAUUGUAUAUAUAAUUAAAAUGAUAUAUGAAAUGAUUAAAUAAUAUAUUUUAAAUAUUCUUAACUCAAUGAGUUAUUGUAGUUCAGUGAUUAUAUCUCUUUUGAAUCAGGUAGUACUCGUGUGAUUAAAUCUCACUAAUUCUAUUUUUUGAAGCAAAGCUUUUAUUGUGCUAUUUUUGGACAUACUUUAUGAAAUUUCUGACUCCGUCAAUAUUAACUACUGAAAACUUCUAACAUGUUUAGAACAACAAGUACUCGAAGAGUUUUAUUUUUUUAAUGCAUGAACUAGAAGUCUUUUUUUUUCUUGAUUAAACUUCGUGUUCAGUCAAAUCAAAAUAAAAGAGAAUAAAUAUUUAGUAUAGUUGAUUUUAGCAAGAACCAAGAAAUGAUUUUUUUCCUCAAUUUCUUCAUCAAAUUAAACUAAUAGUAGUGAAUGUUUGUCAUGCUACAAAAUACAAUGGUUCUAGGAUUGUGAAGAGGGUAGGCAAAUAGUUGGACUUUGGGGAUUAAUCAACAUGUGUGUAAAUCUCAAGGCUAAUUAAGUGUAGGUUAAUUAUUUGGAAUUUAAUUUAAUUUAAUUGCAACCUAAAUAUUAUAUGGUUUAUAUAUAUAUAUAUAUAUAUAUAUAUAUAUAUAUAUAUAUAUAUAUAUAUAUAUAUAUAUAUAUAUAUAUAUAUAUAUUUGGUUCCAAAUUCCAAAACAAAGAAAUAUGAGUCCUCCCAAGACACAACUAGCCGCUCUUCUUCCACCUACUCCAUGUGGAUGGUUUUGUCAACUUUUUCUCGUAGAAACGAAUUCAAAAUUUAAAUAAGAUAAAUAUUUAAAAAAAUUCGUAUAUAAAACGUAUACGUGUUUAUAGAUGAUUUUAAGAUUUAAAUGUGAUAAAUUCACCGUUAAGGUUUUUAGUGCAUUAAAAUAUGCAUAUAAGUUUACAUUAUUAUUUUUUUAUAUAAUAUGUUCAUAACUUCAUAUAUGUUUGAGAGAGUGUAAAUGAUCGAUCGAGGCACAUGUUAUUAGUCUUGAAAAAUACAAAAGUUAUUAUUCCAACUUCGAAUGAUAAUAUAAUUUUGGUUACUUUAAUUUUUAAUGCAAUUCUUAUCCAAGAUAUUUCUAUUUCUACCAUGUCACACGUGAGUUUAUGUCUCUUUACCUCAAAAUUAGUCGUUUAAUCUUGAGUCAUUAAAAUCUUUCUGAUUUAAUUCGAUUACAUUAUAUGCAAUCGAUAUGUUAUUAUAAGUCAUCAAAAUAUUUUCAAAACGACAUACUUUUUAAUUUGAUAUUCAUUAUAUUAUGUUAAGAAAUGGAGGGCGGAUUAAGUUAUGCUCCGUUUUAAAGCUCGUUUUAAUUUAAAUAACUUUUGAAUAGAUAAUCAAUAACCUACCUGCUCAUAUCUACUAAUUUAAUUUAUUUUGAUCUGUUUAAAUUCAACUCACUUUGUAUUAAGCAAUUGUAAUAUAAUACUUUAUCCCUUGAUAAUAUUGAUGUGUUAUUGUGACAUGCAUAGAGAUAAUACUUGUAGGUACAGUGGUUCACCAUGCAUUUGUCUUUGGACCAGUACCAAAUGGAAUAUAAGAUUCAAAUUUAUAAAAUUUAAAUUAUGAAUUCGCCUUCAAUAAUGAUAAGUUAGUUUGAUUGUAAGCUCCAUUAUCAAUCUUUCUUACCAACACGUGCUUUAUUUAGAUCGUAAAUUAGUCAUAGAACUUUAAUUUUUAAAGUAAAAUUAAAAUGAUUGAAUUAAGAUGAUUUAUUCAAACCUUUUUAUGAGAAAAUUAUAUUGUACAUAGAAAUUUCUAUAAACCAAUAAUGAAUAUUUGUUUCUGAAUGCCAAAUAAAUUACAUAUUUGUUGGAGUAAUAACGAAUAAUGCUAAAUGGCUAGAAAAUUUAGUUAGAAAUUUAUUAAAAAAAUUAAUUUAAAAUUAAUUUUUUUUAAUUUUAUAAUUAAAGUGUAUUAAAAUUACAAGAAUAUAAAUAUUUAAAAAAUAAAACAAAUACCAUUCUUAUCAAUCAAAUUCUAAUCAAAUUUUCUGGCGAAUUUUUUUUUUCUAUUUAACAAUAUAUUUUUUUGGAAGAGCUAUACUUAUUUCAUCGAAGAAAACAUUCUUUUUUUUUGUUCAUUUUUUUUUUGGGAAUACCAAUAAUUAGAAAUAAAAUCUUGGAAAUGCAAAACCUCACAUGUCUCUUGCAUUUUAUCUUGUUAUUUUAAUUUUUGUGUACGUUGGAUAUCUAAAGGACAAAUAAUAUUUAGAAAUAAAAUUUUGUGUUAUUUUUAUUAUUAUAUUUCCAAAUUCAUAUAGUUCUAGAAAUAUAUAUAUAUUACGAUUUCUUCUCCUUUAAGAAUUUUUCCUUAAAAAAAUUAUAUAUAUAUAUAUAUAUAUAUAUAUAUAUAUAUAUAUAUAUAUAUAUAUAUAUAUACCAAUAGUACAAAAAAACUGAGCGUAAUUUAAUACGUGAGUAAGUUAAUUUAUUAUUUUAUCAGAUUAUCAUUGAUAUUUAUUAUAAAAUGACUUAAUUAUAUAAUUAUAAUAUUUUUAAACCUUCAAAGCAUAAAACUUAAAAUUCUAGAAUGAUUAUUAUAAUAUUGACUUUUCUCUUCUUCCUUUUUCCAUCCAAUUAUAUUUUCUCUUUUUUUGCCUUUUUGUAUAUUAAAUUUGGUUAAAUUAAUUUUUUUUUCUUUUUCCCUUUUUGUAUAUUAAAUUUGGUUUAAUUAUCCACCGCCCAUUUAAAAAGCUAAAAUAAUUAACGAACUUCCUCGUGAUUUCAUAAAGUUAUGGAAUAUUUCUUUUACUUAUUUUUUUCGUAGAGAUCAAGUACGUUUAAGUAUUAAAAUUAUUACAACUUGAAUUAAUUUUAAUUAAUCCAAAGAUAAAGUUUGUUGAAUAAAUCAAUAUUAAAUUCUAUAAUCUCAAAAGCUAAGCAGAAAGUUACGCCGACUAAAACAUAUUUUAUUCUAUUUUCUUAUGUUUUUUUUUUUUAAAAAACAACAACUAAAUAUAAUAUAAUCAUUUAUUCCCACAGGCUUUUCACUGUACUUUGUGGGUGCGCUUGGUAGGAAGAAAAUAUUUUUCGCGAAAAAUAUUUUUUUAAGGAAAAUAAGUGAGAUUGUGUCUAAUACGUAAAUAAAAUAUUAUCUUAAGAUAUUUAUAUGUUAUUUAGAUAUAGAAAAUGUAUUAAAAAGUCGAAAAAUAAAGAUAAAAGUGUAUUGAAGGAUUCAAAGGUUAUAUUUACUAUAAAAUGUAAUUUAUGAAACUUGUUUUUCUUAUAUUUAUUAUGAAAAUUUGGUUUUUACAAUUUUUUGAUUAGUCGAGCGCUUUUGUUUAUCUCUUUUAUUAUUUUCGUUUCAGUUCAUGUGAUACAUUUUUUCUCAUUAAUUAUGUUCUAAAAAGAAUGACACGAUAUUUUUAUCUAAAUCAAUAAAUAGUUAAUUUUAUAUAUUUUUAAUGAGAAAAAUUUACUAUCACACAAAUAUUAUGAUGCAUUUAAUUUAACAUGUAUUAAAGUAUUAAUUAUCAAAAAAAAUAAAAUAUUAAACUGAUUAAAGUUAAAUCACAUAAAUUAAAACAGGAAAAGUAUCUGAAUAAUGGUUGCAUAUGUCUAUCAUUAUUUUUAUAAAUUAAAGAGAAAGAAUAUACUCCAUAUAAUCACACACUUACAUGCUCACAAGACCAAUUAAUUAAUCUCAUAUAUUAUAUAUAAUCACAUGAAUAGUAAUGAUUUAUUUGCCUAAUCAUUAUGAUACUUUUGAUUAACAUAAAGUGAUUAAGAACCAUAUUUUCAAUCCUUAAUUAAUUAUCAUAUGAUUUAAUUAUAUCAGAAAUAAUUAGUCCUGAUACAUGAGUAUAACAAUCUUUCUAAUAAUUUUAUGCACAUCUUCCAAAGUUUGGAAAAAAAAAACACAUAUAGACUAUAUUAAUUAAUUGAGAUUAUAUAUUUUAGUCAUGUAGUAUUACUUUAAACCAUAUUUGUUAGGAAUUAAUCUUUAAUUUAAUUAGAUAUAUAUAAUUUAUUAAUUAGUAUAAAUAUAAAGAUUUUCUAGUGUUCAAGAAACUAAGAUUUUACAAUAUCGAUCUUAAAUAAAGUAGCGACCAUGUUCAACUUGCUUAGAACAAAGAGCAAUCAGUUAAACACAGCCUAUCAAAAACUAAAUAAACAUAUGAUGCAUAUUGAUCAAAUUAAGACUUAUUAUGCAUAUAUAAUAUCUGAAAUAUCACUUUUAAAUAUCUUUUACGAAAUUUUUAAUUCUGAUAUAAUUUUUAGAUACGAUGUUAUUGUUAUUGUAGUAUUAGUUGAAACCAAAUAUUUUUUUUUUUGGGAUGUAUAGACAUUUGAUCAACCUAGAGUAACUCAAGCUUUGAUAUGUGCGUUGUCCUAAGAUGAUAUGAUGAGAUUUCACUACAAUCAACUUUGCCAAUAUUCUUCAAAAAACUAAAAAUAUUGAGAUUUUCGAUGGAAAAUUCUUAGAGAACAUUUUCUUUUACGAGUGUUUUUCAAACUGAUAAGUGACGAUUUUGAAAAACUUGUGCUCUUAGGGCAUGUAGACAACUCAAUAUGUUUGUUUUUUUUUUACUAUAAGAAACUUCCUAUAAAAUUUUAGUUGAAAAUUAGAAGAUAUUGGGAAAUAGCUACACCUCAUGUUUUUUGUUGGUUUUGUUUGUUUUUUUGAAGGGUGUGAUUAUGGGUUUUCAUGCUCAAUGGUACUUUUAGGUGGAAAAGAAUGGAAGUGAGAUAAUAACAAUUAAAAAAAAAAAAUUGGAAUGUAGUGUAAAAUUUUAUUUUAUUUUUAGAAAAUAUAUAUUUUAUUUCUUGGAAGAAAAUAAAUAUAAGGAUAAGGAGGAGAAGACAUAUUUACACACACUCUCUUUAUCUCUCUCUCUCUCCUCACAUGAAUAAAACUAUAUAAUAAGUAUCAAAAAAUAAAUCGAUGACUUUUAUUUUAUUCGAUCGAAUUUAAAAUAAAAGUCGAAUUAAUUAAUUUUAAUUUUAAUCAAAAAGUAUGAACCUCUAAUAUAUGAUAUCAAAAUUCAUAAGCAAUUAAUCACUAUAUCCAAUUCAAUUUAAUUUUAACUUUUCUCUCCGUCCAAAUAACAAACAAAUGAAGCAAAUAAUUUAAUUGCUUCCCUUUUUUUCUUUUUAUUUUUUUGGUCCAUUUUUAAAAUAAGAAAACUCAAGCAUUUGUAUCAAGUCAACACAUUAAUUAAGCCGUGUGAUGCUUUUUACUAAAAAUAGGGCAAAUUGAUUUUUCCAAAAAUCUUAAUUAUUUUGCUAUUCCAAAAUCAAUUUAUGUGUAAUUUAACCAAAAAAACAUUAUGUGGGGGUGGGAGGAUAAAUAGCUGCGGAGUGAAAAGAAUAAUAAACUUGAAAUAUUAGUUAUAAAAUUAGCGAAGACAAUUUCCUCGUUUUUAAGGAAGAAAUGUAUGUUUCAAAAGGGGUCAUAAAAUGAACUCGGAAGGGAAGCUACAAGAGCAGGAGGAACACUUUGAUUAAUCGUAGUCAAGUCGAGUGAUCAAUGAUAUAGAUUGGGUACAAUUACUGAUACUCGUUGGUGGAAAGAGACAAUAUCUCAUAAACAAAAUGUGUGCAAGAAGAUCCAGACAUCAAAAUUAUUAAAAAAACAAAUUAAUUUACCAAACAUGAAAAAAUUGAAAUUUGAUAGAUUGGAUACCAUUACUGAUACUCGUUGGUGGAAAGAGACAAUAUCUCAUGAACAAAAUGUGUGCAAGAAGAUCCGAACAUCAAAACUAUAAAAAAAGAUAUUAAUUUACCGAACAUGAAAAAAUUGAAAUUUGAGUCGGAGUCUUUUGACUAUCAUAUUUACCCUCAACUUGAUAUAUCUUAGCUGGAGCAAAUAUGUAACAAAGUGCAAUUCAAAUACAUGAAAGCUCAAAUUUGUAGGUUGACUCCAAAUAUGUGACAAAUUUAUGACUUAUUUUGGUUGCAAAAAAUAAUAAAUUAUAUUUAAUGUACAAGUUAGUUUGAGUUCACACAGGCCAUACUAUAUAGUAGCAUAGCAUGCAUAGCUUGGACAUAGAUGAAAUACUUUAUAGAAGUCUUUACAUUGAAUGUGGGGUCUCUCAUUAAUAAUAUACUCCCUCCGUCUCAAAAUACCUGUCAUAAUAAAAAUUCAAGAAAAAAAUAAUCAAUUUUCUCUCAUUUUACCAUUAGCGUCAAUUGUUCUUAAAGACUAUAAAUACCUCGACUACGACAUGUAAAUAGAGUAUAACAUUCAGAUAUAAAUAAGGAUGCAACAACAACAAUAUAUCCAGUAAAAUCACACUAAGCAGGAUUUGAGGAGGAUAGAACGUAACGCAGACCUUACUACUUCCUCAAUGAGGUAGAGAGGUUAUUUAUAAUUAACCCUCGGCUCAAGUAUAAAAGGACGAAAAUAAGAUUAAAAUAAUCAAAUACCCUUCUUAAUUAAUAUUUUCUUAAGCAUGUAAAUGAAAAAUACGACAAGUAGUUUGAAACGGAGGAAGUAUACAGAUUUAGUAGUCAAAUACCUAUUCUGAUUAAUAUUUUCUUAAAGGUCGUGUAAAUGAUGAACACGAUAAGUAUUUUGAGACAGAUGGAAGUAUAUAGGUUCAAAGGGAGUUAAAACAAUUUUAUAUAGUAUAGCUUAUAGGUAGAUACAUUAAUUAAAAGAAUAUAUGUUCAUAUCAAAACAAAGUAAGGGAGAAGACCACAAACUUAAUCAUAUGAAAAGGACAAUAAACACAUCAUUUUCAAAUCCUAAUUACAUCCCCCACACCCCUACCCAACCCCCACCCCUCUCAUGGCCAACUUCCCCCUUAUUUAAACCUCUCUAUUCCUCUAAACCCUCUCCACACAAUUCAUUGUCAACUUGAAAACUCAUAAUAUUUCUCUUUUCUCCUCCUUGAUCUUCAACAACAACAAAACAAAAAAAAAAAUUGCAAGAAAAACAAAAGUUGAGUUCAUUGCAUAUUUCUAGAACUUAUCUUGAUGAAUCAAUAUUGUAAUAGUCCUUGUUCACCACUAAUGGUUCAUGAACUUGAACAAGAAGACUUGUUUGCUGGUAGAUGUAUACUAGUAAAUGGUCCUGUUAUUAUUGGUGCUGGUCCUUCAGGACUAGCAGUUGGCGCGGGCCUUAAACAACAAGGGGUUCCCUUUGUGAUCUUAGACCGCGCCAACUGCAUUGCAUCCUUAUGGCAAAACAGGACGUAUGAUCGCCUUAAACUUCACCUCCCGCGACAAUUCUGUGAAUUGCGUUACUUCCCAUUUCCACAAAACUUCCCUGAGUAUCCUACCAAGUAUCAAUUCAUUAGCUACCUUGAAUCUUAUGCCAAGAACUUCGAGAUCAGCCCACGAUUCAAUGAGUCGGUCCACUCUGCUAAGUAUGAUGAAACAUGUGGUUUAUGGAGGGUGAAGACAGUGUGUAGAAAUGGUUCAGUCAUUGAAUAUAUAUGUAGGUGGCUUGUGGUGGCUACAGGAGAGAAUGCAGAAAGAGUAGUGCCCGAAUUCGAAGGAUUAGAAGAUUUUGGUGGACAUAUUAUGCAUGCUUGUGACUAUAAAACAGGGGAAGUUUAUGAAGGGAAGAAUGUGUUAGUUGUUGGAUGUGGUAAUUCAGGCAUGGAAGUUUCACUUGAUCUUUGUCACCAUAAUGCAAGUCCAUUCAUGGUCGUUCGAAGCUCGGUAAGUCUCAUUCAUCUAAUCCAAAAUCUUUCAUGACUUACAUCUGCUAAAGAAGAAAAAAAAAAACACUCAAUUUCCUUCAUAAAUCUGCACACGACAUAUCGAAUUCCUCAUGACACAUACAUAAGAGGUCACUCCUUUAAUAAUCUACAUGAUUUACGUUUUCUAAGAGAAAAAAACACUCAAUUAACUUGAGCGCGUUUUGUCUAUGUCCUUCAUUUGCCAGAAAAUCUGCACUUGACAUCUCUAAUUCCUCAUCACAAGUCUAUAUAUAUAAUCAUCAUAUGAUAUGUAAUGAAAUAAUCAAUCUAGAAAAUCUGCACCUGACAUCGCUAAUUCCUCAUCACAAAUAUAUAAUCAUAUGAUAUCUAAUGAAAUAAUCAAUCUUUUCAUGAAACAGGUUCAUGUUUUACCAAGGGAAAUACUCGGAAAAUCAACGUUUGAGUUAGGAGUAUCAAUGAUGAAAUGGCUAUCAAUUGAUGUAGUUGACAAGAUAUUACUAGUUGCAGCAAGGUUACUUCUUGGAAACAUAGAAAAGUAUGGUUUAAAAAGGCCAUCCAUUGGACCUUUACAACUCAAGAAUACAGAAGGAAAAACUCCAGUUCUAGACAUAGGUGCAUUACAAAAGAUUAAAACAGGAGACAUAAAGAUAGUUCCAGCAAUCAAAAAAUUUUCUCAAGGAAAAGUAGAAUUUGUCAAUGGAGAAAUACAAGAAAUUGAUUGUAUCAUUUUGGCAACAGGAUAUUGCAGCAAUGUUCCUUCUUGGUUAAAGGUAAGAAAAAAAAAUAUUUUUUUUAUUUUUAUUUUGGUUGUGUAUUUAUUUUUUAAUUUAUGGAUUGUUGUGACAGUUAUGGAAGUUGGUUUUUUUCUUUGUAGAUUCUCUGUUCCUAUUUCUUGUAGCAUUGUUAUGUAUGAUCAGGUGGAUGAUACACGUAUUCUUUUAUACUAUGGUAAUUAAUAUUUUCAGAAACAAGAUUGAGCUUUCCAAGAAAAUAGUUGAAUGGAUUAGAUCAGAGAUCUGAGCAGCAAAUAAAAUUCUGUUUUUUGUCCUUUUUUCUAUGUUCAAGAAUAUUUUCAUUGAAUUUUGGUAUAAUGAGUUUGUAUUCAUUUUUAAAAUGCAGGAAAGUGAAUUCUUUUCAAGGGAGGGAUUUCCAAGAAGUCCAUUUCCAAAUGGAUGGAAAGGAAAAGCUGGUUUAUAUGCAGUUGGAUUUACAAAGAGAGGACUUUCUGGUGCAUCUUUGGAUGCAAUUAAAGUAUCACAAGAUAUUGGAAAAAUUUGGAAAGAAGAAAUUAAACAGAAAAAUCAAUCUGUUGCUGUUGCAUGUCAUAGAAGAAACAAGUUAUCUUCCUUCUAGUAAACGACAACAACAUACUCAGCAUAGUCCUACAAGUAGAAUCUGGAGAGGGUAGUGUGUACGCACAUCUUACCUCUAUCUAUUGUUUCUAAUAGACCCUCCAAGUUACCCUUCUAAUAUAAUUUUUUUAUAUUUUUUUUUUAACUUUUUACCUUUUCUUCCUGUAAUUUUUACUUGCAAAGUAACCAAAAAAAAAAAAAAGUAAAGACCAUUUUGUGACAAGAGACAAACACAGAAAGCAGCCCUGUCCAGAGAAAUACCCAAAUUCUUCUUUGGGCAUUUUAGUAGGAAGAAGAGGCUUUUUUUAGCAUCUACUUCUAAGGAGAAAUUUGUACAAAAGGUUUAUUAAUAUAUGUACUAAUAGAAAAAAUGUGACUAUAUAUAUAUAUAUAUAUCCUUUUCUUGGUAAGUAAUUUAACCAGUAUCUUUUAAAUAGUAAGGGAGGUUAUACAGUAGUCCCUAGCCAAUAUAUAUAUAUAUAUAUAUAUAUAUAGAUUAUACACAAUUCCACACAUAUAUUAUGUAAAUCAUGAGCUAAGUUGUAGAGACUCUUCAAAAAGAUCGAUGGAUAUGUAUCGUUGGGGGAAUCUAACAUAGAUGUGACAACAUUUUUGGAGUCCGAGCAACAUAAAUAAUGAGGGCUUCAAGGCCUGUGAAGGGAAAUUAACCUUCUGAUAUUGUAAAAGUUGGUUAAAGAAUGGUCAAGGGUAAUAGGAAGGUUCUCUCACUCAAUAAAUUUUGGUCCACCUAAGUCAUUUAUUCUACUGAUGGGAUCUAUCUCUAGAACAUGGUCCACCUAGGGGCCCCAUUAAAUAUGGUGGACCAAAAUAUCCAUAAUUCCACAACAUCCAUUCUUUAAAUUUAAAGAUGACAUAGACUUUUCACUAGUUUAGUUCAAGAAAAUACCUAUGCAUAACUCUUAGAGCACCUCCAUGUUGCCAAGCACAUGGAUAGAGCCCACAGAGAAGAGAGAAACAUAGGGGGUAAAAAGAUCCCCUUGCCUUCAAGUCAAACUUGGAAGGUAUUCUGUCUAUAUUGCUAGGACUCUUUAAAAAUGUCACUAUGUGCAUGUCGGAUCUAUCCUCCGAAAGUAGCACAUUUUUUAACCAGUCUUAGCAACAUACAAUUCAAUGGUAAAAGCACAACAUGUUAUGAGUGUUUUACACUUUGUUGUGGACAAUAACCUGGUAUAUAGAAAAGGUAAAGGAACAAACUCACUAUUCAUUGAGUUUCGAACCAUGCACCAGCUAACUAGCCCUCAGAAAUUUCUCGAUUAUAAGAACGAAAAAGUCAAACUUGGAGAAUAGUUUGAUACUAUUUGAUCUUUCUAAAUCUUUCACAUGUAUAAUAUAAUAUACUUUUAAGAGGUUUCUCAAAUUGGAUAGAAUUUAGAACACCAUACCUCAGACCAAUGCCAUAUGAGUCUAGCUAGCUCAGUCAUUGUCACCUAGUAAAGUGAGAAGAUUAUCUUGAACUUUAUAGGGGUACAACUUCAUGGAUUGGAUAGUUCAAAGAGUCAUCCUGAAGUUAUCAUAUUCCCCUCUUCACAAGUCAAAAUAUUUAUAACAUUGACUCACAAUAUCUCAUUAUAACAGAUUGCCUUACCAAAAAUAGAAAAAUAUGAAAAAUAGAAACAAUGAAUAAUUUUAUCCAUCUAGCCUAGCCACACCUAUCAGCAAAUCCUAUAUGAAUCAUUGCCAUGUUAGCAUCCUAAAUUUUUUUCUCCUGUAUCAAUCUUCUUUAUUUGGUUCCUGUACAAUGUCCAUAAACUGAAAUGUCCUAAGAGCAUCACAUUGUAACAAUAGAUGCCUCGUUCAUCAUUCGAAUUUUUAAUUCUCUCUAUCUUUUCUAAUAAGAAUCUAAAAGAGAUAGGAUGAGGGAGACAGAAUAUACAUUUGAUAGUCAGUUCGAUGAAUAAAAAUCUCGAGAAAACUAUUCAAUUGAAUCAUUGGGGAAGGGGGAAGAAGAAGGUUGAUUAUAGGUUCAGAGGAGUGGUCCAUGGUUGUCUCCUUGGUAACAAAUAUUAUUUCCUGUUAUGUAACAAUCUUAUAAUAUAAAAAAAUGGGAAUUGAACUUCUUUUCAAUGAGAUCCAACAUGACUUAAAUUUCCCAUUGCACAAUGAACAAAGAACAUAAAAAAAAUUCCACUGACAGAAAAGAUUUAAACAAAAAGAAGAAAAUCCAAAGAAGUAGUACAUAUAUAGACAACCCAUAUGAGUUCCCAUGCUGUUGAAUCAACCAUGCAGCAAACCUUUAUCUACUGUCCCAUCUAGAAUUGCUUCACCACCACAUAAAAAAAAUUCUUGUAAAAACAAAUAUAGAUAUAUUAUAUACAAAAAAAGACAGUUUCAAACCUUAAAUUAAUGAAUGUAAAACACACACAGCUCAUGUUCCUCAACUUGAUCCAUGCAAAGUGUUUGAAUUUAACACUUCUCUACCAGGAACCUACAGUUUCUAUUAUGUCUUUUUGCAGUGUAACUUGUAUUUUUUUCCACACCUUGCAACCAGGGGCAGAGCUACAGUUCUGCCUACGGAUUCGACAUUAUUGAGAAAUACAAGUAAAAGCUUUUAGAUGAGAUGAUCAAACACUUCAACAGACACAACUCAAUAGCUGUAUUUGUGUUUUAAAAUUUAUUUACUACGAUUAGAUAAGAGUGUAAUCCCACCUGCAAGGUCUGCGGAGGGUUUAGUGUUUGAACACCUUACCUCAUCUCGUGGAGGUUAAAAUUUAUUUAAUAUGUAUAAAUAAUAUAUCCAUAAAUCAGUAAGCUACAUUUUCUAGAAUUCAGAACUCGUAAACUCAAAAUUCUUGUUCCGCCUCAGCUUGCAAACCUAUUAUUAGAUAUCACUUUUACCGAGAGAGAAAUACACAUGGCCUGGGUCACUAACUAUAUCCUCAAAGUUCCAUGAGAAAGCCCAUUCCUUCAUGCCCUGAUAAGCAGUCAAUUUGCAAGUGUUAACUUGAGUUGGAUGGUGGACACUACAUCUUUGUAUCUUACUGUUGCAUGUCCUACUAGAAGAGUGUGUAUCCUGUGAUUGGUGAAGUUAAAAUAUAUGAAGCUUAUAUAGGUGUCCCAUAUAAAACAUGAGAUAAUAGUGGUGGAGCACCCUUGUCCAAGGGGUGUCAAUUUGUUGAAAAAUCACAUUGUAUAGAUAGAUAAGAAAAUUCAUAUAUACUAUAUGUUGAAUCUCCUUUACUUCUUCGUGUAUUUUUACCGACUUCCCUUGGUGAAAUCACAGUCCACCAAUCAUCUUUCAUAAUCAUUGACUAAUACUUUUAACCAUUUCCAAAAGAAAUUUGAAAAAUGAAUUUACAUAUCAUAGUACUUUGAACAUGGAUUGAAACGAUGUUUCGAAAAAUAUAAAUCAUCUUUCAGACUUCACACUGGAGAUAGGUUGAAAUGACUCUUGAUAAACUACAUAUCACAUUCAGUUUGAACCAGAAGACAAACAGAACAAUAUCUUAAGCAAAGCUAAAUCAAAUGUGAUAUCAUGGAUUUACUAUCAAAAGCACAAGCAUUUGAAACUAAAUCACAUACAUGAAGAGUUGUUUUUACCAAUGGUCAACAUAGUUAAUUAUUAUAAAAGGAAUUACAAUUCUAUCAAAAAGAGUUAAUUCUGAUGUGUGUUUAAUUAGACACUAUACACGUACAUGAAGAGUUGCAAUCACCAACAUUUUUUUGAUAACCAUGGUGUACGGGUUAGCUCGCACGCACCUCGACUACUCUAUGGGAUACUUGCUACCUUCCACCAGCAUAGGUACCGGAUAACUUUGUUCACCAAAGCUUGAGUUGCAAAUGCCAAAGUUCUACCAUCAAAUUAUUCACUUUUUGGAAAGCAUUUGAUCAAUUUCUCCACUCUCGUUGUACAUGCUAACAAUUUUCUUUGCAUAUUCAGGCAUAUGUCUGUCCGCUCUGCAAUUACACAAAAAACACGUGUGAGAAAAAAUUAAUGUAAUCCAUCAUAAUGGAACAAAUAUGAAUUUCUACAGACCUUUCUUUUCCCCAUUUGCGGACUACGUUUAAGUAAUUUCUGAUUGUGUGAUAAUCUAGCGAGUAACGUGCAAAUUCUAGACCCUUCGGUCCGACCUGAACCAAGACAAACAAGUUUAAGCACAGGGAAUUUGUUGUCCUUUCUGAAAGUAACAAGUCAGUGAACAAAAAGUUCUUACUAUGUUGAGAAGAAAUGCUAUUAAAUUUCCAACAAACUUUGGAGCAGGUUGAGAAGGACCUCUUCCUGGAAAUUCAGAAAGUUUCUGCAUAAGUCUUGUGAGAUUACUGAGAAGUUGUUCAACAAAAAUAUUUACUUCAAGAACAUGUCAGAAAAGGAUUUACUUCUCGGGGUUCUGCCUUCAGCAUACUGUAAUCAACGGGGAGUAUCAUAACAAAUGAAGUAAUUGAAGCAACUUAAAUAGCUAAAUUCACUUGACUUACAAGGAUUAAAACAAAUUAAGGUUAAUCUUAAAUAAACAGUCGAUGAGAUGUGUAACAUUUCAUACUUUUUAACAGCAUUCAAAGCGAAAAGGGAUAGGGAAAAAGGUCAGAUGUUUGAUACUUGCACAUGGACCCAACAAAGAACAGUACAAAACCCGAGAGCAGAUAUCUAAUUCUGAACCAGCAGCAGUAUGUGUACAGAGAGAGCCAGCUUAGUAACAACUUAUGAAAUGAAUAAAUAUCACAAAAUACCACAUACCAAAUUUUGCUUCAUCAUCUGCCUUCACGGUUUCCACGACAAAUGGACGCCGCUUACCCUGAAAAAAGAUGCAUGCUUUGAAAUAAGUAUAUCACAAGAAAGAGUUAAAAGAAAAAGUUGUGAGAUGAAGCAUCAUGUAUUACACUACUUAUCGUCGGAGUAAUUUCCAAGAGGUUCUCGAUAAGGUUUAGCAUUUCUCUACCACGUUCAUUUCUGCAUUUGGAAUGUGCAAAAGUAUAUCUUAAACAAGAUUAUUUAAGGGUAGAGCUAUCAGCAUGUCCUUUUAAUCUGUCAACGGCUUAUAAGAUUUGGCAACACUUUACCUGACAGUAACAUACUGGGGAUGCUGCAUCAUGCUGAUUCCACUGUAUUUCGGCACACCCAUGUAUCCCACCACCAAAUCCUGACAAGUUCCUUGAAGGUAAGAUUUGAAAUGUUGGCAUAUGCACCGGGAUUAUCAAGCUUUGCUUUUAUUUAAACGAAAUAAUCUGUCACGUUAAUGUUUGGAAACUACUGUAAUAGAGAAAGACAUCGACUAAUAAAUCUUCCAAGGAGCAAAAAUACUUAAUUUUCAUGGAUAAUAAGAUAUGCAGCAUCGAAUCUUCAAUGAUACGAUUCUAGAAACCUUAAAGAGUAAACUUAUGACGGAACCAUAAUGCAUUACCAUCCAAGACCAAAAUGAGUUUGCUAAAAGAUCCCCCUUGGACCUCAACCACUGAAUCUUAUCUCCAGAUCUGUCACAAGCUUUCACUUGAAAACAGUUGGAGCAAAUGAGUGGCCAGGUCUAGCUCUAGAACCUAUAAAUUCCUCAAUGAUCGAGGCUGCCUUUGCAAAACCUCUUUCCCUGUCAGAAAACUACGCACUAGAAAAAGAUCUGUUUGUGAGACAUAAAGAGAGAAGAGAUCUAUUCAAGAUUAACGAUUUGAUGACUAUAAUACAGACCUAUUUAUAAGUUCCAAACAUAGUAGACAAAUAGACAUUUGCAAAUGCAGGAAAUUACACCAGUAAAAUUUAAUAUUCCACCAGUAACACAUCACCUUUCAGAAUCUAAGACUAAUCAAAGUAGCAUUUAAGAGUAUGCUUUCCUUUGCUAUUUGAAAGUCUAACACAUGUGUAUGUACUGUGCACAUGCUUCUCUUGGAUGUUUAUUUUGUCUGUUUCUUUGUGAAAAUUGUAUUGUGCAAUAUAUCAGGGCCUUUAAUUAUGAACAAAGAACUCACCGCCAAGCCAUUUGUGUAGUCAAAACAGCUGUAAUAGAAGGAAAUAACAGUUUACAGAUCAGCACAAGUUCAUAUUCUGAAGAAUGAGAGACAGGAAUGAAAUAUAUGAUAAAUGCGAAUGUAGGAAACGUGAAGCUUGUAUAGAAUGUUCAUUUAGACUUCUCCAACUGCAUAGCAUCUUUACAUUUGUAGACAAGCUGAAAUCCAUGUUGACAUUGUCUAAAAGAAUGUGUUAUUAGUUUGAUUGAUUUCUUUGUUGCCUAAACUGACACGGCAGGGAAUGCUACCAUAUGCAAUAAACCCAACGACAAGUAUAGUUUUACAUGGCUUAUCCAACUUGAUUUAACCCAAUUGUCCAUAUCAGAGCGACAACUUACAAGUGAGAACCAGAGAUCACAUAGAACGUAAUAAGCCCAUGACACUACCUUCGUGCACAUACUAACAUACUUAUGUAUACUUCUCCCUAGUUUAUGCUCCACAAGUGAAGGAAUUUCUCAAUACGAAUGUAACUGAAAAAUAAAUAUAUUAACUAUUAGGAAGAAAGACGGUUCCUGAAGAUUUUGUUUGUCAUCAAAUUUGUUAAUCUACAUAAUCUUUGUCUGCACACCAAAUUUUCUUCCACAGAUUUUCACCCUUACUCCAUGAACAAAGUAUCUAGAAUAGUUUGACCAAGAACGGAUAUUACGAGCAUUAUUGAGAUCAUUGUUUCUUUUGAUUCAUAAGUGGGUCCAAAAAUGAGAUGGGAAGUUACAUUUCUAUGAACUUCAUAAGAAAAAUAGUUGGCAUGCAAUAAUUUUUCGAGUAAUUAACACAUUUUUUUAAAAAAGAAUAUCCAGUAGAUCGUCUAAGUAGCUCACUUAGAGAAUGUCGCCUACGACGGUUUGACUACAUCCCACAUAAACUUCCAUAUCCAUAUAGGUGAUACCAACUAGAUAGGAUGCAGUCAUUGAAGCAUAGUUGUUGCUACGCUUGCAUAAGUGCUUGUCAAGGGUCUUUUUAUUCUUGUUGAAAACUAGUAUAUCCACGUAGGGAUAAGGGUGAUAUUUCACAUCUUUAGUUUGCUACGGUUCCCUGCGGUCCAAACCCGGUGCCGCUUUAGGUUAGGGAGCUGGACGAUACCUUAUAACACGAAUUAUUAGAUAUUGGAAAAAAAUUGACCUAACAGAGCACAAUGGAUGCUGAGGAUACAUAAAGCCACCCAAACUAAUGUAGGAUUAAUUUAUAGUUGAUUGACUAAUUGGAUCAACUCAUAGAGGGAAAGAAAGAAUCAUUUCCAUGAGCACAAAGAGAUGGAACAAAAAAAUUAUAUUCAGACUUGUCCACCACCGACCUCUGACCCAAAAAGUCUACAGGUUAAGUAUGCAGAUAUUGUUUAAAGGCUUCAGUAAAUCAAUAAUAAGCAAUUGAAAUACCUGUAACAAGAUGGUGCAAUAACAUCAACCAAGUCAUUUGCUGGUAAACAGAAAUAGGGAACCUGCUUAGUGAAAUAUAGAUCUGAAUAAACAGCAUUCAAAUAAAACAAAAGAUACGAAAAAGAAGAUGCUAUUUUACCUCUUCAAUAUGGCCAUCCAAAUGCUUCAGAUGGACCUGUUGAAAUGUAGAGCUUAGACAGAUGCUUCAACUGAUUAGAAAACUAUCACAUGCAAUUCAAUAGUAUAUCCUUUAAAUCAUAGUAAAAGAAGAAAGCUAUAAUAUGGUUUACAGGAUUAACUGUCAAAUGUUUUCAUCUAUAAGGUGAUGAAGCACAUGUGAGCUUAAUUUAGUCUUUCUCAUUUGCAAGAUCCUACUUAUUGGUAAAUUUCUGAUCCAACAAAGGAUAGUAACCCUCCAUCAAAUUCAACACGACACCAGCGGACGAGGCAUGGUACUUGAGAUAUUAAUUUGAUUUGUGUAUUUUAUAGGUAGUAGUUGAGGAAAAUUUUAAAAUAUUUUUGUAAACGAAAUUAGGUUGACAUAGAAAUGCCAAAUCAAACCUUAAUAAUUUGACUAUUCAAACAUAUUAAAAUUUGAGAAACUGAUGAAGUUGUAUAAAGUUAUAUUGUUAGUAAGAUGGUGUCAAAGAUUUUUGUACGCCCAAAAUAAAGAUGUGUCAUAUAAAAUUUAUCAGGAUGGAGACAAUAUGAUAUAUUGAAGUGCAUCUUCAUGAGUGAACUUACCUCACCAACCAAAUGAAAACAUAUUCUAGAAAAGCACCCUAGUUAUCAGACUAAGAAAGGCUGUUUACUGAUGUUUUAGAAUACAACAGAAGCAGAAAACAUAUCGUCAUGACAAACACAGAAUGUAGAAGUUGGUUUCCUUGUUCUUAUACUUGAAUGGAUAGAAUUCCAAGAUCACAGAGGUUAUGCAUAAGUUGUCUCACAAUGAAGCUCAGCUUGUCAUAAAAGAGUAACAGGAGCUUACUUUUUUUUCUUUAUGGAAGAAAUAUAACAGUAGCACACCUUGUAGUCUUGCAUAAACUCAUAGUGGAGAACUGUUUCAGGUUCACUGCUAGCAGCCUUCAGAAAUUUAUCUAAACCUUCUCGUGGUCCAUUAUCCACUGUUGAGAAAUGACAGUUAGUAUAGGUCUAUAUUGACUAAAAAUAUCUAAGAGGGGAAAGGAGAUUCUAAUAAAAAGCAGUUUAUAGAGCAUCCCUCUUACUAUAUACUCCCUCCAUUUCAAUUAAUUGUCUUAUUCCUUUUCAGUCCGUUUCGAAAAAAAUAUUUCUUUCCCUUUCCUGAAACUCUAUAAUUCCAACUUUCCACAUAGCCUGUUUGAAACCACGAGUUAAGAGGUAUUUUGGUACAUUCUACAUAUUUAUAGUUUAAGAGUUAAGACCACGAAAUUCAAAAAGUUUUCUUUACUUUCUUAAACUUUGUGACAAGUAAAAACCACACAAACAAGUUGAAACAGAGGGAGUAUCAUAAAAGAUUCCAUUGAAUCUUUGUCCAGUUUGUCCACUUACUAUAUGUCUUAUUUUCUCUCCCUGCUUCUGUGGUGGACAAACUGAAAAAAUUAAGUUGACUCUUUUUUGAGAUACUAACAACAAACAAGUACUCCUACUGGUGAUGUUAAUAGAUCAAACUUUUUGUUAUUUAAUUUAAAAAAAGAUCAAAAUUAGAUCUCCAAACACACGUAAUUACAAACAUAAUCAAAUUUCAAGCAGUUGGUAGUUAUAUUAGAAUUGAUCAAAGAUGUAGGAAAGGAGUCUAUGAAUACCACCGACUACUCACCACAGUUAGUGCCUAGAACAUAAAGUUUUUCCAGAUUCAAAUAUUGCUCCACUGAUCUUAAAGCUGCAAGUUAGGAAAUUGUUCUGCUUAAAAUACAGAGAUGUAAAUUGUAAUGACAACAUCAAGUUUGAAGCAGAGAUGAAGAGAUCAUAACAACUUGGAUACCUUGAACUUGGCAGCCAACCCCGCAGAAGAGAAGGCGCUUUACACCAGCUGCCUGUUUCCAGGAAACAAUACUGCUUACUUCAACAUUUGAACUACAAGUUAUACUAUACACUUGUGUGACAAUCCUCAGUGAAAACUGGAAUCUCUUAAAGCCCAGUUUUUAAUGCAUUAGAGCAUGCACGACUAGAAAGUGUGAAAUUCCAUGAUUGCAUUGUUAUGAAAAGAAAUAACAAGAAGCCUACCCUUACAAGUGUGAUAUGCAGAUGGUUGAUGCUUACCAAAAGAAAGGGAGAAAGCAUUUGGGGAGAAAUAAGCUCAAAUAGUUAAAAUAAAGUCAAAAAAUAACCUACGACCUUCAAAUGGAUAGAGAGGAAAAAUUUGGCAAAAAGACUCUGAAAUUGUCAGGAAAGGAAUUCAGCUCGAACCAUAAUAUGGAACAAAUCAGAAAAUCAAAAGAGCUUAUCUUAAUAAAAUCCCCGAUUGGGGCAAUUACAGUAUUAGAUUGUGGUGGUCUGACGGGGGGAGGGGGGGUGAUAGUAAAGCUAAUUUGGUGGUGUGGUGAAGAAUAAGAAAGCAUAGCUACACAAGUUCCAAUUACCUAUUGAGGAGAGAUAUGGCAUCUUCAAUCCAUGACAACAUGCUCCAUUAAGAAUUCAAUAGAGUUACACAGAUUAUAAAUGCAUUGAUGACAACAGAACAAUCAAAGAUUCUGAUGAUAAUGGAAGUGAAAGAAGAAACCUCAACUAAGGCAAGAGUAUUUAGAUUAGGAGACAGUGUCGGCUUAACACCUUUAGCUGCUAUAACUUCCUCUGGAGUCCUAUUAGAAACAUAAAAUUAAAGUUGAAGAUCGAAAUGGUUAAAUUAACAGGUAAAAAAUCAACAUGAAUACAAAUAGCUCAGGAAUUCCCAGUCACAAACCUUGCCAGGACAGGUCGAGGAGCAAAUCGAUCUUCUGGAUCACUAAACAACAUAAAAAAAAGAAGGUAAAGAGUCCAUGAAUUGCUGGGUAAUAAGUAGAAGAAAGAAACCAAAAUUUCAAGUGCAUAACUCAUGUACAGUGAAAUUAACCAGGAGGGAGAACUAAAUUAUUUUUAACCAAAUUGGAUGCAAGCCAUACCUCUGAACACAAAUAACAGCUUCCACCAUCCCAGCUUUUAGCAUCUCCACGGCAAUAGUUGUCACUAUCCCCGUCCAUUGAGCUCCUGAAUGCCAGAAAGAAAAAGAUAGGAAUAUGACCAGAUGAUUCAUAGAAAUUGGCACAUUCUUUUAGUGAUCUAGAGAGCACAAGAAAACAAGCAACAGUAAAUUGAACUAGAAUACUACAUAAGAGCAUCCAAAGUUGUACCUUCCACAGGCUUAGUUUUACGAGCAUACAAUAGAUUCUCAUACACCCCCAUAUAAAUCUCAUCCAAGGAAUCUUCUUUCCGUCCUCGUCCAUGGACAAUAGGUUCCAAAGCCUAAAGAAGAUGAUAAGGAACAGUCAACAUCAUCUGGUCACUUUACCAUAAGAAAUACUAUCUGUACUUUGAGCUACUUCAUAUAAAUUUGACCAAAAGAGAAGGUCCUAAUAGCAUAGCAUGACUGAGUUGAGAACGCAUUCCAAGGAACUGCUACUCGUAGCAAGCACUGAAGUUUUUUAGUGAGUAAUCAAAUCAUUCUUUCUCAUAAAAGAACUUACAUGCACCCCCUGUCACCCUCCACCCACCAGUCAAACUAAAGACGGAAUAAUUUUCAAACUUUACCAAGUUCCUUUGGACAAUAACCAAAAAAAAAAAAAAAUUGUAUAGAAUUGGGGAAAAAAGUUUGACCUGUCACGAGAUUACGUUGUACCUGUAAACUAUGCUAAGCUGUAUGAAAUUAUUAAACAGAAGGUAGAAAAAACAAAGAAAAGAGAAAAGAGAAGAGGACAGAUGUACACCAUAGCGAAGACUUUGAUGGAGGUCUAUGAAUGUUUUCCCAUCGCCCUAUGAGGAGUCUGAUUAGAGUCCGACCAUACUGUGUUUCAGUAUAACAUUAUCAACCCCAUAAAUUUCAGUAUGUCGAGAUUAUGUUAACAACUAGAGAAAUCAUUCUUAUGAAGAUCCACUAUACGUGUCUUGUACCUUGUGUAAUUUAUAGCUCUAUAAUAAUGCCUAAAACUUCAUUUAUUCCAUAUCUUGUCAACAUUCAAAGCAGCAUACCUUUUACCCAAGAGAGUGAAACAGAAAUAUAAAAUUCAAACAUGCUUGUCAAAAGAACUAGUUGGGGUCGGAGGCGAGGACCAGUGAACCCAUCAAGUUCUAGUAUGCAACUUUUCCUAAUAACAAAGUGUUAAAAACUCUCAUGCUCCCAACAGAAGGGAUUUUAAUGGAAGUGGAGUGACCAAAGAAAGAUGAAUUCAAUUGCACACGAGCUAAUAGUGGAUUACACGGUCUCAGAGAACAUGAACCAGUACUCUCUCUGAGCAUCUUUCUAGCUUGCAAACUUUUCUUAUGACUUCCACAACACACUGCAAUAUCACAGCCAAGUCUUGUUUCACUGCAUACACUGUACAUAUUCAUAAGAUGUAAAUCCAUAUGGAUGAGAUAGCUUUUCAAAGGACACAAAAGACAAAACAAAAUUCACAGGGAAAAUCUGCAUGUGACAAUGAAAGCAUGCAAUAAUCAAACUCCAGUAGGUCAUUUAUGACAAACUUAAGGAACAAAAACUAGGCAUAAACAAUAAGAACUGCAACUAAAAGCAACAGUAUCUACAUGUACUAAAGUAGAGAAAGACUCACUUCAACUCUAGACAUGCCAUCCCCAAGAAAGCACAUGCAUUAUUCACAUGAGCAAUGUAGUAAGUGUCACACAAACCACAGUGGCUGCAAACCAGAAACAAAAACUACCAUCAGACAAAAAACUACUAUAAUGAUUACGAAAUAGUCACAAAAUAUACAAGAAAUUAAUUUAAAUAAGUAUGAAGAUGAGUGAUUAAAUGAUACUAACUUAUAAUCCUCAAAAACAUUGAAUUAGUAUAUAAAUAAUGUUAAUUAUUAUUUACCAAUUUCAAAAAAAAUGCUAAUUAAUAUAUAUGAUAUUCUUGUGAACGUCAAAACUUAUAUUUCAGUCUUCCAAACAAUACUUCAUCAUUCAAGCUCCUUUUUUUUCCAUUCUACAAAAUUUGACCCAACUUAGGACGAAUUGAUAUGGAAAGCUACGAUGCUUCAAAGACCCAAUGAAAUGCUUCCUCCAUUUCAAAUUGAAUACUUCAGGUUCUUUUUUAUACUUCAUGCCAAAUUAAUGCCCAAUCUCCCUCAUAUUUAUAGUUCUUUCACAUUUACUAUGAAAAUUGAACCAUUAUAGUUUCCGAAAAGGGAGAACUCUUCAAACACAUAUUAGUUUAAGACACUCUCUCCGUCCGGUAUUGUUUGUCAUGGUGUCUAUUCAUAGAGUCAAACUAUAAAAACUUUGACUAACAUUUUAAGGUGUAUUUUUUCAUCGUAUUAAUAUGCAAAAAAUUGCAAUUUAUAGUACUUUUCAUAUAGUUUUAAAAUAUCUAAUUAUUUUGUUUAAAAUAUCGAAUUAAUGUGAUUUAAUUUAACUUUGAAAAUUAGUCAAAUUGACUUUCAAAAAACACAACAUGACAAACAAUAUUGGACGGAGAGGGAGUGAUUCAUAAAUAGACACCUUAACUUUGCUUAACUAACAACUAAAUACUCCAACUUUAAGAAUGCACAUCUAGACGGUCUCCGAGACACCCGGCACUAUAUGUCUAGAUGAUCAUUUUGUACGUUGGGAGUGUUUAACUCACACAGCCAAGACCAGUUAAGAUGCACACUUUGAGUGUUCAGUUGCCAAUUGAGCCCAACCUAAGAUAUCUAUCUAUGUAUUUAUGUCAUAGUUUAAAGAUAACAAAUAAAAAUAACAACUUUUUCACUAGUCUAACUUACAAAAACUAAAAACUUCAAAAAAAAAAUACAUAGAAAAAUGAUCAAGCUACGCAAUUUACCUCCCAUUACAGCAUUAAAAGCUAAAAUUUCAAUUAUAUUAAGAAAAAAAAAAGCAGAAUUAUGAACCUGCAGUGGUCUUUAGCUGGAUAAGUCCCACCAGGAGGAAUAGGUCGAGAUUUUUUCCUCCAAUCUUCUCUAAUUUUCACUGAUUUCAGGUUUUGGUUUGCAUCUGUUGAGUAAUUCAAACAACAUCAACACACAAAGUUUCAAUUUUUUUUAAAAAAAAAACUCAUAGCAAAAGUUUGUCAUUUUUUGUAAAAAAAAGUUCCUCUAAGAGGAUUUUGUUCAGUGAAUGUAGAAAUGGAGAGAAACAAAACCUUGUUGUUGUGAAGAAGAUGAAACAGUGUAAAAUUUGAAGGGUAAAGUAGAGAUUUUUCCAGUAAGAAACGCCAUUGUUGCUCUGUGUAUCUGCACAAGUGUUUUGCGCCACAAAUAUAUAUCAAAUGAGAUUCUUUUAAGGGUGGAACCAAAACGGUGUCGUCCGGUAUUUAAUUAAUUUCUACUUUUUAUUUUUUUGGAUGAGUAAAAAAAGUGAAAUAUUAAAUAUUUAGAAAAUUAAGAAAUAAUUUUAAUUAUUUAUAAACAAUGAAUCGCUGAAAGUGAUUCGAACGAAUCCUUUUGGUCCUACCUAGCUUUGCUCCUGAAUAAGUACUCGAUAACAUAUUGUGUUGAAAUUUUGAUGAGAUAAACAACACAUACCAUAUCAUUUCACUGAAGUAAAAUCAUAUAGUCGUUCAUAUGAAUACUCAAAAUAGGGUGGCUUUUAAUUUUUGUUCGUCGGAUCAAUAGUCUUUGAAAAUACAAUCGUAAGGCAUAUGUUAUGUCAUACAAAACUUAUGCCUCUGUAGACAUAAGUUCAAUUUCAAAACAUUAUACCUUAAAAAGUUCAUAAAGUCACAAAUUAUAUCUUAUAAGGUAUAGACGUAAGUCCUACAUAACAUGUCGAUGGGAGUAUAAGUUCCAUUUUCAAAACUUGGAAGAUUAAACCUAGAGAAGUUCAUUACUCGCUAUAUCUUAUAAAUCAUAAGUCCCGUUUACAAAACCAGCAAAAUUGAGAAGUUCAUGAGUCACUAUAUCGGAAAAAAAGUGGUGGUUUAAUUGGAGCAGCCCAUCAGGCAUUAAUGGAACUUGGAAGGCACCGAUAACGAUAUAAAUCAUAAGUCCCGUUUACAAAACCAGCAAAAUUGAGAAGUUCAUGAGUCACUAUAUCGGAAAAAAAGUGGUGGUUUAAUUGGAGCAGCCCAUCAGGCAUUAAUGGAACUUGGAAGGCACCGGUCCGUUAUCCUUCCACUGCACAAAGCGGAAGUUUUUCGUUGCUCUGUGAAACCAGCCUCACGCGGUCCACCCCACUUUAGGAAUCUAGUAGCCCAUUCUUUCAAUUGGACCACAUGAUCCAACUCUGUGCUUGGAUAGGGCAGGCCAGAAAUUAGCCCACCAAGCCCAGCCAUCUGGGACAGCCCAAUAUUCCACCACCUUAACAUCCCCACUUGGGUUACAAGCCCACGUUACUAAGCUCGACAUACAA
rnacentral:lncRNA from 1 species